GGUCGCUCUCGAUGAGGAGGCGGCCCGAGGCCGCGUGACGAGGAGUGCUGAUUGGGUGGCUGAGAACAUCUCUCGGGGCACGGACACGUACGGGGUGACUACUGGCUUCGGUGCCACUUCCCAUCGGCGGACCAACAAGACCGCUGAUCUUCAGACCGAGCUGAUUCGGUUUCUCAAUGCUGGAGUGAUCGGGAAGGAGACUCUUCCGGCGAGUUUUUCCAAGGCUGCUAUGCUUGUUCGAGCGAAUACUUUGAUGCAAGGGUAUUCGGGCAUUCGGUGGGAGAUACUUGAGGCCAUGGCCAAGCUGAUAAACCUCAAUUUGAUCCCUAAACUGCCUUUGAGGGGGACCAUCACUGCUUCUGGGGACCUUGUGCCCUUAUCUUAUAUUGCUGGAGUAUUAACUGGGAGGCAUAAUUCCAAGGUUGUGACGCCUGAGGGGGAAGAAAUCACGGCCAUGGAAGCUCUGAAGAGAGCUGGCAUUGAAGCCCCUUUUCAGCUGCAGGCGAAGGAAGGUCUGGCUCUUGUGAAUGGGACUGCUGUUGGGUCAGCGGUGGCCUCAACGGUUUGUUUUGAUGCCAACCUCUUGGGGCUCCUUGCGGAGGUUCUGUCUGCCUUGUUCUGUGAUCUGAUGAAUGGCAAACCUGAUUUUACAGAUCCUUUGACUCAUUAUCUNNNNNNNNNNNNNNNNNNNNNNNNNNNNNNNNNNNNNNNNNNNNNNNNNNNNNNNNNNNNNNNNAAGUAGCAAGAAAAACCCUUUACACAGAUGAAGAUGAGACGCUGCUAGAAUCUCGUUUCUGCGAGAAAGAACUCCAGCAGGUCGUCGAAAACUUGCCAGUUUUCUCCUAUAUCGACGAUCCCACUAAUCCUUCAUACACUUUUUUGCCUCAACUCCGAGAUGUACUAGUUGAAAGAGCUCUCAAAGACCCCAAAUCCACCGACUCUGCGGGCUAUUCCAUUUUCAAGCGCAUCCCCAUAUUUCAAGAGGAGCUGAAGGAGAGACUGAUUGAGGAGAUAUCAAAAGCAAGAGAAAGGUUUGAUAAUGGAGAUUUCCCAGUACCAAACAGAAUCAAGAAAUGCAGGACUUACCCCAUAUACGGAUUUGUGAGGAAAGAAGUGGGAACCAAGCUCCUUAGUGGUGAAAACAAGGUGAGUCCCGGAGAGGAUAUAGAGAAGGUUUAUGAGGCGAUAAAUGAUGGGAAGUUGGGAGAUAUGCUGAUGAAGUGCUUGGCAUUUUGGAAAGGCAAGCCGGGCCCUUUCACGCCGAGGCCUAGUGGGCUAUCUUCUCCAGCGCAGUUUAAUCCGGAGUAUUGGGGUUGGUUUGAGAAGCUAAGGUCUCCUUCUUCAGCCUCGAAUGGGAGAGUGAAUUGGGACCAGCUCUGAGUAGAAGGAAGGAAAAGGCAUUAAUUACGAAGAUGAGAACAAUUAUAAUGUUUGUUUGUGUGUUUCUAAUGCUGUUUUGUACUAGAAUUUUGAUUCCCAUUAAGUAAAAAUCCAAUUCCGACAAACAUGAUAUGACUUCAAAAUAUGGAUAAAUCACAUUGAAUAUGGGAGGAUAGGGAAUUUUACCUAAACAUCUCCUGAAAAUGAAUAAAUCCAAUUGCUUUUAAGAAAAUGAGACUCUAAGACCAACUUCUCCUGAUUCCACCCCCUCCACAUGAAUGGACAAUCUCUCCCUCCCUCAUCAUGAAUGGAUAGUGUCUACUUCCCACUUAUGGACGGGCCAUCUCAAAUGGUGUUCCAUGAAGAUAAAAAGCAAAAGCAAUUGUUUAUGGAUCAAGGGAAGCUGUUCACUAGGAGUGUAUACUUUUCGUUGCAUCUUUGUUCCACGCUAAUCCAUUGGGUUUCUUGAAUAUGCUUGUUAUAUGAGGCUGCUGAACAUUGGCAAAUGGGUGCUGUAUUUUAUUGUUUUAUUCAAUAACAAAUUGCUGGAAUUUUUAAUUUAGGAAACGCCUUUUCAAUAUGAUUAAUGAUCUUCCAACAAUAUUUGAGGUUGUGACCGGAGCUGCAAAGAAACAAGUGAAGGAGAAGUCAUCAGUUUCAAACCAUAGCAGCAACAAAUCCAAGUCAAAAUCAAAAGUGGUAAGUUUUUUUGGGAGAAUUGUGCUUUGAGGUCAGUUUGGGACUGAUAAAUGAUAAAUGAAUGAGGAGUAUUAGUUAUCUAGUGUCAAAUAUUGUCUUGACAUGUUCACAGCUGGGGAUAAUUGAACUAGUAAGGUGUCCACUUAUGGUAACUCACUUUUAUGACUAAUUCAUAUAUGGGCUUCAAUUUAGAUAUUUGAAUGUCAAUUAUUAGCUCGACUAUCAUAGCCUGACAUGACUAUUGUUGAUGCCUCGCGCUCCUGGUGUUCCACGCAGUUGCCAAAUGGAUGCGCGACCUCAACCAAUAUAGGUUCUUGACUCAGUCGCUAUACCUGCAAAAGACGUCCGGAUAGGGUGUCCGGACGCACCCUCCGAUGGUUUUGUCAGCCAUGGUUAGAGAGAGAUAAUCAGUUGGCUUUUUACUAGGUAUUUCCAGCUUACCUCCUCUUUGUGUGAAGGUUGAUAUAUAUAGUAUCAGAAGCUUUGAUUCCCUCUUUAAUGGCAGGGAGAUAUUUUGUGUUGUUAUGAUGACAUUAGGUGGUGGCAGGGCUAUCACCACCCUACGGGUGGCUGACAGAGAUCAUGGUAGGUGAUGCGGCUCUCAGAGAUCGUGGGAAGUGACCAUGUGGAAUGAUCAUAGGAAGUGACUUGUUGUCACUUCAUCUUGUCCUCUCACCCUGCAGGCGGCAGAACGUGGGCCAUGACAGGCUGUUGUGGUAACGUGUGAGACUUGCUUACUUUAGUCAAUGAUCCGGACUAUUGUAUCCGGAUGGAAUAUGUUGAUCAUCUGGAUGUAUUGUGUAAGCCGUCCGGAUGAUAUGUUUAUAAGUGUCGUUUGAUCUUCCUUGAGGUAGUCCGGAAAAGCGUGCCAUGUGUGCUUUAUAGGAAGAUCCGGAUGAGGGUGACUCGGAUGACAAUGCGUGCCAUGUGUCACUGUAAGAUGCGUGCCACGUGUUCUCGGAGGGAGGGGUCCCUACAACUAUGAUAUCGAUGAUAUCUUCCUUAUUAAUGUAUGUAGCAAAAACACAAAAAAUAUUUUUACUUUGCCCUGUCUGGAUUAUGCCUGCCCUCACUUUGUUUACAUGUUGCUGUCACAUUACUGUAUCCAUUCUGGAAACAAAACAGAGAGGAUCUGAAUCAGAAAAUAUUCAAAGGUUGGGCAGCCAAAGGAUGAGGAAGAAGGUUUGGAUGAGGUAGAUGAGGAGGAACAUGGGGAUACCUUGUGUGGUGCUUGUGGAGAGAACUAUGCUUCAGAUGAGUUCUGGAUAUGCUGCGACAUAUGUGAGAAAUGGUUCCACGGAAGUGUGUGAAGAUCACCCCUGCGAGGGCUGAGCACAUCAAACAGUACAAGUGCCCCUCAUGCAGCAACAAGAGAGCAAUGCCUUGAUAUAUCCCAUUUGAGGUGGGCAAAUUCUCGCCUUCUGUAAUUCCUGUGUUGAACUCAACUAACUGUUUAGUUGGUCAGAUUUUCUCUUUCUUGCUCUUUUGUCACGGUAGAUGUAUUGAAUACUAUGGUCUUAGGAAUGUUGUUACUUGUUAUUUGGAUGUACUCUAGUCUGCGGGUCGUGAAACAUGUUCUUUUCUAUUCUGAAUUGGAAUAUAUAUUAGUUUCUUCUCUACAGAAAAACAUCUGUACCUUAGGUGUGGUAGGCAUUGUUUAUCGUCCUCCGUUCUGUUCACAGAUAUGAAGUCUUCCGUAUUUUUACUUUCGUUUUAUUGGAUUUGAUGGCAAAAUACCCUAGACUGCCUGCAUUUAGAAUGAUCUUAUGAUCUAGAAAUGGUAACCUGAGGCCAUUGCAUUGACAAAAUCAAUAGGAAGCACAAUGGAAAUAGGUGUAUGAAUACCACUUUUGCAGAAAAUCUGUAGUUCUGUUUCCGGUUCCCACCCAACAACCAAACUUCUGAUCCCUAUCUAGGUCUCUUGACAUGUUUUUUCAGCUGGAUGCUUCUUGGUGAAUGCAUUCACACUACCCUUUCUUUGAAAGGGUCAUGGGUGUUUACCAAAUUGUCUCUUUUUUAUUUAUUUAAUAAUCGAGUAACCUUCCAUAACAUAGACCUUGAGACUCUCCAUGGGAAUCCAAAUUUUUGGAUGCUGAUUGCAUCCAUCAUAAUUGUUGAAUGACAUGUCCUAAGAGCUGCUGACAUGGAACUGAGUAGAUUGAAGUGGAAGUAGUCAAAUAAGUUGGUCAUGUGGAAGAUUUAACUAUUCCUUAGGAAGAUUGGUUUGUUUCUAUUUUUUUAGGAAGUAUCUAUAGGUAGCAGGUUUGUUGCUAUUUUUUAUGUUUUUCUCAACGUUCUGUUGCUUCCCGAUAGUUUCUACACUUUGUUUCUAUCAAAACCCACAAAUUGGUAUCAGAGCCAAGUUCUUGAGUAACUUGUGAGGUGAGUGAGCCUAAAAAACCUACAAACAAUAUCCAGAAUGACCUUAGAAGCUUCAUUGAAUGCAUUGACACCUCCAAUGUUUGAUGGAAUAAAUUAUCAAGUGUGGGCUGUCCGUAUGGAAGCCUACCUUGAUGCUAGUGAUCUGUGGGAAGCUGUUAGUGAGGAAUAUGAAGUUCCUCCUUUGUCCGACAAUCCAACUAUAGCUCAGAUAAAACUACACAAUGAGAGGAGGCAAAGGAAAUCAAAGGUAAAAGCUAGUCUAUUUGCAGUUGUCUCAUCUACAAUUUUCACCAGAAUCAUGACACUGAAGACAACAAAUGAAAUAUGGAACUUCCUGAAGAAGGAAUAUGAAGGAAAUGAACGAGUCAAAGGUAUGCAAGUGUUGAACCUGAUUAGAGAAUUUGAGAUGCAAAGGAUGAAAGAAUCAGAAACAAUCAAGGAUUACUCAGACAAACUUCUUAGUAUUGUUAACAAAGUAAGACUUCUUGGUGUUGACUUUUCUAAUUCUAGAAUAGUUCAGAAAAUUUUUAUAACAGUUUCUGAAAAGUUUGAGAAUACAAUAUCAUCUCUAGAAAACUCAAAAGAUGUGUCAAGUAUUACCUUGGCAGAGCUGUUGAAUGCAUUACAGGCUCAAGAACAAAGGAGGCUUAUGAGACAAGAAGGAUCUGUGGAGGGUGCAUUUCAGGCCAUAUCUCAAUACAAGAAAGAAAUGCAAAGCAACAAUAACAACAACAACAACACUCAAAAGUUUCCACCAUGUCCUUACUAUAAAAAAUCCAAUCAUCCACAAAAAAGGUGUUGGUGGAGGCCGGAUGUAAGAUGUCAUAGGUGUGAUAAGCUAGGGCAUGUGGAAAGGAUAUGCAAAUAAAUCUCAACAGUAGUAAGGAGAAGUCAAGAUUGCUGUGGAAGAACUUCAAGAUGAGCAACUGUUUGUGGUAUCAUGCUUUGCCACUAGCAGCUCCCUAGAAACUUGGCUUAUAGACAGUGGUUGUACAAACCAUAUGACUUAUGAUCAAGGGUUCUUUAAGGAACUUGAAAAAAUUGUUACUUCCAAAGUUAGAAUUGGAAAUGGAGCAUAUCUUGUAGUAAAAGGCAAAGGAACAGUGGCAAUUGAAGGCCACACAGGUUUGAAAUUAAUCUCUAAUGUCUUAUAUGUUCCUGAGAUUAAUUAAAAUCUAUUGAGUGUUGGUCAGCUGCUGGAAAAAGGCUAUAAGGUGCUGUUUGAGGACAAUCAUUGCAUGAUUGUUGAUGCACAAGGCAGAGAGGUAUCUAUAGUCCAAAUGAAAGACAAAAGCUUUGCCUUGGAUUUGAUGCAAGAAGAGUAGGCUGCAAUUCACAAAGAAGAAAGCAAUACAAUUCUUUGGCAUAAGCAUUUAGGGCACUUUCAUCAUACCACCCUUCUCUUUAUGAAGAAGAACGAUCUUGGAGAAGGCUUGCCUGAAUUAGAGGUGAAGCCUUUUACCUGUGUUGCCUGUCAGUACGGGAAACAAACAAGACUUCCUUUCCCACAAAACAAGGCAUGGAGAGCUACUCAGAAGUUGCAGUUAGUACACACUGAUGUGGGAGGACCUCAGAGAACACCAUCACUAAAUAGCAGUAAGUUCUAUAUUGCUUUCAUUGAUGAUCACACAAGAAUGUGCUAGAUUUAUUUCAUGAAAUUUAAAUCUGAAGUUGCUAACAUCUUUUGGAGGUUUAAAGCUUGGGCUGAAAAAUCAAAGUAAAUGUAAAAUGCAAGUGAUCAGGUCUGAUAAUGGAAUUGAAUACACCUCGGAGAAAUUUAACAAAUUUUGUGAGGAUGCAGACAUUGAGCACCAACUUACAACACCUUAUACCCCUCACCAGAAUGGAGUUGUUGAGAGGAAAAAUAGAACACUUAUGGAAAUGACAAAGUGUUUGCUCCAUGACAAAGGGUUGCCAAAGAAAUUCUGGAUUGAGGCUGCACAUACAUCAGUCUUUUUGCUGAAUAGACUGCCAACAAAAGCUUUGCAACAAAAGACUCCAUUUGAAGCAUGGUAUGACUAUAAACCAAGGCUGCAAAAUUUAAAAACAGUUGGUUGUCUUUGUUUCUCUUAUAUUCCACAUGUUAAGAGAGACAAAUUGGAUAAGAAAGCAGAAGCUGAGAUCUUUGUAGGCUAUAGCUUAAUAUCAAAGGCCUAUAGAAUCUACCUUCCAGAAAACAACAAAGUAAUAGUUAGCAGAGAUGAUCUUAUGAUCUGAUGGCAAAAUACCCUAGAGUGCCUGCAUUUAGAAUGAUCUUAUGAUCUAGAAAUGGUAACCUGAAGCCAUUGCAUUGACAAAAUCAAUAGGAAGCACAAUGGAAAUAGGUGUAUGAAUACCACUUUUGCAGAGAAUCUAUAGUUCUGUUUCCAGUUCCCACCCAACAACCAAACUUCUGAUCCCUCUCUAGGUCUCUUGACACGUUUUUUCAGCUGGAUGCUUCUUGGUGAAUGCAUUCACACUACCCUUUCUUCGAAAGGGUCAUGGGUGUUUACCAAAUUGUCUCUUUUUUUAUUUUUUAUUUAAUACAUAGACCUUGAGACUCUCGAAUCCAAAUCUUUGGAUGCUGAUUGCAUCCGUCAUAACCAACAUCGGAUAAUCCACGGAAUUCAAUCAGUUGCAGGAAUUAAACACUGGAUCCAAUCCACAUUCAGCAGGGUGUUCACCUAACAUUUGACCCAAAACCCAACUCCAUAAUCUCACAGAUUGAGAACAAAUUCUAUUGUUAUCACAUGUAUACGCAUCAUUGUUGUUAUGGAUAGCCCUCAUAUUGGGGUUUUGAUUAUAAUUAGAUGGUUUAGUAGGGUAUUAUACAUGCGGUGAAGGACUUAUUACUUUCUUUGGUCAGCUGGAAAAAAGCAGAGUGGGGUUGAUGGUGGCUACUUUUUCUGAUGUCUGGUAGAUGGUGAUGGUCGAGUCAAUGCACUAAGAAAAAGGAGGUCCAAGUCAUGUAAAGCAUUCAUGUUUAUAAAUCCUCUGGAAGCUUAGAAUUAAAAAAUCCGAUUCAGUGGUUGUUAUGAGUCUUAUGACCAUUAAAAAAUAAAAAAUAAGGUGUCAUGGAGACACAUCUCUGGCAUGCUACAAACAUGUUCUUCAUGCCAUGCUCUACCUUUGGAAUAUCAAUUGGGAAAAAACAUAUGUCUCAUACCACGUUUUACAAAUAUUUUUAUUUUUCAGUAGUUUACCAUUGAUGAAAUACUGCUUCAUAAUUGAGGGAAUUUUUUUUUAAAGUGAUUUAUUUUAAUAUCGAUUCUAUAGAUAUGCAUUUAGGUUUUUUAUUUUUAUUUUUUCAAAGUGAUUCUUCAUCACAGCAAUUUGCCCAAUUUUUCAGUAAACUUUUAUGAAUGCUAUGCUUUGUUAAUAGUUUGAAGUAAAGAAAAGACUGAGGAAAAAAAAAAGUAAAAAAACUUUAAAAUAUUAUUUUUUUUUUCAGAAAGUUAAAUUGUCAAUGAAUAUAUUUUCAUCAAACUUUUUUCAUAUCUUUUUAAAGAAAAAUAGAGAAAGUUUUUAAUGUUUCUUUUUCUUUUUUUAGAAUUUUUUAUUUAUAGUAUUUAAAUACAAAAAAAAAAAAUUCUUAAUAUUUUCAUUCAUUUUUUUAGUAUUUUUCAAGAAUCAAAACUAACUUAAAGAUUCUAUAUGAAUUCCAUAAAUAGAAUUCCUUAUUGUUUUCACAAUUUAAUACGCUUGAAAAAUGGAUGCAGAUAUCACUAGGAUUUCUUUAUAAUAAUUGUUCUUAAAUAUGUUACUUUUCUCUGUAAAUCAGGUAUGGUAGAGAUUUUUUAAGGGAAAAAUAAAUGCAUAAAUGAAUAUAUAUUUAUGAAUUCUUUUCACAUAUUAUACCCACCAAUGCCCUAAAAUCCUUAGGGUUUCUUUUUAAGGUUUGUAACAUGAAGCCCAUCAUUUUAGUCUUAAUGUCUGCUAGUUGUUUACAAACAUAAAAUUUGACACAUAGGAAAUCUUAAAAUUGACAGUUUUAUAAAAAUAACUAACCCAAAAUACCAUUUUUAUAUCCAAUAAUAUCUAAUGGGAUUCUACAUAGAUUUCAUCAAGUCUCCUACAUUCAAUAAUACAUGUCCUUUUUGUAAGCUAAAAUAGCAAAAGUAGCUUCCGACCUUCUUCCAUUCAAUGAAGCUAAUCUUUUCUAUCCACAACCCCUGCUUUUCUCCUUUUCCACAAAGACUAGACCAUGGAAGUUGUCUCGCAGCCCUCAUUUACCCUGGCCUAUAAAUAGAUGCCACUCAUCCCAUUCAACCCAUCAACCCAUCUGCAAUCCACACACACCUCUCCAGCUCUCCUCUCUCCGCUAGAGUUGUUUUUGGACUCAAUGUCUAUGUCUAUCAAUGGUGUUUCUCCUUCAUUUCAGAGCUUUCGGCCUCCCACUCUCCCUCUACCUGUAGAGGAAGAGAACCCCUUCUCCAUAUUGGGGGAGUCUCGUCAUGUACUGGCUCCACCGCACUGGAAGAAGGCUGCUGAGGCCCUACAGUGUGGUCAUUUUGAUGAGGUGUGCGCCAUGGUGUCGCAGUUUGCACAUGCGCAAACUGUGGAUAUUCAGGGCACGGCUCUCACAGUGGCCCAGGUCACUGCUCUUGCACGUGGGGAUCAUGUUAGGGUCGCUCUCGAUGAGGCGGUGGCCCGAGGCCGCGUGACGAGGAGUGCUGAUUGGGUGGCUGAGAACAUCUCUCGGGGCACGGACACGUACGGGGUGACUACUGGCUUCGGUGCCACUUCCCAUCGGCGGACCAACAAGACCGCUGACCUUCAGACCGAGCUGAUUCGGUUUCUCAACGCUGGAGUGAUCGGGAAGGAGACUCUUCCGGCGAGUUUUUCCAAGGCUGCUAUGCUUGUCCGAGCGAAUACUCUGAUGCAAGGGUAUUCGGGUAUUCGGUGGGAGAUACUUGAGGCCAUGGCCAAGCUGAUAAACCUCAAUUUGAUCCCUAAACUGCCUUUGAGGGGGACCAUCACUGCUUCUGGGGACCUUGUGCCCUUAUCUUAUAUUGCUGGAGUAUUAACUGGGAGGCAUAAUUCCAAGGUUGUGACGCCUGAGGGGGAAGAAAUCACGGCCAUGGAAGCUCUGAAGAGAGCUGGCAUUGAAGCCCCUUUUCAGCUGCAGGCGAAGGAAGGUCUGGCUCUUGUGAAUGGGACUGCUGUUGGGUCAGCGGUGGCCGCAACGGUUUGUUUUGAUGCCAACAUCUUGGGGCUCCUUGCGGAGGUUCUGUCUGCCUUGUUCUGUGAAGUGAUGAAUGGCAAGCCUGAGUUUACGGAUCCAUUGACUCAUGAGCUGAAACACCAUCCUGGCCAGAUUGAAUCAGCUGCUAUAAUGGAAUUUCUUCUUGAUGAAAGUGACUACAUGAAAGCAGCAAAGCUUCGUCAAGAGAAGGAUGUGUUGAUGAAGCCUAAACAAGACCGGUAUGCGCUCAGAACUUCUCCCCAGUGGCUGGGGCCUCAGAUUGAGGUGAUUCGCAUGGCAACACAUGCAAUUGAGAGGGAAAUCAAUUCUGUCAACGACAACCCUUUGAUCGAUGUCUCUCGGGACCUUGCUCUUCAUGGAGGGAACUUCCAAGGGACCCCUAUUGGUGUUUCCAUGGACAAUCUCCGGAUUGCCAUUGCAGCAAUUGGGAAGCUCAUGUUUGCUCAAUUCUCGGAACUGGUCUGUGACUAUUAUAAUGGUGGGUUGCCUUCCAAUUUGAGUGGCGGCCCCAACCCGAGCUUGGACUAUGGCUUCAAAGGUGCUGAGAUAGCCAUGGCUGCCUACUGCUCCGAGCUUCAAUACCUGGCGAACCCGGUCACAACACACGUGCAGAGCGCUGAACAACACAAUCAGGAUGUGAAUUCUCUGGGAUUAAUCUCUGCAAGGAAGAGUGCUGAAGCAGUGGAGAUCCUAAAGCUCAUGUCUGCAACUUACAUGGUGGCACUUUGCCAGGCAGUUGACCUGAGACACCUAGAAGAAAACAUGAGGGAAGUAGUGAAACAUCUCAUCACCCAAGUAGCAAGAAAAACCCUUUACACAGAUGAAGAUGGGACGCUGCUAGAAUCUCGUUUCUGCGAGAAAGAACUCCAGCAGGUCGUCGAAAACUUGCCAGUUUUCUCCUAUAUCGACGAUCCCACUAAUCCUUCAUACACUUUUUUGCCUCAACUCCGAGAUGUACUAGUUGAAAGAGCUCUCAAAGACCCCAAAUCCACCGACUCUGCGGGCUAUUCCAUUUUCAAGCGCAUCCCCAUAUUUCAAGAGGAGCUGAAGGAGAGACUGAUUGAGGAGAUAUCAAAAGCAAGAGAAAGGUUUGAUAAUGGAGAUUUCCCAGUACCAAACAGAAUCAAGAAAUGCAGGACUUACCCCAUAUACGGAUUUGUGAGGAAAGAAGUGGGAACCAAGCUCCUUAGUGGUGAAAACAAGGUGAGUCCCGGAGAGGAUAUAGAGAAGGUUUAUGAGGCGAUAAAUGAUGGGAAGUUGGGAGAUAUGCUGAUGAAGUGCUUGGCAUUUUGGAAAGGCAAGCCGGGCCCUUUCACGCCGAGGCCUAGUGGGCUAUCUUCUCCAGCGCAGUUUAAUCCGGAGUAUUGGGGUUGGUUUGAGAAGCUGAGGUCUCCUUCUUCAGNNNNNNNNNNNNNNNNNNNNNNNNNNNNNNNNNNNNNNNNNNNNNNNNNNNNNNNNNNNNNNNNNNNNNNNNNNNNNNNNNNNNNNNNNNNNNNNNNNNNCCAGGCAGUUGACCUGAGACACCUAGAAGAAAACAUGAGGGAAGUAGUGAAACAUCUCAUCACCCAAGUAGCAAGAAAAACCCUUUACACAGAUGAAGAUGGGACGCUGCUAGAAUCUCGUUUCUGCGAGAAAGAACUCCAGCAGGUCGUCGAAAACUUGCCAGUCUUCUCCUAUAUCGACGAUCCCACUAAUCCUUCAUACACUUUUUUGCCUCAACUCCGAGAUGUACUAGUUGAAAGAGCUCUCAAAGACCCCAAAUCCACCGACUCUGCGGGCUAUUCCAUUUUCAAGCGCAUCCCCAUAUUUCAAGAGGAGCUGAAGGAGAGACUGAUUGAGGAGAUAUCAAAAGCAAGAGAAAGGUUUGAUAAUGGAGAUUUCCCAAUACCGAACAGAAUCAAGAAAUGCAGGACUUACCCCAUAUACGGAUUUGUGAGGAAAGAAGUGGGAACCAAGCUCCUUAGUGGUGAAAACAAGGUGAGUCCCGGAGAGGAUAUAGAGAAGGUUUAUGAGGCGAUCAAUGAUGGGAAGUUGGGAGAUGUGCUGAUGAAGUGCUUGUCAUUUUGGAGAGGCACGUCGGGGCCUUUCACGCCGAGGCCUAGUGGGUUGUCUUCUCCGGCGCAGUUUAAUCCGGAGUAUUGGGGUUGGUUUGAGAAGCUGAGGUCUCCUUCUUCAGCUUCGAAUGGGAGAGUGAAUUGGGACCAGCUCUAAUGUAGAAGGAAGGAAAAGGCAUUAAUUAGGAACAUGACCGUAACAAUUAUAAUGUUUGUUUGUAUGUUUUUAUUGUUGUUUUGUACUAGAAUUUUGAUUCCAGAUUAAAUAAAAUCCAAUUACAACAAACGAUAAGGAUUGCUUCAAAAAUCUAAAUGAUCAUACGACCUUGGUUGUCUUGGUCCCACCUCUAGUCCAAAGAAAAUAUCUAGAAAGAAUGAUGCUCUUUCUGAAUAGUCUUUCCCAAGUUGAGAUGGUAAGACAUUUCUUUAAAAUUUUCAGUUUUUAAAGUACUCUUCCAAUUGUAUACGGGUCUGCGGACAUUGAGAAACAAGUAUUCAUAUGUGAUGAGGUUGAAACGUAUCAUUUAAACACCUUGGUUUUAAAAAAUUUGAAAUAAAUACAAAAGGAAAAGAUAAAGUGGAAAAGUAGAAAAAAUAAAAUAAAAAUAAUCUUCGUUUAAUUUUUGAAAAAUAUCAAGAAGAAAAAUAUAAAAUAAUUUUAUGAUGUUUGAUUUCUACAAAAAUUUCUCAUGUUCAGCUUCCAUGAAAAAUAAAAAAUAAAAAAAUUAAAUAUAAUUACAAUUUUUUAAAAAUGGAUAUAUUUUAAGUUAUUUAAUUUUUAUGUAAAAACUUUAAAUAAAUAAAAUGAAUUUAAAAUAAAAUAUAAAAUUUAUUUAUAUUCUUUCAGAAAACAACUCUUUCACUCACUCUCUUAAAAAAGAGCUCUCUGGCAUUCAUAGCCUGUGCAUAUAAUUUGCUUCUUUUAUAGGUUGAAAAAACAAUUUAUAUUCUUUAUAUUUUCACAUAUAGAUGAAUUUGAAUCUCUCCCUCUCUCGGGAAAAUUUAUAGUACUGCUGCAUAGCAGGGUAUCCCAGCCGUUGGAUCUUAUAUGUACACAAUCAUUUCCAUCAUUAUAUUUAGUUGAAAAAAUAGUUAAGAAUGUAUGAAUAUUUUAAAGCACAACAAAUUGGAAGUCCUUUCUCAAGGUAAGAAAAGAAUUCAAUAUUUGCGAAGUACCCGGACUCAUGGUAAUCUUUCAUACAAACUCUUUGUUGGGAGGAAUAUAAUUUUUUUUUUUUUUGGUCCUCUCUCAGCUUAUAAAAUCUAAAUAUCCUUCAAACAAUAAUUAAGAGGGUUAUUACCAUAAACAAUGGUUGAUGAUUGUUUUUAUUUGCAAAGACAUCACACAGUCCAUAGGGGACAGGACACUCGGACACGAAACAACACACAAACCGGAAAAUAAUGGCCCCUUGUUCACAACAAUUGCUUGCCGCUUACCUGUUCCUGAAGCAAUAUAUGAUAGCUUUUCCCACUUUGCACACACACCAUAAGAGGAAGCGGAUAAUGUGAACCAACACAACAAAGGCAAGCAGAACUAACCACACCUCCAAUGAAACCUUAACCACGGAAGUGACAUUUUGUAUGGCUUCGGUGUCAUUAUUUGUGGGUGACAUGGCUUCGGUGUCAUUAUUUGUGGGUGACAUGGCUUCAGUGUUGACAUAUCUGGGUGCAAUGGCCAGUAUAGAAAUCAUGUAGGUGAGAGCCAUGGAUGUCAAUGCUAUCCACAUGAUAAUCAUUAGAAGCCACAUCAAGAUCCUUCUCUUCACGAAAGGUACCCCACUCACAACCAGAAACACUAUGCUUAGCGAAGCAACGAAGGACACCGCGUUGAAUGCCAUGAACAGUGGGUAAUCGUCAGGAUGGUUGUGGGCCAUUAUGGAGGUUCCAGCUAACAUCUUCUUACCAUUACCGGCCUCUUUUUCUUCACCCCAAACACCACCGGGAGGAUUAACUGCAGCUUGGAAAGCCAUUCCUGCGAUCAACGUUGCAGCUACCAUCAAGGCGUCACGUUUCUUCAUCGUCCAUUCUUUCUUAUUUUCAUGUAUUUUCUUCUCACGGCCUCGCAAGGGUGUCGAUGUUUUUGCUUCUGUGGGAACUGCAGCUGGUGGUGGUGGUGGUGGAUAUAAUUGGGGGUUCUCAAUCACCAUGGUUAUACCACUUUCUCCCAUCAAUUGGUGACCUUUGCCUGGUAACGCAGGUAUGUUUCUGGAACUUAAAGCUCCAGCUUUAACCAGAGAUUCCCGAAUUUCCAUUCCUUUCAAGUCCCUCGGCGUAUGUUGUAUGAUAUCUAAGGCUGUGAAGCCAUUUCCAUUCACUGCAUUUACUUCCAUUUCAGGUCUCUCCACCAGAUAUUUUGCUGUCUGCAUAGAUUUAUUUGAAAAGCAUUUAUGAACCAAAUUCCUGCUUAGUUGUUUUAGCACAAUUAGUAUUUUAAAGCUAAAUUUUAUUUUAGAUAUUUUGUCUUAAUACAAAAAUGGAAAAAAGUAAUUUAACUUUUAUCAUAAAUUUGAAAUCUGAUGACGCAUGUGCCAUUAUUCUUAUUUAGAUUUCUAACCAACUUAUGAUUAAAGAAACGUAUUUUAUCUCAUUUUGAACGGUAGAAAAUUUAAAAGAAAGUACUAGAAAAAAGAAAAAAGAGAUAAUAAAAAUGAAAAAAAAUAAAAUAUGAAUUCUAUGUGAGAAAACAGAGAGUAAAAACAAAAACAAAAUUGAAGUAUGAUGAUAAAAUAAAAAAAUAAAAAAAAAACCAUUGAAAAAGUUCGGCAAUUAGAUCGGUCAGUCAACCAGUUUGAUGCCCAAUAGAACAAACCAAAAAGUUAAGUCUAUCCACUUCAUGUCUCAGGAUGGCUCAAAUAUUUGUUUUAAUAUUUAUAAAAUUAUUUUUUAAAAUAAUUCCAAAUAAUUAAAAUAUGUUAUUAGCAAAUAUCUGUUUUCUUAACAAGUUUUGAAAGAACUCUUAUAUGAAAAACUGCUUUUAAAAACAAUCCCCAAAGUUUAAAUUUGUAAUCAAUCUUCUUUGUCUUAUCUUCACUGCGAAUCUAAGAAUGUAAGAUUUUUACCUCAUACUGUUUCAAGGCUGUAGCGGUAUGUAAAACUGUGUUGCCAUAAUCAUCUUUGGAAUUCACAAACUCCACCUCUCCUGCCAAUUCAACUAACAGCUUCAGCGCUCCUAAACGGUUUUGUUUCACAGCGGAAUGCAGAAUGGUCUCGCCUUGAUCCAAUUUGUACCGAGUCACUUGUGGUCGGGCCCCAACCAGCAUCCUUGUGACCUCAACUUCGCCUUUCAUUACCGCCAGAUGGAGGGGCAUUCUUCCAUCUUCAUCACGGAUGAGACAAGCGUCAGGAUUGGAGGACAGCAGUAUGUUAACCAUCUCAACAUAGCCAUUGGCAGAAGCCAAGUGUAGAGGCGAACGCCCCCGCAAAUCCAGCGCCCUGGUCAUGUCUGGUUUGUGAGUAAGAAGAUAGCUUGCGAAGUCGAGGUGACCGAGCAUGGCGGCUACGUGGAGUGGAGUCUCAUUAAAGCAUGUGACUGCAGCUCGAGCAAGAGUGAGUGGGUCUUUUGCGAUCAACCGCUUCAAGGAAUUCACACUUCCGGUUACUGAUGCUUCAUACAGCCUUCUCUCUCUCCCCUCUACGCUCUCGUCAUCUUUUGCUAUUUUCUCAUAUUUCCUUUCCAUUUUUCCUCUCCCAGUCUCCCUUCCUUGAUUGCCAGAUUUUAGCAUUAAAUCAUAUAUAGAGGCAACCAAGGGGGAUAUUUUUCCACAGAGACGACGGCUUGAGGAUAUUUAAUUAUUUCGUAUCAGUUAGUUACGAGUUCAUCGUAUUUUCUUAGCCUACCAAAUAAAUUAAUAAGAAUUCAACAUUUAUAUAAAACGCAAGCUGAAAAUAUUUUAUUCGGAAAUCGGAGCAAACGGUUUGAUUAGCCUGUUUUUUUUUUUUUUUCAACAACCCCUCCUGUUGCGCUUCUCGAAAGCCGCCUCUUCCCCGUUGGAAAGUCCCCUUUCCUAGCAACACCGUGGCAGAACCCUUCCACCCACCCACCUUCUUCCCAUUUUUGGCCAUCCCUCUCCUCCCUUCCUUUCCAGAUUUUUUUAUUUUUAUUUUUUUACCUCUUUAUUUAUUUUCUUUUAUAUUUAUUACUUUUUUACUUUACGAUUUUAUGAUUUUAAAACAAUUAAAUUUCAUUCAAAAAGGUCUCCCAAUAUUUUAAGCUGUUAAUUAAAGAGAUUAUUUAUUUAUUUCUUCGCUACAAAAAUAGUCCAUGAUAUUAUUGUUUGUAUAUAUGGAAUAUUGAAUGUGUGUUAGGAUAGUUAAUGUGUUAGGUAUUGCUAACCGGAUUUAUUUUAAUGGAAUCAAAAUAAUCUUAAUUGGGAAAAAUAUUUUAUCUAAAGACUAUGAAGAAUUCUUCUAAGGGUACUUUUUCUUAAAUAAGUCAAAAAGAGAGUUAAUUUUAUCAAAUAAUACCAAUCUGAAGAUUAGUUUAAAUAUUUCAUAAUUUUGAAAGAGAAUAUUUUAAAUAAUUGUGGAGGAUAGUUUUAUAGCUGAAAAUAUCUAUUUUUUUUAAAAGAAUAAUUUUGAUCCACUUAAUGAAAAAAAUGAUAAUUUUAUUAUUUCAGUGGGUAAAUUUAUUUAAAUAAAAAAUAGAAAAAGAAUUAUUUUUUCUAGUGAAUCACAGAUUAAGGUAAAGUAAUUUUGCUGUAAGAAAAUUUAUUGGAUGUGUAAUAUAAAAAUGGGAGGAUAAAUAUUUAUCAGAAUUUCACUUGUUUUAAUUCAAAGAUAAUAGAAAAAGAAAAUGACAAAAUGUACUAUUAGUUACGUGACUCUGGAAAUCUCCUAGUCAAUCAUGGAAAAAUGCCGCUAUCAACUCACUUGUUUAUUAUUGGUGAAAAAAGUGGCCGCCUUUCAAGUAGCUCGUUUGUUUCUGUGGGAGCUUGUCAGUAUCUAUAGACUAUAGCAUCUAGCCAUCGCCACCAAAAUUUUAGGUGAAAAGAAUGUUGAAUAUUCUGAAGUAUUUCCGCCGACUUUAACUGUUUCUCUUUUGAAAAUUCUUAACAACUUGGAUGACUUCACCUGUUUCUAUUGCCUAUAUGACUGAUGCUAGAUCGAGAGGGAGAAUGGAAAGGAAAUUUAAGGAACAAUAUCUAAGUAGUAAAAUUUUAAGUUUCAUCAUGAUAUUGUUGCAAAAUUUCAUUCAAAUAUCAUCUCUUCGUGUAAACACUUACAAGUUUAUGACAAAUGUGAAUUCUCUGGGAUUAAUCUCUGCAAGGACGAGUGCUGAAGCAGUGGAGAUCCUAAAGCUCAUGUCUGCAACUUACAUGGUGGCACUUUGCCAGGCAGUUGACCUGAGACACCUAGAAGAAAACAUGAGGGAAGUAGUGAAACAUCUCAUCACCCAAGUAGCAAGGAAAACCCUUUACACAGAUGAAGAUGAAACCUUGUUAGAAUCUCGUUUAUGCGAGAAAGAACUCCAGGUUGUUGAAACCUUGUUGUAUUUUGAAAUAAAUACAAAAGAAAAAAAUAAAGUGGAAAAGUAGAAAAAAAAACAAAAAAAAAAAACUCUUUGUUUGAUUUUCGAAAAAUAUCAAGAAGAAAAAAAUAAAAUAAUUUUAUGAUGUUUGAUUUCUACGAAAAUUUCUCCUGUUCGAAAAUAUAUAUAUAUAUAUAUAUAUAUAAUUAAAAUUUAUAAAAAAAUUAAUGCAUUUUAAGCUAUUUAAUUUUCAUAUAAAAACUUUAAAUAAAAAAUUGAAUUUAAAAUAAAAUAUAAAAAUUAUUUAUUAAUUUUAAAAUUAUUUUUUAUUUUUUUCUUCUCAUUUCUUCUCUAUUUUCUUUAAUUCUCCUAAAAUUUAUCCCUUUAACUUUCAAUGAAUCAAACAUAUUAUUUAAAUAAAUAAAUUAUUUCUAUAUAUUAAUUAAAACUCAUUUCCCUUUUUUUUAUUACAAUUUUUUUCAUUAAUUAAUUAAAAAAUACGUAAUUUUUUUUAAUUAUAUUUGAUUUUUGUUUAUAUUGUAAAAAAUAAUUUAUUUAUUUUAGCUAUUUUUUUAUUCCUUUCAUUUUUUUUAAGAACUAAAUAUAGCCUUAGUUUCUUGUCAAAUGAAACCUAACCUUACAUUGGACACUCAAUUUUUUUUUUGAAAACUUAGAUUUAUGGAAUUUAUUCCCAUGAUAUGAUAAAGCUUACAUACAUAAAUUUAGAGAGAAUUAAUUUAUUAUACCAUAAAAAAAUAAAUAAAAAUCGUUAGGUAUGUAUAGCUAAUUAUUUUUAUCUUAUAUGAGUUUGUUAGUUAAAAGCAAGAAUUUGUUUAAAAAAUUAUCAUUUUUAAAUUGUGUUACUGAUAGUAACUACUUUGACGAACGAGCUACAAAGACGUUGACAUUCACUGACGGUCACCUAGAAAAACGUCAUAAAAAACAGAGAAAACUGAAGGGAACAGAGAAGGAAGAAACAGAGGUUUUGGGGAGAGGAAGAUGGAGACAAGGCUAUCGGAGGCGGCAAUGAAGGGAAGCGUAGAUUCUCUAAUGAAAAUUCUUCAAGAAAAUCCGCUAAUUCUCGACAGAACCAUUGUCUCUUGCAUCUCCGAGACGCCUCUUCCAUGCUCGGUCUCCUUCAUUUCGUCAAAGAGCUUCUCACACUGAAACCCGAGCUUGCUGCCGAGUUGGAUUUCCACGGCGCGGCGCCUCUUCACCUGGCGGCGGCUAAAGGCCACGCGGAGGUGGAGAGGCAGCUGCUGCUGGCAGAUCCUGAGAUCUGUACGGUGCGAAAUGAAGACGGGAGGACGCCUCUCCACGUGGCGGCGUUCAAAGGGCGAGCCGAGGUUGUCAGCGAGUUGGCCCGGGUCAAACCGGUGGCGACUAGGGUGGUGACGGAUCGGGGGGAGACGGUUUUGCACCUGUGCGUGAUGCAGAAUCGGUUGGAGGCGUUGAGGGCGUUGGUAGAAGCGAUGGGUGGGGGGGGGACACGAUGGUGAGAUUGUGAAUUGGAAGGACUCUGAUGGCAACACUGUUCUGCAUGUUGCUGUGGCCAAGAAGCUGCUUCACAUUUGGAACAGAUUGAAUCAAUUAUUGAAUGUUAAAAUCAUUAAUUCUUCAAUUGAUUUGCCUCAAAUCUAUACCACUUCAAAUCAAAUUUGCUCAAUUCUUUAGGUUCCUGUUGUAGCCUCGCGUAUCCGAUGGUCCACGUUGCUGCUAGAUGGAUGGACACGUGAUUCUCAACACACAAGGGGUUCUUGAUUCAGCGGUUGCACCUACAAAAGGCAUCUGGACAGGGUGUCCGAACGCACCCUCUGAUGGUUUUGUUAGCCAUGGUGAGAGAGAGAUAUAUAAAUCAGUUGGCCUUUUACUAGGUAUCAAGAGGUUACCAGGGGGAUCCCCUUCUUCUUCGUGUGAAGGCAUAUAUAUACAGCUUCAGGGGUACUACUCCUUUCAUUAAUGGUGAGGAGAUAUUUUAUGUUGUAAUGAUGAUAAUAGGUGUCAGUAGAAGCACUAUCAUCCUACGAAUGGCUGUCAUAGACCAUGGUAGGUGAUGCGGCUGUCAGAGAUCGUGGGAAGUGAUUAUGUAGAAUGAUCGUGGGAAGUGACUUGCUGUCACUUCCUCUUGUCUUCUCAUUCUGCAGGUGAUGGGAUGUGGGCCAUGGCUGCUUGUUGUGAUUGCGUGUAAGACUCGCUUUACUUUAAUUGACCAUCCAGACGAUUUAUAUCCGGAUGGCUCAUGCUGAUUAUCCGGAUGUGUCGUGGAGACUAUCCGGAUGUCUACGCUCUGCCAUUGUCGUUUGCUCUUCCUUGGAUAGGAGAAGCUGAAACGUCGUUUGCCUUUCCUUGAGGCGGUCCGGAUAGGAUAACUGCACCAUGCAUAUCCUUAGGGGAAUCCGGAUGAUGAUGGUCCGGCUGAUAACAUUUGCCACGCGUCACCAUGAGCUGCGUGCCACGUGUUUCCCAAGGGGAGGGGUCCCUACAUUGCCCCCCUUUUUAACUUGCCUAUUUUGCCCGAAAAAAUGGGCGGGUUAAAAAUAACUGGCUUUUGAAAAUUGAAGAGGUCCCUUCGUCUGACUGGGCCACGUGGCGAGUGGGGGUGCGGAAGCCAAAAAAGGUAUUUAUGACGAGCCGCCGACCCUGUGUAUCCCCAGGCAAUAUGUCGUUUCAAUGAUAACAUGGUUGUCCUGCUAUAAAUAGGGCACUGUACCUCUUUUUGCAUUUUUUCUACUGCAUUCUCUUGAGAGCCUUUCUUCUUCUUGCUUUUUCCUGCGCCCUUUGCUUCUCUGAGAAAAAAAACUUCGAAAGCUCUUUUGUACCGGUGUUUUUGUAUCGCGACUUCGUUUGCUUGCUGCUGGUGAUUUUGUACCGAGACAGUAACCGUUCUUCUUCUUCAGAGCUUUAUUUGGUACAUACCUCUUUGCUACUGUCAUUCCUCUGGUUGCGUUUGCUGGUUCUUUAAACUUGGUUCUGGCUUGCUUGGGCAUUGUUUUGGGCAAGUCGCUUGCAAUUGUUGUUGAAUGUUGGUACUUUGUUGGUGUUCGGGGGGGGGGGGGGUUUGAGGGGUUUUUCUGACUGCUUUGGGUUAGGGUUUGUGUAUUUUCUGACUACUUUGGGUUAGGGUUUGUGUAUUUUCUGACUGCUUGGUUUGAACCGUUGCAUUGCUUUUGUAUGUAGAUUUCGGUUUGGCUUUGUGGUAAGAAAUGGCUCCAAAAAAGACUGUUUCAUCUGCCCGGGUCAGCGAGGCUGGCGAAAAGGCGAUAGACAAAUUAAAUGUGAAGGAGUUCCGGGAGCGGUUCUGCAUCCCAAAUGACGUAUCUAUAGAGUUGGUGAACGAGGAGGCGGCUAUGCCUACUGAGAAAGGUGAAGAAAACGUUAUCCUCUUCACAAAGGAGCAAUUCAACGCGGGGCUCCGAUUUCCUCUGCCGGCGUUGUUCAAGGAAUUCCUUCACUUCUCUCAGAUUCCACUCAUCUUCAUUCAUCCCAACCUUGUUCGGGUGCUGAUGGGAUGCAGCAUUAUCAACAUACUGUACAACCUCGACCUUACGCUACUGGAAGUGUUCUUUGUCUAUUCCCUGAAGAAAGCGAAAAAUGAUAUCUUCAGUGUGUCCGCGCACCUGCCCUCCCUUCAAGUGGUGACAGAGCUGCCAGAUUCGACAAAGGGAGGGGCGAAGGGGCUGGUGGCUGUCCGGGGUGGAUGGGCGUGGCUACCGGAGCCUGCGUCGAGGCCCUUUUCUCCAAAUUAUACUUUAAAAAUUCCGGGUAAUCUUGUUUUGCGAUUCUUUGUCCGGAUUUUACUUUGCUGAUUUUUUCUGAUUUUUCCGGACGGAAUUCUCACCUUUUGUUGUUGUCAAUGCAGGUCUGGAAUUGAGGGGCCACCUUGUGGAUUGGGUGGAAAAGGCGUCCUUCGCCUGUGUCUGCAAAUUAUUCGAGAUAAAUCCCAAGGAGAUGGCCUACAAGACAUUGCUUUCCGCUCGGAAUUUGAUCGCGGUCGUCCGGGAGUCCCAGGAAUACGUUAUCAAUAUUCUCCCCAGGAAACUGGCAAAGGAUGAGAUAGUGCCUGGGGAGCAUUAUACUCUAAAGUAGCUCCCCCUGUACCAGGAAGCUAAAGAGGCUGAUAGUGAAAGACGGCGAAAGCUCCUAGAGGAUCGAGAUCAGAAAAAAAAAAUGAAGGCACUAUCCGGAAGGCCCCCGGACAGAAGCGGGGUCCGGAUUCUCCUCCAAAGAAAACUCCAGUAAAAAAGAGGAAGCUGGUGAAGAAGAAUGGGAAGGAUGUGAAGGAACCCACUCCUCCCAAGGAGUUUCCUCCUCCACAAAUUACCUACGAGGGGGAAGUAAUGAUAGAGGAGCCAGUAAACGCUGCUCCGCAUUCUAUCUCAAGCGGCCCCGGACGCAUGUCGGGGUUGAACCAUUCGGGCACUUCCUUGGCCGCAGUUGCGCGUCUGGCUAACGUGGCUGAGGAAGCUGCAUCUAUCAACCGUCCGGGCAACCUUAAUCCGGAUGCUGAUGCAGCUGAAACGACCCCGUUGGAGGAAGCGGGGACAGAAAGCCAAAGUCAGCCUUCUGACGACCCGGACCGCUUGGCCAUAGUCCCAGUGAAAGGGCCUCCUUCAAAGAAGCCGCGUUCGACGCGCAAUCUACGGUCCGGACUCCUUGGGCGGCUUCAAGAGCGGCAGCAAGAGAUUGAAGUUAGCUGCGCUUCUGCCCAUGACGCUCAUCCGGAUGGAGGUGAGGUGGAGAUGGCAACUGAGACCUCGGCCGCCCCGGUAAUAAUUCCGGCUGAAGAUGCAUCCGGACAGAUGCGUCCGGACGAAGAUGUGGAGGUCCCGAAUCCGGGACAAGAGUCACCUUCUGUUUCCUCAUCUGAGGAGGAACCUGCUGACGAUGCAGCUCCUACUAGCCCUUUCAGCUACGCGGAGUUGGAAGUUAAGCUAAAACAGAUUACACCCGACUGGAAAGCCAUCAAGCCCUCUGCUAAGAUGUUUGAUAUGAUAGAAACGGUAUACCGUUGUCUUGUGCUUUUGCUUUUUGAUUCUUUGUUGCGCUGAUGUGUUUGUUGUAGUAUGAUUUAUGUAUUUGCUUUUCUUGUUUGCUUGUCAGCUGGUGAGGGGCCUCCGCGGCAUGGCUCAACAACACGAUCUUUUUACUCAGCUGCUGCAGACUGCAGACUAUAUGAGGACCUUCUCCUCUCGGCGCCAAGAGAUUGAAAAUCAGCUGCGUCUGAGAAUGGAGGAGGCUGAGGCCAAUCUAUCCACCAUGCGAGAGGAAAAUGAAGCCCUCCGAGUGGAGUUGGCUGAGGCGAAGAGUCGAGAAGAAUCAACUGCGGGCCGCCUACAUGAGGCGGAGGGUGAGGCAGCCCGGCUAAGGGAUGAAGUAAGUCAACUCCGGACAGAAGUUUCGAAUGAAAAGAAACAGAAGGAAGACUUGCAGCUGCGCUUGGAUGUGCAAAAAGAAGAACUUGAACGGGAGUUUUCUGUGGAAAGGGAGGAACUUGCAGCGGAUUACCAGCAACAAGUGGAUGAUACGUUUAUCUUUGGGUAUCGCUGCUGCAUGAAGAAGAACGGCAUCAAGCGAGAUACCCCUUCAAUUCCUCCGGGUGAAGAAAAGAAGCUCCAUGAGAAGCCCACUCCCUGAUAGUUUAUCUCUUUUUGCCAUUUUUCUGCUGUAAUUUUUCCCUCUGUAUUUUUGUGGUCCGGAGAUCUCCUUGUAAUUUACAUUUAUUCAUAUCAAUAAAAACAUACUUCUUCUCAUUUGCACUUGUGUAUAGUUUUUAUUGAUAGUACUGCUUUAAAUUGGACACAUUCCAUGGUCUGAGUAACGGAGUGCCAUCUAGCUUUUGUAAAUGAUAGGCUCCAUUUUCGUUUGCCUUAGAUACUAUGUAGGGUCCUUCCCAAUUGGCUUGGAACUUUCCAGCGCCUACUUCAGUAGUAUUUUCAAAAACUUUUCUAAGUACUAGCGUACCAUUUUUGAAGUUUUUGGGCCUGACUUUUCGAUUGUAAUGCGCUGAUGCCCUUUGUUGAUAAUCUGCCAUCCGAAUGGCCGCGCUUUCUCUGACUUCGUCUGCCCAGUCCAAAUUUCUUCCUAGUUCCAUGUUGGCAUCUUUUUGUUUUGCUGCAUCGGUCCGGGUAGUAGGAAGACCUAUUUCAGUGGGAAUGACUGCAUCCAUUCCAUAUGUGAGGGCGAAAGGAGUGUUUCCUGUCGGCCGUCCGGGUGUGGUUCGAUAGGCCCACAGGACGCCGGGUAGCUCUUCCACCCACUUCCCUUUGGCUUGCUCAAGCCUUUUCUUUAAGGCAUUGAUUAGAGUUUUGUUUGUGGCUUCCGCUUGCCCAUUGCUUUGAGGAUAACGCGGCGUGGAGUAUGAAUUCCAGAUGUUCAGUUCCGAACAAAAAUUCCUGAAUGCAAUGCUGUCGAAUUGUGGACCAUUGUCAGCUAUGAUGAUUUGGGGAAUUCCAAAGCGGCAAACAAUGUUCUUCCAUACAAAUUUGGUGACAUCUUUGUCUUUAAUGCUUGCAUAUGCUUCAGCUUCUACCCAUUUACUGAAGUAAUCAGUGGCGACAAGGAGGAAUUUCUUCUAGGCAGGUGCUGCUGGGAGGGGUCCCACUAUGUCCAUGCCCCACUGCGCGAAAAGCCAUGGGCCUGAGACCGAUUUCAAUGCUGCUGAUGGCAUAUGUGGAAUAGGAGCGUAUCUUUGACAUUUAUCACACUUUUGGACAUAUACUGUCGCGUCUUUCUUCAUUGUUGGCCAAUAGUAUCCUUGUGAAUGAGCUCUAUGUGCCAGGGAUCGUCCUCCCGUAUGAUUUCCGCAUAUUCCUUCAUGUAAUUCAGCUAGCACAUACUGGGCCUUUGAAUGCCCAAGACAACGAAGAUAAGGCCCUGUGAAGGAUCGCUUGUACAGGUGCCCCCCAAUCAGGGUGAAACGGGCAGAUUGCACCCGGAUUUUGUGCGCGUGUUUAGGGUCUUCGGGUAAAGUGCCUGUCCGGAGAUAUUCUGCAAUAUCAUACGUCCAUUCUUGAUCAUCCGCUUGGUUUGCCUUAAUGGUGUUGCAAGUGGAAUUUUCUGCGACAGAGGGAUUGGCUUGCACAUGUAUGGGCAGUAGAAUGGCUUCUUUGAUAGGGAGGGAGGCAGCUAUGCCGGCCAAAGCGUCAGCGUGCCUAUUGUCAGCUCGCUUAAUUUUUUCGAUUGUCCACUCGGUGAAUUGCUGUAAGGUGCUUCUUACUUUGGCCAAGUAUCGCGCCAUGCGUGUGUCCUUAGCCUCAUAUUCUUUCUGUACAUGCCUUACCACUAGCUGCGAGUCGCUGUAGAUCCGGAGUUUGGAGACGGAUAGAGCAAGGGCGAGGUCCAAUCCGGACAGGAUGACCUCGUAUUCUGCUUCAUUGUUAGACGUGGAGAAUCCCAGCCGGAUGGCUUGCUCCAGAUGUUCCCCAGUUGGGGACUGUAGUAAGAGCCCAACUCUAGAGCCUGAUGAGCGUGAGGCUCCGUCAACUCGUAGUGUCCACCACUCCUAUUCACUUGAUUCGUGGUGCUGGUUGGGUCUUCGUGAAUAUUCGAGCACAAAGUCGGCCAUUACUUGGCCUUUUUUGGAUAAUCUGGGUUGGAAUUCGAUUCCAAAUUUGCUCAAUUCGAUGGCCCAUUGUAGCAUUCGCCCAGUUAAAUCUGGUUUGUGCAGAAUGCUACGAAGGGGUUGGUCGGUUAGUACAAUCACUGGGUGGGCUUGAAAAUAGGGGCGGAGCUUUUGGGCAGCACUUCGAAGAGCUAAGGCUGUUAGCUCCAUUUUUGAAUACCUGGUUUCUACAUCUGCCAAUGCCCUGCUGACAUAGUAGACAGGUUUUUGCUCCUUUGGUGAAGAGCAGCGGAAUAGAACGGCGUUGAUUGCCCAUUCUGAGACAGCCAGAUACAUGUAUAGCUUCUCAUUUGGGAUGGGGCUGCUCAAGAUGGGUGGAUGCAUAAGACAAUGUUUAAUUCUUUCCAACGCGUUUUGGCAAUUGUCCGUCCACCCAUGCGUUCCAGCUUUUCGUAUCGCCAAGAAGAAGGGUCGCAACUCAUCAGUGAAGCGGGCUAUGAAACGCCCUAACGCAACGAGCUUGUCUGUGAGGCGUUGUAACUCCUUUUUGUUCCUGGGAGGAGGUGUCUCCAUGACUGCUUUGACUUGAUCCGGGCUGACUUCUAUGCCUCUUUGGCUGACCAUAAAUCCCAGAAAUUUGCCAGCACUCACGCCAAAGGCACAUUUGGAAGGAUUUAGCUUCAUGCCAUACUUUCGCAAGAGAUAAAAAACUUCUUGUAAAUGGAGGAUAUGCUGCUCUCGAGUUUUUCUUUUAACCACGAUAUCGUCAAUGUAUACCUCGACCGAGCGGCCUAUCAGAGGUUUGAAGAUUUUAGUCAUCAAUCUUUGAUACGUGGCGCCAGCGUUUUUGAGUCCGAAUGGCAUGACUUUGUAGCAAUAGAGGUCGUGUGGCGUUAUGAAUGCUGUUUUUUCUUCGUCAUCCGGGGACAUGGGGAUUUGAUGAUAUCCGGAGAAGGCAUCCAAGAAAGAGAGCAUCCCCUGCCCGGAAGUGGAAUCCACAAUCUGAUCUAUUCGCAGUAAGGGGAAACUGUCUUUUGGACACGCAUUGUUGAGAUUGGUGUAAUCUACACAAACUCGCCAUUUUCCUUCUUUUUUGGGUACCACGACUACGUUUGCCAGCCAAUCCGGAUAAGAAACUUCUCUGAUGAAUCCGGCUUCGAGCAAUUUAUCAAUCUCGUUCCGGAUGAUUCUUUGUCUAUCCGGGUGGAAGCGCCUAAUCCUCUGCCGGACGGGUCUGGCAGUUGAAAAGACGUUAAGCCUGUGAGAUGCAAUGGAGGGAUGAAUUCCCUUCAUGUCAGAAUGUGCCCACGCGAAGAUGUCAUGGUUCUGUCUGAGGGUUUUUUGCAUGCCCUGAGUUUCUUCUUGUGUCAUGAGGGAACUGAUGUUUGUGAGGUGAUCGCUUUCCUCCGAAAUUUGGAUUGUCUGUAAGGGAUCUGCUACCGGGGGAUCUUUGUCCGCCGGACCCAAUAAUUGCUAUUGGUCGUGCGCAAUGCUAGGUUCAGGGGGAGAUGCAUCCUCCUGGUUAGCGACUGCUUCACGUGCUAUUUGAUAGCACUGGCGAGCGGCUAAUUGGCUGCCAUACAAAUCAGUUUGCCCUUCGUCGGUGAGGAAACUCACCAUUAGAUGAUAUGUGGAAGGGAUGACUUUCAUGUAGUGAAGUCAUGUGCGUCCCAAGAUGACAUUGAAGGGUGAUAACUCUUGUACCACUGAGAAUUGCACGUUGAGAGUGACUGGGCCAGCUUGGACCGGCAGUAUAAUGUCUCCUAAGGAUGUGGUUGAUGAUCCGUUGAAUCCGGAUAAGAUUCGUCCGGGGUUUUCGAGACCCGCGAGACUAUGUCCCAUAUGGCCAAUGACUAAUGCUUGCACCAGAUCGGCUGAACUGUCUGGGUCAACCAAGAUACGUCUUACAUCGAAAUCUCCUAUUUCUAGGGAGAGGAUGAGGGCGUCGCGAUGUGGCUGUAGCGUCCGGGUGGGAUCUACUGGUGGGAAAAUGAUUGUCCCAUCUAUGAGGCGAGGGCCCUCUCCAGUAAGACCCGGCCGGAUGGAAUUAAUGCGUUCGUGUAUUGACGCGGCUCGCAGCAAUUUCUGCCUUUUCCGCCUGGAAUCGUAUUCCUCGUCAGAUGGGCCCCCGUUGAUAUAGUUUAUGACAGCCUUGGGGGCGACUGGGGCCCUCGGGGCCCCAGAGUUAUGAUGUUGAGAUACGUCCCUUCCUCCAGUAUCUGAGCGGAGGUACUGUUUUAAAUGUCCUGCUUUGAUGAGCCUUUCAACUAGAUACUGGAGGGACCGACAUGUCUCUGUUGUAUAACCAUGGUCUUUGUGGAAGGCGUAUUUCUUGCUGCGGUCUCUCAUGGAUGGGUCCGUUUCGAGGGGCAUAGGCCACCUGAAGUCGGACAACCCUUGGAUCAUUGGGAGAAGUUUUUCGUAUGAUACGGAUAGGGGUGUGAUGGGCGGCCUAUCCGGACAACUCGGCCCGUCCUGCCUCCGGUCAACUGGUUUUGGCCGAUCCGGAGGUUUGGCAUGUCUGUCCGCGUUAUCUCUAGAAGCCCGUCCGGCAACCAAAACUUGCUGAGUGACUGCACGCACGUCAUCUUCGAGCAUUGAAUAUUUGUUAGCACGUCUGAACAAAUCGUCCAUCGUUGUAGGAGGCUUUUUGGCCAGCGAUUCGAAAAAUGGAGUGCCUGGACAGAUGCUUCUCUUGAAGAUCUGUAGGAUAGCAUCCAUGCUGCAAACCUCUAUUUGAAGUAUGGCUUGGCCAAAUCGUUUCACAAAUUCCCUCAAGGAUUCGUUGUCUCUCAUUUUUAUGUUCUGGAGGGUGCUGAUAUUCUGCUUGUGUCGAGCAGAGCACAAGUACUGUCCCACGAAUGCUUCAGAGAGGUCCCUGAAAUUGUCAACAGAGUUAGGAGGUAGGCGAUGAAACCAUGAGAGGGCCUGCCCUUGAAGGCUGGCGGGGAAUACUUUGCAUAGCAAUGCAUCGUUGCCAAUAUCGAGCGUCAUAAGCUGUCGAUAGUGCAUGAUGUGAUCGAAGGGAUCGUUGGUCCCAUCAUAUGUGGAAAACUUUGGUACGAGGAAUCCCCUUGGGGGCUAGUAAUGGGUGAUAUGAGAGCAAAAGGGCGUGGAGAGCAUGUCAUCCAACCUUUUGCUGAUGGAGCCAAUGGGUGGCUCGUUUGGGAGGUUUCUCCCAGCUGGUCGUUCCGCUAGGUGUGAGUGAACGUUCCACAUCGCUGGGGUGACCAUGGGGUCACGAUGCGGAGGUACGUUCUGCACCAUGGGAGCGAUCAUAGGAUCGGGGCGUGGUGCCCGGGUUGUGGCUACUGGUGGCCUUGAUCUCCCAGGCUCUUGUGGGCCUAGUUUUGCGCGCAUAGAGCUUGACAACUGUGAUUUUCUAUCACGUUGUCUUUUUGCUGAAAAAUGAGUGGAAUCUGAGCUUUCCUCACGGGGAGCUCGAGGCAUGGGUGUGCGUGGCUCAUGGGGCCUUGCGUUGUAUGCUCCUGGGAUAGCUCCUGUUGACCCAGGAUAUAUUGAUUUUGGCUCUGGCCUUGAGUUUGCCACCUAGCCUCUUGAACGCUGACGACGAGGAGGACCUGACGUUGAGGCUUGAAUGCGUAACACAACGUUUUCUUCCCUUAACCUCUCCGUCUCCUGGAGGAGAGCUCUUAGCUGUUUUUCGCUCGCCAACUGUCUUUUUUCGAUGGCCUGACGCCAUUCGUGAUUAUCUCCCUCCUCUCUACCAGAUGAUCGACUUUGGGAAGGUGUGGCCAUCUUUGCUAGUGACUGAAUCAAAAUAAAAAGUAAAAGUUUCCCACAGACGGCGCCAAUGUUGUAGCCUCGCGUAUCUGAUGGUCCACGUUGCUGCUAGAUGGAUGGACACGUGAUUCUCAACACACAAGGGGUUCUUGAUUCAGCGGUUGCACCUGCAAAAGGCAUCCGGACAGGGUGUCCGGACGCACCCUCCGAUGGUUUUGUUAGCCAUGGUGAGAGAGAUAUAUAUAAAUCAGUUGGCCUUUUACUAGGUAUCAAGAGGUUACCAGGGGGAUCCCCUUCUUCUUCGUGUGAAGGCAUAUAUAUACAGCUUCAGGGGUACUGCUCCUUUCAUUAAUGGUGAGGAGAUAUUUUAUGUUGUAAUGAUGAUAAUAGGUGUUAGUAGAAGCACUAUCAUCCUACGAAUGGCUGUCAGAGACCAUGGUAGGUGAUGCGGCUGUCAGAGAUCGUGGGAAGUGAUUAUGUAGAAUGAUCGUGGGAAGUGACUUGCUGUCACUUCCUCUUGUCUUCUCAUUCUACAGGUGAUGGGAUGUGGGCCAUGGCUGCUUGUUGUGAUUGCGUGUAAGACUCGCUUUACUUUAAUUGACCAUCCAGACGAUUUAUAUCCGGAUGGCUCAUGCUGAUUAUCCGGAUGUGUUGUGGAGACUAUCCGGAUGUCUACGCUCUGCCAUCGUCGUUUGCUUUUCCUUGGAUAGGAGAAGCUGAAACGUCGUUUGCCUUUCCUUGAGGCGGUCCGGAUAGGAUAACUGCACCAUGCAUAUCCUUAGGGGAAUCCGGAUGAUGAUGGUCCGGCUGAUAACAUUUGCCACGCGUCACCAUGAGCUGCGUGCCACAUGUUUCCCAAGAGGAGGGGUCCCUACAGUUCCUAUCCAUCUUUAAUUUGUGAAUGUUUACAAUUGGGGAUAUCAUCAAAGGGGGUAAUACAAGAAGUUUGUUUAUAUAUCGUGCGGAUGAUAAAAUUUCUGCUUACUAAAUUUGGAAUGGAAGUCAACACAUUGAAUGAGUGGCUUUACUGCUUUUGAUAUCUUAAUGCAAAGCCCCAGAGAUUUGAGGGAUAUGGACAUUGAAGAUUACCUUUUAGGUGCAGGAGCCUUAAGUUCUAGGGAUUUGAACAUGAUUCUGCCUGAUGGGGUUCCGGUGAAGAGCCCUAUCACAAAAGGGCUAGCCUCCCCCGAGAUAAAAGCCCUGGCCUCAUCAAAGAGCAUAGGGAAGAUUCCGGCGAAGAAGCAUAAAAAUACUGACUGGCUUGGUCGGAAGCGAAGUGCAUUGAUGGUAGUGGCAUCACUGCUUGCAACCGUGGCCUUCCAAGCUGGAAUAAGCCCACCAGGAGGUGUUUGGCAAGAUGAUCUUACAGUAGACUCCGAUGGCAACUCUGUUGAGAACCCACAAAGUUGGUACUGCUGUAAUGCCAUGCAGCCAGAGAGUUGAGUAUGGUCGGUACAUGAUGUUCAACGCACUCGUUUUCCUCGCAUCUCUCAGUAUAAUCCUUCUACUUGUUAGUGGACUACCUCUAAAACGGCGGAGAUGGAUGUGGGUUCAAAAGGUAAUAAUGUGGAUUGCUAUCAGUGCGCAGGUCGUUAUUUGAGUGUGGGAUGUCGUGUCACAAGUGUGGAGAAGUAGCUUCAGCUUCAGCUAGUCUGGUUCCAGAUCUGGGGAAAUCCACAAUUAAAAUUUUCAAGGAAAUCAUUCUCAGAUCCUGAUUGUUUCAGCUGGCAAGCCCUGAAUCCAUCAUUGUAACAAAUUAUUUGCUCUCCACUUUGUACAUAGUAUGUAUUUUUUGGAGACACCCAAUAAAAUAAGAAUGAGCAGAGACAAAUUGUACACUAUAUUUUCUUGAAACCCCUACCAAUGGAAGAUAUGUUUGUAUCUAUAUCAAGAUUUUCUAUCUUCUGUAUCCAGAAAGGCUGGUGGUGGAAUUCAAAGAUUCAAAUUGGAAGAGCACCCAUCAAUUGACAUACUCUAAAACUAUGACUGAUCUUCUUAUCUAGGUAAUUCCAUGCCUCCAAAUGAUUAACAGAAAUGUUAAUAAGAGAAUUGUUUCUGGGUCUUUCCUUUUCAUGUUAAGGUUUAGUCUCACUCAUUGUUUAGAAGUAUAUUCCAAGGGCAUAUGGACUUUUCUCCUUUUUCCCUUCGCUUUCCUUCCCUUCCAUUUAAUCAGCAAUAGGAAUUAUCAAACAUUAAUGCUUAAUAGUGUUAAAUAUUAGGUUGUUUGUUUUUAUAGUAUUUUAUUUUUAUUAAGUAUUAAAAAGUAAAAAAAACCAAUGUGUUAUUUUUUCUAUUUAGAAAAAACUACAUAUUUUGGUUAUUUCUAUUUAGUAAAAAGUUUACAAUAAGUUAUGAAAAAGUAGAAAAACAAAUAACUUAAAUUUUAAAACUAAAUUAUUUUAAGCAAAAAGUAAAAAAAAAACAAACACCACCACUUGAGGAUAUUUAAUUAUUUCAUAUCAGCUAUUCAAAUUUGUGAUUAUGAGUUCAUCAUAAAUUAAUAAGAAUUCAACAUUUAUAUAAAACUCAAGCAAAAAUAUUUUAUUCGGAAAUUAGAUUUAUUAAAUUAAAAAAAUUCUCCUAUAUAAAACCAAGCCAUAAAAUCAAACCAAUCAAGUGGAUGUAUCGGUAGAUUUGGGUUGAUCUUAUCACUAUUAUCAUUUUUGUGGGGAAAAAAAAUGCUUUCCUUCAAAUUAAAUCCUCCAACUGGUUUUUGAAAUGAAGAUAUAUUUUGGACUGGGAGAUUUGCAUUUUAUAUUUUAUAUUUUAUAUUUUCAUAAACCUCACCUAGUUGUUGAGUCUCCGAGGAAAAAAAACAAAAAGGAAAAAGAGAUGAUAUAUCUGUGGCUAAUAUAUGAAGUUGUGAUUCCUGUGAAUGGGGCCAUUGACCGUGAAAAUCCUUGAGUCAAUCACACUAUCUAUAGCAUCAAGUCAUCGACACCACCUUUAUUGCUGUUGGUUGGUCUUGUAAGUCUAGCUGAAAAAAUUGUUGAAAAUUUUGAAGAACUUCCGACGACUUGUUUCUUUUACGAAUGAUUGAUGCUAGAUUGAGAGCGAGAAUGAGACGAAUUCGCCGUUGGAACAAAUUCUUUGCUACCUUUUACAUUGUAAGUAUUUUUUGUAGACACCCAAUAAAAUAAGAAUGAACAAAAACAGAUUAUACACUAUAUUUUCUUGAAACCUCCACCAAUGGAAGAUACGUUCGUAUCUAUAUCAAGAUUUUCUAUCAGAAAUGCAGGCGGUGGAAUGCAAAGAUUCAAAUUGGAAGAGCACCCAUCAAUUCACAUACUCUAAUGCUACAUUUAGUUUACACAAAAUACCAAGAAAAAAAAAAUGUUUUCUCAUAUGAAAAAUAUAAAAUAUAUAUAUAUAUAUAUUGUAUAUAAUAUAAUUAAAAUUAAUAAAAAAAACUUAUAUAUUUUUAAAUUAUUUAAUCUUUAGGUAAAAUAGUUUAAUAAAUGAAAAAAGCUUGAAGUAUAAUAUAAAAUAACUUAAAUUUAUUUUUUUCACUUUUUAUUUUCUUUUACUUUUUUGGUUUUUUUUCCUUUAAUUAUUUUGGAGGGAGGAAAAAAAAAUAAUUUCAUUGGUCAAUUCACUUUUUGAUAUGAAAAUUUAUUUUAAUAGAAAUAGUUAUGAUUUUAAUAAUUUGUGAUUCGAUCCAUUUCAUUAAGGAAAUAAUAACCCUAAUAAAGAUUGACAUUAUUGAACUUUAAUUUGACACUACCAAUAGAGUUAUUAAUUGCUCCAAACUAUUUGGUAGAGAUGCCAAAAGAAUUAGAGCACAAACUUUAUUAUCGAAAUCAAUUUCAACAAAUGACAAUUGAUAAAUCAAUUUCAACAUAUGACAAUUGAUUAACAAUCACGUUGAACUCAUUGAGAUGUGUUACAACUUAAGCACCUUCUCCCAUUUUUAAAUGAAACAAUUUCUUCAUGAGAAAUACCUUAUUAUUCACAAGCAACUUCUCAUACAUGUGAGAUAAUACCUUUAUUAAUCCCACAUCAAUUUCUCCUUUGCCAUGUUAUGCGCAACGUUCUUUGACAAUGUCAAUCGAAUAACUCCCAACACUCUAUCAAGGAAACCUUAAUUACCAUCCGACAUCUCUUUUGGUUUCAUCCCAAAAAAGGUAAAUGAAGUUUCUUAUUAUAUAGAUAAUUUUCGAUUUGUAUUCUCUACAAAGCAAAAUUUGUACUAUCAAACUUUUCAAUUCCAUGUAUUGAACCAUCUUUGCUAGUCAUCGCUUCCAAUCACAAUAAAAAAACUUUGAUAUCAGUUAGGAUUAAAACCAUGAUUUUAAAAAUUGGAUCGACCAAUCCAAUCGACUGAUCACAAUUCCAAUCCACUUCCAUCAAUUGGGUCGAAAAGUAGUUGGACUAGUUAAACCGACAAAUCGAUUGGCAAACGAAGCCGUUCACUCUGAACCGUUUGGUUAACCAUUUUUUUUUAUUUUUUCCAGCAACCCCUCCCGCCUGUAGAACCCCCUUCCCCCACGCCGUUGGAAAACCGACCCCCCUUCCCUCUCGAAAGCCCAUUCUCUCCCUGCUGGAAAGCCCCCUUUUCCCAGCAACCCCAUGGCAGAAACCCUUCUCCCCACCCCACCUUCCCAUUUUUGGCCGCCCCUCUCCUCCGUUCCUUUCUAGAUUUUUUUAUUUUUAUUUUUUACCUUAUCUCCUUGUUUCAUUUUUUUUAUAUUUAUUAUUUUUUUAAUUUAUGAUUUUAUGAUUUUAAAACAAUUAAAUUUCAUUAAAAAAAGUCUCUGAAUAUUUUAAGCUGUUAAAGAGAUUAUUUAUUUAUUUCUUUGCUACAAAAAUAGUCCAUGGUAUUAUUAUUUAUAUAUAUGGAAUAUUGAAUGAGUGUUGGGAUGGUUAGCAUGUUAGAUAAUACUAACUAGAUUUAUUUUUAUGGAAUCAAAAUAAUCUUAAUUGGGAAAAAUAUUUUCGGGUAAAGAGUUAGAAGAAUUUUUCUAAGGCUAUUUUUUUCUUAAAUAAGUCAAAAAAGAGUUAUUUUUAUCAAAUGAUAUCAAUCUUAAGAUUAGUUUAAAUAUUUUAUAAUUUUGAAAGAGAAUAUUUUAAAUAAUUAUGGAGGAUAAUUUUGUAGCUGAAAAUAUCUAAUUUUUUUUUGAAAAAAGAAUAAUUUUAAUCCACUUAAUGAAAAAAAUGAUAAUUUUAUUAUUUUAGUAUGUAAAUUUAUUUAAAUAAAAGUAGAAAAGGAAUUAAUUUUUCUAAUGAAUCACAUAUUAAGAUAAAGUAAUUUUGCUGUAAGAAAAUUUAUUGGAUGUGUAAUAUAAAAAUGGGAGGAUAAAUAUUUAUAUGAAUUAAACUUGUUUUAAUUCAAAGAUAAUAGAAAAAGAAAAUGAGAAAAUGUAAUAUUAAUAAGAUAAAGUAGUUGACUGUGGACAUCUUGGAGUCAAUCACUCUAUGGAAAAAGGCGCCGCCUAUCAAAUCACUUAUUUAUUUCUAGGGAAGCGUGUCACUAUCUAUUAUCUAUUGAAUCUAGUCAUCAUAACCGGAUUUGUGGUGGCUAAAAUGUGAUUGGUGGAUUUACUUGUACAAAAUUCUUUUAAGUACUGCCGCUGACUGCACCUGUUUCUUUUACUAAUGAUUGCAAUUUGGGGUCAAAAUGGCCGUUUUGUUACAAAAAUCGCAACAUCCCGGCAAUUAUUCAAACUUCUGUUCAAAAUGUUCUCUUUUAAGGGAGAAUUACCCCUUAAUGGUAGGCCGGAAAAAAAUAUGACCGAUCAGGGUGGGUAAAUUUGAUAAUUAUUGUAAAUGGUAGGAUAAAAUUAUGAUAAUUCCUCCAAAGAUUUAUUUUGUUUAAAUGUCAAUACUACCCUUAAUAAGUGAAAAAUAGCAGCAAAGUGAAAAGCAAUAGAAAAUAAAAAAGAGUUUUCUUUAACCUACCUGGAGUUUGUCGGUGUUGUAGAAGAAAAAAGGAAAAGGAAAGAGGUCUAACACUUCAGGUCAUUAUCUGCAACCGUUUACACAAAACUUGUUUUUUUUUUUUUGUGAAUCUAGCAAGAAAUCCAUUAAAGGUCAGUUUUUUUUAAAAUACAAAAAAAAAAAACGUCAGUUUAUGGAAAAAUAAAUAAAUAAUUUAAAAAUCGGAUUGAAUGAAGGAAAAGUUAAUAAUUUUAACAAUGUAGCUGUAAGAUAUUAGAUCUGAAAUAUUGAAUGAGGUUUUGAGAAAGAAAUUACAUUUUUUUUAAAUGUUAUUUAAAUUUAUUAUUUUGAAUUUUUUUAUAUUAUUUUGGUCAUAUUGAAGAUGUGUUUUUAUUUUUAAUUUAUUUUAUGGGUGGGUUGUUUGAUAUGAUUAUUAUUGAUUUCCAUUGAAAAGGUUUGCACUUUAGUUUUGUUGUUAAGACUUUUUGACAUGAUUGAAGAAAAAAUGUUCUCAGUUGUUUCAUGCUUGUUUGAGACCACUUUGUUUGUGUAUUUAUGAACAUAUUUGGAUUGUCAUUGAAAACUGAAAUCCCUUUUGUACGAGACCACUUUGUCUUUUAUUAUGAAUUUGUUAAAGAGUUAAAAUCACUAUAUUUUUGUUAUAAAUCUGUUACCUUUUUGUAUAAGUAUUAUUUUGGUAUGAUGAGUCGAAUGCCUAAUAGUUUGAAGGUUGUGUAAAAGAACCAUUAUUUCAGUUAUAAAGUAUAAGUACAAUACAAAUGCAAUAUAAUUACAAUAAAAAGACAUUAACAUUAUGAUACAUUACAAUAUACCAAAAUGACAAAAUAUUGAAUUAUUUUUUACUGAAUUGCCAUUUCUAGGCUAUCAUGUUGUAUUCCUAUCAUAAAGCAUCCUUGCAAGCCAAAAUUAUAUAUAAAAAAAACAACAAAAAAUACACUAUUGUAAUUUCAAUACAUGAAGUUGUUGAUGAUAAUCCAAUGAUGGAUAAUAAAAAAUUUAUAAAAUUAAUUUUUUUUAUAUAAAAAUAUAGAGGUAUAAUAAAAAUACACUACAAUUACAAUACAAAUACAAUAAUAUUACGAUACAUUACGAUAAGGUAAAAUUUUGAAAAUGUCAAAUUUCUUAUGAAACUGGGCAAUUAUGGGUUCUUUGGCAUAUCCCUAACAUGUAUAAUAUACAACAAAUAUUGUUAUUUAUUAUAUAAAAUAUGUCUCAAUUGAUUAUAAUUUUCAUUUGUUUAUUUUGUAUUUGUUGUAAAAUUUUCAUUGAUUGUAAUAUUGUGAAAUAAAUUGAUUUGAUUGACGGUGAAAGAAGAUGUACUUCUGAAUUGGUAAAUGGACUUGGAAAAUUCCAUUUAUGGCUACCUUCAUGAAGGAGGGGAGAUUGUACCUAAGGAGGAUAAACAAAUACAAUACAAAGGUGGGCAACAAAAAGGCAUGUACAUUGGACAAGGGAUGUCAUAUGCUGAAUUUGUUUCAAAGGCAUGUGAACGGUUGGAUAUUAAUUCAAAUGGAUAUGCAUUUCAUUACACCCUUGAGUUUGAUCCAUCUACACUUCAACAAUUGGAUGAUGAUGAGGACAUGCAUAUGAUGUUAUCCCAUAGUUAUGAUUAUGCUCGUAUUUAUGUAUUGAAAUGGACUCGAAGAGUAGAAGUUGAAGGAGGUAUAGUGAAUGUGCAAAAUGAUUAUUGGUAAGUGAUAUAUCUUGUAUUAGUUGUCAUUAAUUUCAUGAUGCAAAGUGAUUUUAAUAUUAAUUAACUGAGUGUGUUAUAAUAUGCAGUCACAAUAGUACGGAGGAAACACACAAUUCAAUUGCAUCAUGUCAAGCAAACAAUGAGUCUAAUUUAGGGCUUUCUCAAGGCUUCAUGUCCAGAUGUGCAGAAACUGAAGUUAUGCCAUAUGAUUUAAGUCUUUGUCCUCAACCUAUUAUUGGGAGUGGGCAUAGUUUUCCUAAUGCAGAUGAAUUUAGAAAUGCAUUAUAUACGAUGUCAUUAGUUGGUAGAUUUCAAUACAAAUUCAAAAAGAACUCUCCAAAGCGAAUAUCUGUGUGUUGUUUAGUGGAUGGGUGCCCUUGGAGAAUAACUGCUAAUUCAGUAGGCACAACCAAAAUUUUGAAGGUUAACAUCUUCAUUGAUGUACACAAUCAUUGUGCAGAUGUUGAGUGUUCAAGCCAACCUUCAAUGCGGGGAAGGAGAGGUGGUCGUGUCAUAGAGCAAGUAAUAAGGGCAACCCCUCAGUAUUUGCCCUGUCAAAUUUGCAAAGACUUUAGGAGUAGGUAUGGUGUUUCAUUGAGUUAUAAGCAAGCUUGGACAUACAAAGAAAUGGCAAAAGAGAGAAUAUAUGGUUUUCCAGAAAACUCAUAUAUGUUGUUGCCAUGGUUAUGUCAGAGAUUGGUAGAGAUUAAUCCAGGGACGAUUGCUGAAUGUAGCAAACAAGAUGGACAUUUUUGGCAAUUGUUCAUUGCAGAUUCUUUUUCAAUUCAAGGGUUUUUAAUGGGUUGUCAACCUGUUAUUGCAAUUGACUCAACUCAUUUGAGUGGACCGUAUAGGGGCUCCUUAUUUUCUGCAACAGCUUAUGAUGCUGAUGAUGGCAUGUUCCCAAUUGCAUUUGGUGUUGUAAGUUCAGAAAACUAUGAGGAUUGACUAUGGUUUUUGCAGAAAUUGAAGGGCAUACUUCAAGAUAAAGAGGUAGUCAUAAUAUCAUAUAGGCAUCAAGCAAUCCUUCGUAGUGUUUCUCAACUUUUUGGAGUAGAAAAUCAUGCAUAUUGUUAUCGUCAUGUGAAAGAGAAUUUUAGUAGCUAUGUGACGAAACAUAGUAUGAAGGGAAAAAAAAUGUAAAAUGGAUGCAUUGUUGCUACUUGAUAAUGUUGCGUAUGCUAGGUUGGAUGAUGAUUAUGUUGUAGCCAUGGAAAAAUUAAAGACAUAUAACAGUGACCUAGCGAAGUGGGUUGAAGAGAAUAGUCCACAACAUUGGGCAAUGUCAAAGUUUGCCAAAAAACGAUGGGAUAACUCAUUAGGUGUGUGCUGGAAUAAAUCUUUGGAAAGGUCUUAGUUUGAGCAAAGAACUAUUUUUUCUAUUGUGUUUUGUUGGUUGAAAGAAAAAAAAAAGAUUUUGUUCCACCUUUUUGAAAAUUCUUCAAUCUUCCUUGUAGAAAAAUGGAUGGUAGGAAAAGAUUAAGGGUUAGACUAAAGUUAUCUUGGAAUCUAGAAGAUGAAGCUAUAAAAGAAUGUUAGUAAAAUAACAUUUCCUAUGCCACCAAUAUUCAAAAACUAGAUGUUACUAAGGCAUCAUCAUCAAUUUUGCCAAAAAUAAAUAACCCCAUUUUAUAAGGAACAAGAUUUCAUUUCUUUUGGUUUAGAUUUGUUCUUUGUCCAUCAUCCAUUACAAGGUUAACCAACUAGCAAGACAACCUAUUUUUUCUUAUUCAAUCAUGAUCUGCAACUUUUUGGACAUAAUAAAAGCAUGGAAUAUGACUCAAAAAUGCAAAACAUGUUGCCUAAUGCCUUGUUUUACACAUAUAUAGGAUGAGAAUUGAAAAACAUAUAAUUCUAAAAAUUGAUAAAUUUUUUUGAAGUAAACUACUAGUGAUUUGAACAUAAUUUUUUCAUAAUAAUUCUUCAAAUCUAACUUCAAGAAUUUAGAUAUAUAUAUAAGCUAAAGGUAGAAGUGCAAAUUGUGCUAAAUAAUGGAUUCCCUUAAUCUUACUAUAUUUGCGAUUUGGGCGGGUUAUUCAUCAAUUACUUAUGCGAUUCUUUUCUAUGACCAAGUGGUUCACCUUUGGUUUUUUGAGGACUAUACCUUAGGUACUACUUCAAUAAUCCUUAGGUAUCACCUUAAUCUACCUUAGGUACUACCUUAGUCAAAGUUGGGUUCUACCUAUCCCAAGUCUCGAACCUUCAAUCCCGGACAUUACUUGUUAUAUUUUAAAAUUUGUAGUUUAUCAUUACUAAUACUUUGUAUUUUUAAAAUAUGAUAUUAUUUUAAAUUGCACAUGUUUUUUUUAGAUGAUGUUAAAUAUUAUUUGACUAUGUGGCUUAUUUCUACAGGUGCAGUCUUAUAAACUAUGGAUUGAAAUGGAAAAUAUUGAGAAAGGGAUUGUAGAAAUCAUUGCUCAGAAUAAUAUAAAAUGGCUUGUUAUGGGAGCUGCAACAAAUAAAUAUUAUUCAAAGUAUUAACCAUCUAUUACAAGUUGUUAUUGUUGAUUGCAUUGAUUUAUUUGAUAUUGUUGUAGAAUUACUCGAGGCUUCCACCCUAGGCAUUUGGGAUAAAAGUUUUGUUGAAUUUAGUGGAAUUUCUUGAAGCUUCUACAAGAAUUAUCCAAUAUUAGUGCACAAGUAUUGUUGCUCUGUAGGAGGCCUCUUGAUGUAGCCUAGUUGGUUAUAAAUUGCUAUGAAGAUUAACCCAAUUUUAAGUCAUCAAAAAUCAGCUCAAUGUGCAGAUAUCAAAAUAGCUAAAACUUAUACGAAUUUAAUUGAACUUGCAUUUGCUUUCAAAAAAUUUUAAAAAUAAAAAAGUCACGUGAAUGGACAUACUCUUAACGUUAUGUUUAGUUAUUAAAAAAUAUAUAAAAAAAAAAUAAUUUUUUUUUCAUAUCUAACUUCAUCACAAAAUAUAUAUAAAAAUAAUUAAAAUUAAUUUUAAAUUUAUUUAUUUUAAAAAUUGUUUUGUAUUUUUUAUGUUUUGAUUUUAUGUAAAUAAAGUUAUGUAUAGUUAAAAUUAAUAAAAAAAUUAUAUAUAUUUAAAUUAUUUAAUCUUUAAAUAAAAUAGUUUAAUAAUGAAAAGAGUUUGAAGUAUAAUUUAAAAUAACUUUUUUUUUUAUUUUUUAUUUUCUUUUACUUUUUUGGUUUAUUUUCCUUCAAUUAUUUUGAAAAACCAUCAAAAUAAAUUAAUAAAAAUUCAACAUUUAUAUAAAAAUGAAGCAAAAAUAUUUUAUUCGGAAAUUAGAUUUAUUGAAUUAAAAAAAUUCUCCUAUAUAAAACCAAACAACCAAAUCAAACCAAUCAAGUGGAUGUAUCGGUAGAUUUGGGUUGAUGGGACUGGGAGAUUUGCAUUUUAUAUUUUAUAUUUUAUAUUUUCAUGAAACCUCGGAAAAAAACAAAAAGGAAAAAGAGAUGAAAUAUAUGAAGUUGUAAUUAUUGUGAAUGGGGCCAUUGACCGUGGAAAGAUCUGAGUCAAUCACCUCGCCGCCUGUCACGCGGAUAAAUUUGACAUUUCUCCGCCGCCUACCACGUGGAGAAAUUAUUUAGUAAGAUAAGAUAUGAAUAAUAAAAUUAUAAAUUAUAUUUUUAUAAAAAAGACUUCUUUAUAUAUAUGAAAUCUACAUAAAAUAUUCAUAUAUAUAUAUAUAUAUAUAUAUAUAUAUAUAUAUAUAUAUAUAUAUAUAUAUAUAUAAAUAAAUAAUAAUAACUUUUAAUAAUAUUCUAUUUAAAAUAAAUAAUAAAUAAAAUUUAAUUUUUUUUUAAUAUGUAAAUGAGUCGACUUCAACAUUUAAUAUGUCGAUUGAAAGUCAUAUAAUACAAAUUUAUUGUUCUUGUGGUCUUAAUCAAUUUGUACGGAGGAAAUUCUCCCAAUUUAAUUUUAUAGCAGAAGGGGCCUUCUGUACGUUUUUCUAUUUUCUUUGAGUUGAUUGUGACUAACAAUUGGACAAGAGAACAUUUCAAUACUAUGACUAAAUAUUAAGGCUUUGUUUGACCAUUGUUUUGGAUAAUGGUUUUUUAUUUUUUAUAAAUAAAAAAAUAAGAAAAACAUCGUGUUCCUCCCUAGGAAAGCUGGGGGCUCUCACUGUAUUGGUUUUCUGGAUUUUUUUUAAGGUAAGCGAGACAGCAUUGAGAGUUCUUGCUUGGGCCUGGUUUUUUUUUUUCCUGCAAGGGCGGCUGUAAAAGGGUGUCAUCCCCCUCUCCCUAUUUUUUUUAUUAUAAAUUUAUAUGUAUGGAGAAAAUUCUCCCAAUUUAAUUUUGUUGUUUGGAUUUGAAGAUUAGAGGAUUGCUCAUUAUAGUUAAAGCAUUUUCACUGAACCUCAUGAAUAUUAUGUCUUAUUUUUGUAUCUUUUGCUGUGUUUCUUUAUUUUAUAGGAUAAUUUAGUUUGUAUUUUAUUUGGUGUUUUUGAAAGUCUGAACAAAACACAACAAAUUGAUAUGAAAGCUUGGCACGACAUACACAUCUUCCUCCUCCCCUUUGCUCUUUUCCCAUAUUUCCUUUCCAUUUUUCCUCUGCCAGUCUCCCUUGAUUUCUAUGUUCUAGCUAGCAUUUAUCAUAUAGGCUACUGUGGGAGAUAUUUUUGACGACUUGACGAUAUGCACAAUUCAUUUCAUUAAGGAAAUAAUAACCCUAAUAAGGGAAGAAUUGAAAGAGAAAUGUGAAGUCUGAAGUCAUUUUAUUUAAAUAAUCAUAACCUUAUUUAUUGAAUUUUAAUUAUAAUAAUAAUAAUAAAUAUUGAUAUACUUAUUUAUGUGGAUUUGCUUGUACAAAAGUCUACGUGAAAACAAUGUUGAAAAUUCCGGAGUACUUCCCCGAACCUCACCUGUUUCUCUUAUGAAAAUUCUUUAAGUACUUGGAUGACUUCCCCUGUUUAUUGCCUGUAUGAUUGAUGCUUGAUUGAGAGGGAGAAUGGACAGGAAAUUUGGGGAACAACAUCUAAUGAGAGAAAGAGAGAAAAGGUUGUACGAGGCAUCUGUGGAUGGAAGCGUGAAUUCCUUGAAGCAGUUGAUGAAGGAAGAUCCACUCGCUCUAGCCCGAGCUUCAGUCACUUGCUUUGAUGAGACUCCACUCCACAUAGCCGCCAUGCUUGGUCACCUAGACUUUGCAAAAGCACUUGCUUCUCACAAACCAGACAUGGCCAUGAUCAUGACCACGGCGAUAGACUUGCAGGGGCGUUCACCUUUGCACUUGGCCUCUGCCAAUGGCCAUAUUGAGAUAGUUAACAUAUUGCUGUCAUUGAAUUCCAAUAUAUGCCUCAUCUGCGAUGAGGAUGGAAGAACACCCCUUCAUCUGGCGGUGAUGAAGGGCCACGUUGAGGUCACAAGGGAGUUGGUUAGGGCCCGACCAGAAGUCACUGGGCACAAAUUGGAUCACGGGGAGACCAUUCUGCAUUCUAGUGUGAGACAUAAUCGUUUAGGAGCUCUGAAGAUGUUAGUUGAAUCAGUAAGGGAGGCUGAGUUCAUCAAUGCCAGAGAUGAUUAUGGCAACACUGUCUUGCAUACUGCUACAACCUUGAAGCAGUUGGAGGUAAAAUUUUCGUCAAUUCUUUAGGCUCUUAUAUAUACCAAUUUGUGUAGUGAAGGUAACAUCACCAUAUUCAUUCUCAAUCUAAUUAACUAGACUACUAUAUAUUGAUCAAUCUGUGCAGACUGUUAGGUAUCUGCUCAAUGGAAAUAUGGUGGAAGUCAAUGCAGUGAAUGAAAGCGGUUUGACAGCUUUAGAUGUCAUUGAACAUAUGCCAAGAGACUUGAAAUCCACGGAAAUCCGAGAGUCACUUUCAAAAGCUGGAGCUUUAAGAGCCAGAAAUGUACCUGCCAAUGGAGAACGUGAGAUAGCUAUGGUGAUCGAGGAGUCUCGAUUAGAUUCCGUAGCACAACCUCUAGAUGUUUCUAAUAGAGUAAGAGAUGACAUGCUUUAAAAUAGGAAAGGCAGGGUGUCCCAAUCGGUGAUGCCAUUCUGAUGAGCUGGUUUUGACACUGGAAAAGGCAAGUAGAGGUGAUGAUACCGGCCACUCAUACACACCAUCCUUAGUUUUGCCCUUCAAAAGCGUUGCUCCUGUGCGAAGAUCCUUUACAAGAAAGGAAGAUGGUAAGAAUGUAAUUGAAACAUUGUUAGAGAUACAGAAUUUGGAAAUUGAAAUCAAAUUUUUUUUCAUGCUAGGAACACAGAGAACAUUGGUUAAGGAAAAUUGAGCAUUGGAAGUGUGGAGAGAGAGGGAACCAGUGUGUGUUAUGGGAAGUCCUGUGCCAUCACCAAUCAUAAUGUCGUCAGAGCCAUUGUAUGGUGCAUGAAUAGAAAGAUUGCUCAAGUCGGAGGUGACGUGAUGAGAAGCACCACUAUCCAAUAGCCAUGUUGGGGUGUUGGAGGUAUUAGCAGCAAAGUGAGCUUUUGGUUGCCAGGAGGAGUUUGGCAUUGCUGUACUGGUGUUGGUGGAUGUCUCAAUUGGUAUUAAUCUGAAAGAGGGACAACGCUUAGCUGUAUGUCCUUGAAUUCUGCAGAUUUGGCAGUAGCCAAGAUAAGGCUUUGGAGAGCUGCGAUCUGAACGCAAAUUGUUAGCGCCGGUGGGUGUAGGGAAUCGAUUACCAAAGGUGGGCGACGGGCGCCAGCCCGUAGUGCUGUUGCCAGGAUUGGAGGGUGGACGCCAGCCUGUGUUGUUUCCGAGGAAGAAUUAGAGUAUGGCAGGUGUCGGGACCCAGAGUAGGCACGAUUGGCAGGAUUAGCAGAGGCAGGGAAGUAGGAUUGUUCAGUCUUUGUAGUGUUUUGAAGAGAAGCUUCAAAGUUGAGAAGCUUUUCAUGGAGUUCAUCAAAGGAGAUUGGAGUAUCUCUAGCUUGAACUGCCCGCACCAAUUCUUUGUAGUCUUCACCAAGUCCCUCAAGAAUUUUUUCUAAGAGAUCUUCAUCAUCAACAGCUGCACCUAGGAUGGCAAGUUCAUCAACCCGAGCCUUGAUGGUCUGAAGGAAUUCAGAGACACCCAUGGAUCCCUUCGUGAUUUGUUUUAAUUGAUUUUUCACCUGCUUGAUUCUUCCACGUGAUGGUUUGGCAUAUGUAUUGGCCAAUAUUGUCCAGGCUUCCCUUGCUGUUUGUGCUCGAGCAAUAAAUGGAAUGAUGGAGGGGGACAGAGAACCAAGAAUGGCAUUGAGAAGGAGUUGAUCCUGCCUGAUCCAGAGUGUAUGUGCUGGAUUUGGUGUAGUGGUUCCUGGAAGAAUUGUUGUUGGACAAGGAUGUGAUCCGUCAAUGAAUCCUAGAAGAUCAUACCCAAUAAAGAGAGUCUGGAAUUGUAGUUUCCAAGAUACAUAGUUGGUGGAGGUAAGCUUUAAUGGAGUUUGAGCUGCAACAUUGAUGCUAAUCAAUGUGCUAUGAGGGUCGUUUGUGUUAUGAAUGGUGGUGGUGGCCCUGGUAGUCAUUAGAAGGGAAGGAAAAAAUUAAGCUAAUUGCUCUGAUACCAUAACAGAGUAAGAGAUUGGAAAUUCACAUAUUUUAUUGAAGGAAUUGAUGCAAUAUAUACAGCUAAAAUCAUAACAGAUUUGCCUAGUCUUAAGCCUAUAUACAUGGAAAUAUUAAGCUGGAAAAGAGAAUAUACAAAGAGAUAAAGUUUGGUAUAACAGAUAUAGAGAACAAGUCAAUGGAGGAUGUGGCUAUCUGAUAGUUUCUCCAAGAGUAGGAUUAUUCUCACGAGGCAUCAGUAAUAAGACAGAUUCGGAAAACAAAGAAAAUUGGUUGAAAGACAACCGUGAUGCUUUGAUGGUAACGGUAGGUGUGAUUGCAGCCAUGGCUUACCAAUCUGGGCUUAAUCCUCCUAGCGGUGUUUGGCAGGAAAACAACAUAAAAGACGAUGAGGGAAACAUUAUUUAUAAAUCAGCAGGGACUUCCAUAAUGGCCGUUAAUUAUCCAGAUGGGUAUCCUAAAUUCAUGGCGUACAACACUUUCUCCUUGGUUGCUUCUUUAAGCAUAGUAUUGCUGCUUAUAAGUGGAUUACCUAUGAAGAAAAGUAUUUUCAUGUGGCUUCUCAUGGUUGCCAUGUGGGUCACAAUCACAUUCAUGACACUCACCUACUUGAUUUCAGUGAGGGCCGUUUCUCCGGAUCAUGAGCACCCUUACAUCAAUAGAGUAGUUGGGAAUUCGUUGUCGGUAUGGUUGGGUGUGAUUGGCUUUGUUUUAUUGGUUCAUACUAUCCGCUUCCUCAUGUGGUGUGUAAGGGAAGUUCAGUUUAGAAAGAAGCCGAUAUCCAUCAAGUCUUGCUUGAGGGAUUGGGUGAGCAAUUUGUUGAGUUGUAAAUAAGAAGCCAACCAUCAUGACAGGCAGCUGUGCUUACUGUUCUAUUAUACGUACAAAAGGUCUCAUCUGUUGUUUAUUCCUUUCCUUCUUACUAGUAUGGUGUUGGGAGGUCCCAUCUCCACUAAUAUUGCAAUGUGUAAUUUCUUUGUAAUUAAGGAAUUUAGCCAAUGUGAGUAUUUUUGAAAAUAAUGCCAUAGAAUCUUUUUUGGGUUUAAUGAACAGUUUUGCCUCCUACUUUAUGCUUUUAUCCACAAUAUUCCUAUCAACUUUAGGAUUUAGAAUAUACAAUUUUUACAAUGCGUUUAGUAAUGAUUUUAUAAGACGUUUAUAAGAUUUUUAACACUUGAAUUAUAUAAUUUUUUUAAACAUUUAAAAAGUUAGAAACACUUUAUAAAAUCACUAUCAAACGAACUUUUAAUAUCAUUAUCAAUGUUAUAAUCACUUCAUAUCUUAUAGUCGUAUUCUUUGAGAUAAAUGCAUACCAAUACCUAUAUGCUGACUAUUUCAUUUAAUUUGGUGGUUAGGAGCUUAGGAUCUAGUCAUAAGAAUAUAUUACCUAAUUCUAAAAUUUGAUACUUAAAAUUGUUCGUUAAAAUUAAUUUAAUUUUUUAAAUAAUGAAAUUGAUAUCCUUAAACUUACAAAUUUUAAGUUUAUCAAAGAGAAACAAGAGAAGAAAGAAACAGACUUUUAACAUAGAAGAUAUUUAAACUUUAGAAAAAAAAUUAUUUAUUUUAAUUUUAAGUUACAAUAUUAAUUAUUUUAUAAAAUAUGUUUAAUCUAUUUAAUAACUUAAAUUAAAUUAUUAGAUUAUAUUAAACCAUUAAAUUAAUUUGUCAACACCAUCUAUGAUUUAGGAAUUUCUUGUAGGGAAUUAAACCGAAUUCCCAACCCGUGAGAAACAAAAAUUAGAGGAAAAACACACGCCAAAGAAAAACAAUCACACGCACAAGACAGUAUUUACGUGGUUCGGCAAUUUGCCUAUGUCCACGGAGUUGCAGGGAUAUCACUAUUAUCAGGGAAGAAUACAGAGUACAACCUGGAGGCUACAAUAUUCUCUAUAUAUAUAUAGCACGGCAACCCUACUAUACUAAAAAACCCUAAUUACAAAAGGUGGUUCCACAAUGGGUUAAACGGGCCCAACAGGCCUCAAUAAAUCUCCCAUUAAAAAGCCAUGCAAUAUUAUUCGGGUCGGGUCGUCAAAUCGGAUCAAACAAAACUAGGCUCCACAAAGCCCAACAAAUCUCCCACUUGGAGACUAGUCCAAUCACCAACAUCAAACCGCUAUCCUCCAAGAAACAAUCCCUCAUCCCUACAACUCAUCCUCCUGUCCUCAAGCUAGAAGACCAAUUGAAGCUGUACACAGCUUCAACUUCUCAAUAGUGACACCCUUAGUCAACAUGUCUGCAGGGUUAUUAGAUCCACAAAUCUUCUCAAGUAUUACCAGUUUAUCCUCAACAAGAUAACGGAUAAAGUGGUAUUUUGUUUGUAUAUGUUUCGACUUUGAAUGAAAAGCCGAAUUUUUGGCAAGAAAAAUUGCACUCUGACUGUCACUGUGUAGAAUGCCCAUCUCCUGCUUCUUACCCAAUUCAUCUAAGAAACCAUGUAGCCAAAUCAUCUCCUUUCCAGCUUCAGUUGCUGCAACAUACUCAGCUUCUGUAGUAGACAACGUAACAAUCUUCUGUAGAUUUGAAGUCCAUGAUAUAGCUGUACCACCUAGAGUAAAAACAAACCCAGUAGUACUCUUUCUACUAUCAAUAUCACCAGCAAAAUCAGCAUCUACAUAACCCUGCAGUUUCAAACUUGCACCUGUGAAGCAAAGACAUGUAUCUAAUGAACCAUUCAGAUAUCUUAAAAUCCACUUGACUGCCUCCCAAUGCUGCUUUCCAGGCCUACUCAUGAAUCUGCUCACAACUCCCACUGCAUGUGCAAUGUCUGGCCUUGUACACACCAUAGCAUACAUCAAGCUGCCAAUAGCUGAGGCAUAGGGCACCUUGCUCAUAUGGUCCCUUUCUUCUUCUGUCUUCGGUGAUUGUUCUUUGCUUAGUUUGAAAUAACUACCCAAGGGUGUGCUCACUGGUUUAGCUUCAUUCAUGUUGAACCUGCUGAGAACUUUCUUCACAUACUCUGACUGUGAAAGUUUCAAUGUACCAUUAGCCUUGUCUCUAAUGAUUCUCAUACCAAGGAUUUGCUUUGCAGCUCCCAAAUCCUUCAUUGCAAACUGUUUGGACAAUUGCUUCUUCAGAUUAUUAAUCUUCUCAAUGUCAGACCCUGCAAUAAGCAUAUCAUCCACAUACAACAGUAAUAUGAUGUAAGAAUUGUCAAAGGACUUAACAUAGCAACAAUGAUCAGCUUCACAUCUCUUGAACCCAAUUCUAUGCAUAAAAUUGUCAAACUUCUUGUACCACUGUCUAGGAGCUUGUUUAAGGCCAUACAAGCUCUUUCUCAGUUUGCAGACUAGAUUCUCUUGUCCCUGAACAAUGAACCCUUCUGGCUGAAUCAUGUAAAGGUCUUCCUCCAAGUCACCAUGAAGGAAUGCUGUCUUCACAUCUAACUACUCAAGAUGUAAGUUUUCUACAGCCACCAUUCCAAGUACAAGUCUAAUUGUUGACAUCUUCACAACUGGAGAAAAUAUCUCUGUGUAGUCAAUGCCCUCCUUCUGUUGGAACCCUUUAACCACUAAUCUGGCCUUGUAACGUUUGCUACCAUCAUGCUCAUUCUUUAUUCUGUAUACCCACUUGUUGUGCAAAGCCUUCUUUCCUACUGGCAAUUCAAUCAGUUCCCAUGUCUGAUUCCCCAGCAGGGAAUCCAUCUCAUCCUUCAUGGCUAACUCCCACUUGCUUGAAUUCUCAUCUUGCAAGGCUUCAUUAUAACACUCUGGCUCACCACCAUCAGUCAACAGGAGAUAAUUUAAAACAGGUGAAUAACGCUGUGGAGGUCUAAUGUUCCUGGAAGAUCUGCGAACUUCAGCUACAGGUGUACUCAAAUCUACCUGUGAAUUUACAUUCUCCUUAUCUUCUUCACCCCCUUUUUGGACAGUACUUUCAGUCAAUUCAUCUAAGUUGACAAACUCAGAUUUCUUUUGAUCUAUCUCUGUAACAUCUGACGUUACAGUUGACCUGUCCUUGUACAUAACCUGUUCAUUAAAUAUCACAUUUCUACUUCUGAUGAUUUUCCUGUUUUGUUCAUCCCAAAACCUAUAGCCAAAUUUCUUAUCACCAUAGCCAAUGAAAAAACAUAUUUUUGACUUUGCAUCAAGUUUACUACGAGCAUCAGAAUCAAUAUGAACAUAAGAAACACAACCAAAAACUUUUAAAUGUGAAAACUUCACCUCUUUACCGCUCCAAACCUCCUCAGGAAGUCUGAACUCCAUGGGAACUGAUGGUCCUCGGUUUAUCAGGUAAGCUGCAGUGCUAACAGCAUCAGCCCAAAAAGUUUUUGGUAGUCCAGCAUGCAACCUCAUACUUCUAGCAUGCUCAUUGAGAGUUCUAUUCAUGCGCUCAGCCACACCAUUCUGCUGUGGUGUCCCAGGAAUGGUCUUCUCCAUCCUAAUUCCUUGUGCAGCACAAUACUCACUGAAUCCUCCAUCUAUGUACUCUCCUCCAUUAUCUGACCUCAAACAUUUUACUUUCAAACCUGUUUCUGUCUCAACCAUGGCCUUCCACUUCUUAAAAGUUACAAAUACAUCAGAUUUAUUUUUCAGAAAAUAAACCCAUACCUUUCUACUUGAGUCAUCAAUAAAGGUGAUGUAGUACCUUGAACCUCCUAGGGAUGCAACCGGAGAAGGCCCCCACAAAUCAGUGUGUACUAGUUCCAAUUUUUCAGCCUUCGGUGUCCUGCCAAUUUUCAAGAAGCUCACCUUUUUUUGCUUUCCUAAGAUGCAACUUUCACACAUGUCAAAAUCAAUGGACUUCAAUUCUGGUAGUUUUCCUUUUGACAGCAACAUCUUCAUCCCUUUCUCACUCAUGUGACCAAGUCUGCGGUGCCAUAGGCUUGUAUCAGUACUUGCAUCAGCAACUGCAAUUGUGUCUCUUGGACAUGAGGUCAUAUACAGAGUGCCAGUCUUCUUUCCACGAGCCAAUACCCUAGCUCCCUUUGUAACCUUCCAAGUACCACCAACAAAUAGUAUUGCAUGUCCUUCAUCAUCAAGUUGUCCAACAGAAAUCAGAUUCCUCCUCAGGUCAGGAAUAUGUCGAACCUUCUCCAGUAACCAAACAGACCCAUUAGGCAACGAUAUCCGGACAUCUCCCAGACCCACAACAUCCAAGGCUGAACCAUCAGCCAAAUAUACCUUACCAAAAUCACCUGCAACAUAAUUCUGUAUGAUUUCUCGGUGUGGAGUGGUAUGAAACGAAGCUCCUGAAUCCAAAACCCAAUCAUCAAGUGGGUUGUCUACUGCAAGAAGUAAUGCAUCCUGUACCUCUUCUGUUACAGCAUUAGCAGAAUCAUCUUCAUUCUUCUUCUUAGGGCUUUUGCAUUGCCUUUUAAAGUGACCUGUUUUCCCACAAUUCCAGCAUUGUACUUGUUGGCCUGAUCUAGAUUUGCUUCUGUUCCGAUUAGAAUUUCUGGAAUUUGAUCUACCUUGAUUUGAAUUUCCGUUAUUACCUCUACCUCUUGUCUCAAGGUUUAGGGCAGAACCAGAUCCUGAGGUUUCACCUGCAUCUCUUCGGCGAAUCUCCUCAGCCAGAAUUAAAUCUCGUAUAUCAUUGUACUUGAGUUUUUCCUUUCCCGUAGAAUUGCUUACUGCCAUCCUCAUUGCCUCCCAACUGUUUGGCAAAGAAGCCAAGACGAUCAGAGCACGAAUCUCAGUCUCCAAUUACUGUAAGUUGUUAAAAAGAUUAUUUAUUUAUUCUUUGCUACAAAGUAGUCCAUAACAUUAUUGUUUAUAUGGAAUAUUGAAUGAGUUUUGAGAUAGUAAUUAACAUGUUAGAGAUUUCUAACUGGAUUCAUUUUAAUGGAAUCAAAAUAAUCUUAAUCUGCAUGGGAGAAAUAUUUUCGGGUAAAGUGUAUGAAGAUUUUUUCUUAAAUAAGUCAAAAAGCGAUUUAAAUAUUUUAUAACAACAUAAAAUAAUAUGUUAAUUUUGAUUUUGAAAGAUAAUAUUUUAAAUAAUUGUGGAGGAUAAUUUUGUAGAUGAAAAUAUUAAAUUUUUUCAAAAAAGAAUAAUUUUAAUCCGCUUAAUAAAAAAAAUGAUAAUUUUAUUAUUUCAAUAUGUAAAUUUAUUUAAAUAAAAAAUAGAAAAGAAAUUAAUUUUUCUAAUGAAUCACUUAUUAAGGUAAAGUAAUUUUGCUGUAAAAACUUAUUGGAUGUAUAAUUUAAAAAAGGGAGGAUAAAUAUUUUGAAUUAAUUGAUUAAAAGGAAUAAAAUAAUUCCUAUAUUUAUGAUAUUAUGUUUUUUUACUUUGGAAGAGUAACUUAUAAUUAACAUAAAUCUUCUUAAAUAUUUCAAGUAUUUAUAAUAUAUUUUAAAAUAAUGAGUUGUUUUUAUGAAAAUAUUUUUGUUAAAAUGAGGUAAAAAAGAAAAAAGCAAAAAGAAGAAGACAUUUUUGUUAAAAACCGGCCAAAAAAGGGAGAAUGGAUUAGAUUUCCAAAAUGGGUUUCAAUGUAAUAUUAGUUAGUUAAAAUAGUUGAAUGUGGAAAUCUUUGAGUCAAUCACGCUAUGGGAAAAUGCCGCCUUUCAAGUCACUCGUUUGUUUCUGUGGAAGCACGUCACUAUCUAUAGCAUGUAGUCAUCAACGCCGGCUUUGUUGUGGACCUGUGGUUGGUGGGUUUACUUGUACAGAAGUCUAGGUGAAAAGAAUGUUGAAAAUCCUCAAGUACUUCCGCCGACUUCACCAGUUUCUCUUAUGAAAAUUCUUGAAGUACUUGGAUGACUUCAUCUGUUCCCCCUACGAAUGAUUGCCUAUAUGAUUGAUACUAGAAUGAGAGGGAGGAUGGAAAGGUGAGACAGGAAAUUUGAGCAACAAUGUCUAAUGAGAAAAAAAAGGGAAAGUUGUGUUUAUAACCUUAUAUAAAAAAUAUAUAGAUUUCAAAACCCAUAUAACUAAAUAUGGGUUUUACCUGUUAAUAACAAAAAUAUUAUUGAUUUCAUGCAUUAUUUACUAUUUAUAUUCCUAUUUUUGAAAUUACUUUUUUUUUUCUCCUCCCUCCCACCGCCCAUUAAGUUAAGUGGUCCAAAUAAUGUGUGUAUAUAUGAAUAUAUAUAAGUGCAAAGUAAGGCUUCUUCUUCUUGGGUUGAAAAAAAGGCAUGCACUGCACACUCGUCUUGAGAGCACUCACGGACUGAAUCUUGGGUGUAGAAAGGGAAUAACUCAUUGAACCCGAAUUUUCAUACCAUCACGGACUAAGCAUAUUCUUGGACACCAGUGGAGCAUGAAAAUGGCUUUCCAUGGCAUUAAUAAAGGUAAACAUUUCAUUUAUUGUCAUUUNNNNNNNNNNNNNNNNNNNNNNNNNNNNNNNNNNNNNNNAAGGAGACACCCCCCCCCACCCCCCCCCCACCCAUUGUUUUCCGGAAAAUUCUGCUGUCGGCCCCCCUUCGUUUUCCGGGAAAAUUCUGCCCCCCAUUCGUUUCCCCGAGAAAAUUCAUCCUUGUGAUUUCUGAGAAAAUUCAUGCAAAACUCCCAACGAAAACCAAAAAAAUUACUUUUUUUUUUUUUUGCUCCCCGUGUCUUCUGGAUUUGCCCACCCCCCUUCCCUCCAUUCGUUUCUGAAAAAAUUCAUCCUCGUUUGAUUUCCGAGAAAAUCCACCCUCAAGGAAAACCAAAAAAAUUGCUUUUUCUUUUGCUCCCUAUGUUUUUCGAAUCUACCGUCGCCGCCCCCCUUCCCCCCUUCGUUUUCCGGGAAAAUUCAUCUUUGUUUGAUUUCCGAGAAAAUUCAUGAAAAACCCCAAGGAAAACAAAAAAAAUUGAUUUUUUCUGCCCCCAAUCGUUUUCCGUUUGAUUUAUGAGAAAAUCCAUGCAAAACCUCAAGAAAAACAAAAAAAAUUGCUUUUUUUUCUGCCCCAUUCGUUUUCCGUUUGAUUUCCGAGAAAAUUCAUACAAAACUCCAAGGAAAACAAAAAAAAAAUUUGCUUUUUUUUCGGCCCCCCAUUUCGUUUUCCGGGAAAAUUCGCCCUCGUUUGAUUUCCGAGAAAAUCCAUGCAAAACCCCCAACUCGGAAAUCAAAUGAGGAUGGAAACGGGGAGAGGGGGGGUUGAGCUGCAGAGGAGGGGGAGACAUGGGGGAGAAAAAAAAAAUGGUAAUUUCGGAAAUAGGAAUAUGAAAAAUAAAUAGUGUAUGAAAGCAAUAAUAUUUUUGUUAUUAACAUGUAAAACCCAUAUUUCAAUUAUAUGGGUUUCCAAAUCUAAUAUUUUUUAUAUAAGGGCUUAUAAACACAACGAGAAAAAAUGAGGAAGUUUAUAAUCAGUACUGUACGGCGAAGAGAGAGAAGGUUGUACGAGGCAUCAGCGAAUGGAAGCGUGAAUUCCUUGAAGCAGUUGAUGGCAGAAGAUCCACUCGCACUAGCCCGAGCUUCAGUCACUUGCUUUGAUGAGACUCCACUCCACAUAGCUGCCAUGCUUGGUCACCUAGACUUUGCAAAAGCGCUUGUUACUCACAAACCAGACAUGGCUAUGGCGAUAGACUUGCAGGGUCGUUCACCUUUGCACUUGGCCUCUGCCAAUGUCUAUAUUGAGAUAGUUAACAUGUUAUGUCAUUGAAUUCCAAUGCAUGUCUCAUCUGUGAUGAGGAUGGAAGAACACCCCUUCAUCUGGCGGUGAUGAAGGGCCACGUUGAGGUCACAAGGGAGCUGGUUAGGGCCCGACCAGAAGCCACUGGGCACAAAUUGGAUCACGGGGAGACCAUUCUGCAUUCGGCUGUGAGACAUAAUCGUUUAGGAGCUCUGAAGCGGUUAGUUGAAUCAGUAAGGGAGGCUGAGUUUAUCAAUGCCAGAGAUGAUUAUGGCAACACUGUUUUGCACACUGCUACAACCUUGAAGCUGUUGGAGGUAAAAUUUUCGUCAAUUCUUUAGGCUCUUACCUAUACCAAUUUGUAUAGUGAAGGUAACAUCGCCAUAUUAAUUUCUCAGUCUAAUUAACUAGACCACUAUUGAUCAAUCUGUACAGACUGUUAGGUAUCUGCUCAAUGGAAGUAUGGUGGAAGUAAAUGCAGUGAAUGAAAGCGGUUUGACAACUUUAGAUAUCAUUGAACAUAUGCCAAGAGACUUGAAAUCCAUGGAAAUCCGAGAAUCACUAUCAAAAGUUGGAGCUUUAAGAGACAGGAAUGUACCUGCCAAUGGAGAAUGUGAGACAGCUAUGGUGAUCGAGGAGUCUCGAUUAGAUUCCGUAGCACAACCUCUGGACGUUUCUCCAAGAGUAUCAAUUCCAUGAGCAAUCUCACGAGGCAUCAGUAUUAAGAAACGUUUGGAAAAUCAAGAAAAUUGGUUGAAAAACAAACGUGAAGCUUUGAUGAUAACGGCAGGUGUGAUUGCAGCCAUGGCAUCUCAAGCUGGGCUUAAUCCUCCCGGCGGCAUUUGGCAGGAUGACAAGUCUGGUCACGUUGCCGGAACAUCAAUAAUGGGUGAUUAUUAUCCAGCUGGGUACCGUGAAUUCUGGAUAUACGACACCGUAGCCUUUGUUAUUUCUGUAAGCACAAUUUUUUUGCUUAUAUCUAAUGGUGACCGUGUGGGACAUAAUAACAUGCAUGGCGCUCGCCUACUUGAUUUCACUGUCGGCCGUUUCACCACAUCAUGAGGUGAAUGUCAUUGCUCAUGUAAUUUCCAUUUCAGUUUUCAUAUGGUUGGGUCUGAUUGGGAUUGUUUUCUUGGUGCACUUUUUAAUAGAUUUUUUAAAGGUUAUCAGGAGAAAUGGGUCAAAAAAAAAACUCACAAAAUUGCGAAAAUGGAUCUCUUAUUAAUUUUGUUAAAAUUUGAUCACUUUGGACAACUUUGUGUUAGAAAUUUACAUGCUAUAUUCGAUUCCAAUAUGCUUGCAACAUGAAUCAAAACCGAAAAGACUAAGAAUAGUCUACUUACCUCCAGCCAUUGUAGUUGGUUUCAAAAACCCAGAUUUCCAAACUCUGAUCUCUCCUUUUUUAGAUGGUGUUUUUUCUGAAGAUAAUAGCAGAGUGAGUUCGGGACCAUUUUCUGAAAAAAUUUAUAACAGUGGCUUCCAUCAAACCACGUUGCCUCUUGCCACCAUGUUGAGCAGUUGGUGGAACGUGCUCCUUAAUCGUAGCGGAAGUGAGAUGGUGGAAGACGUGGUCAAAGUGUUGGACCAUAUCAUGAAGUGAGAACGUGUGAACUCACACGUGUAUUCAGCUUACACUUUGCUCCUCUAUUUUAUUUCCCUCAAAAAACAUCUUUUUUUUUCCUCCCAUUUCUUUUUAUCUUCUAUAAUCUCUCAAGAUCCAUUUAUAUCUCUAACUUUCCCGAGAAAUCCAACUUUUUUUUAUUAUUUAUUUAUUUAUUUUUUUAUCAUCUACCUUUUAACAGACUCCCAUUUCUUCUUAAUUAAUGAUAUUUUGGGAAGACCUCCUAUAAUACUUCCUUUCAUAAAUCAUGUUCUCAUCAUUGUUGUAAUUAUUAAUAAAAUAAACUAAAUAAAUAAUAAGAAAAAUAAAAAGUUGAGAGAAAUAUAUGACAAAUGAUUUUUUUUUUUUUUUUGUUCUUAUUCAAGAUAACCAAUCCUUGAAAAUUAUUUGCAAUGGAUAAACUUCAGUGGGUGAUUUCUCAACAAAUGCCCCAACCCAUUCAUGUUCUUGAACCAAAACAAGUACUCUUCUAUGUCACUUGAUUUUUUGUAUGAUUAAAAUAUAUGUGGGUUCACAAUUGUAUUACAUUGUCUCCUCAUAACUCUUUAUUCUUCAUUUGUUUAUAUAACCAUCAUUUUGAAAUAAUAGCAACAAAUUAUCAAUGAACUUUAAUUUUAUUACUAGAAAAUUAAUUAGAACACAAAAAAGUCUAUCUCUAAAGAAAAUGAAAAAACAAUGUUCAAUAUCCUUCAUUGAGGAUCGUACAGAGGUCACCAUUAUCAUAUUCAAAAUCACACAUCACACUAGGGAUGGGUUGGACAAAAAAACAAGAGAAAAAGCUUUAAUGAGGAAGAAAAGAUUGGAAAAAAAACAUUUUUGUAGAGAGAGAGAAAGGUCAAUUUCAUUUCUCAACAACCAAGUGCACCUUAAUGGAAAAACAAAAAACAAAGAAAAUUUGGGAAAAAAAAAUAUACUCCUUUCUUAAGCAAACCAUAUUGUAGAACAAUCAAAAUUAAAAAUGUUUUCACCUUCAAUCAUAAAUGGAACUUCGAAAAUCAAAUAAAUUCAGUAUGUUACCAUCACAAGCCUAGGUUGAGUGCUUCACACUUCUUGGAUCACUUUCUGCUACAUAUCUCUGUAUGAAGAUUAGAUCCUCUAUUAAAACCCUAAAUUAAAGAAUGAACGAACAAGAACCCAAAUGAGUUUAAGACUUAAUAGAAAGUGCAAGCCUUUUUAUUUGAACUUAACUCAUGUUUGGUUACCAAUUUUAGGGCAACAUUCCAUUACCUAUUUGACACUCAUCGACUUAUAUGUUAUUUGACAUGGUGAUUGAUAAGGUUAUUUUUAUCUCUCACAUUUCAUCCCCUUGGAUGUUUUGCUUAAUUUAAUUAGUCAUGUUUUAUAUUUUUGUCUCUCACAUUUCAUAUCCUUCAUAGCAAUUAUAUAAAAUUUGUGGUUUAUGAUCAUUAUCACCUCCAUUUACUACUUUACUGUAAUCGUCCCUAUUUUAUUUACAAAGACAUCAUAUAGUGCACUGGGGACGGACACAUAACAUCAAACAACACACAAACAAGUAAAGAAGGGGGAAGUAUUAACAAGAGAAGAGGCUUUUGAGUGGAGAUGGCAAAUGAUUGGCCUCUUAUAUUAGCUGACCCUGAAGCAAUAUAGGAUAGCUUUUCGCACGUUCCGCACACACUAUAUGAGGAAACGGAUAGUGUGAACCAAUGCAACAAUGGAAAGCACACCAAACCACGCACAUACCGAAUACCAAAACACACUAGUGAUAUACUGAUAUCAGGCAACUUAUUUCUCAGUGACGUGGCUUCGCUGUCAUCCUUUGUGGGUGAAAUGAUCACCAUAGAAACCAAGUAGGUGAGUGCCAUGCCUGUUAAUGUUAUCCACAUGAUAAUCAUUAGAAGCCACACCAAGAUCCUUUUCCUCACGAAAGGUACCCCACUUACGACCAGAAAGACUAUCCUUAGCGAAGCAAAGAAACACACCGCGUUGCAUGCCAUGAACAGUUGGUAGUCUUCUGGAUAGUAGUGGGCCAUUAUGGAGGUUCCAGCUGACAUCUUACCCCCACCGGAGUUUUUAUCAUCAUCCCAAACACCACCGGGAGGAUUAAGCGCACUUUGGAAACCCAUUCCUGCAAUCAACGUUGCAGCUACCAUCAAGGCGUCACGUUUCUUUUUCAUCCGCUCUUUCUUAUUUUCACGUAUUUUCAUCUCACGCCCUCGCAAGGGUGUCGAUGCUUUUGCUUCUGUGAGAACUGCAGCUGGUGGGGGUGGAGAUGAUUGGGAGUUCUCAAUCACCAUGGUUAUACCACUUUCUCCCUUGAAUUCGUGACCCAUGCCUGGUAACGCAGGCAUGUUUCUGGAACUUAAAGCUACAGCUUUAACUAGAGAUUCUCGGAUCUCAAUACUUUCAAGUCUCUCGGCAUAUGUUAUGUUUUAUAAAAUAUUUUUAAAAAUGAUAUAAAAAUAUUAAUAAUAAUUUGAUAAUAAAAGAUUAAAUUAUCUUAAUUUGAUUAAUAAUUAACACAUAAAAAAUUCUAAAAUUUAAAUUUUAUAAAUCAUUACAUAUUGGUUAUUUAAUAUAACAUUUCUAUCUAUAAAAUUUAUAUUUAAAUAAAAAAUAUCUAAUAUUACAUUUAAUACUUGUAAUCACUUGAAAUUGAAAUCCUUUAUUUUCUUCAUAAAAUACAAAAUUUUUAUUUUUUUUCUUAAAAAAUUUUGAAUUUGAUUUAUCAAAACACAUUAUACAUAUUUUACAAUAUGUUAGUUAAAAUUAUUUAAUUUUUAUAUUAAAUUAGUAUUUAUAUAUAUAUAUAUAUAUAUAUAUAUAUAUAUAUAUAUAUAUAUAUAUAUAUAUAUAUAUUAUAUAUAUAUUUAAAUUAGCAUCUUUUUGAAAGUUAGGUAGUUCGUUAAAUAAUAUAUUAUAUUUGAUAUUUAAUAAUAAAUUAUAUAAAAUGUUGUAAUAUAUGAUAUGCACGUGAUUAUUUAUCCGAUUUAAAAAGUUUUACAUGUGUCAUUUUAUAGCAAAAGGGUCCUUCCUUUUUUAGAGUUAGGUACUUCAUUAAAUAAUAAAUUAUAUUUGAUAUUUAAUAAUAAAUUAUAAAAAAUGUUGUAAUAUAUGUGUGGACCCCGCAUUUCGGCUCAUGCAUUCCCCACUCAAUGGCGAGCUCGAUUUUAUUUUGAAAAACGAUUUAAUCGGUUAAAAAAAAUGACUUGGAGUCACCACUUAUUUUUGUUUUAUUUUUAAAAGGGUAAACAAAAUAAGAAAGAAAAACCCUAAGUGUGACUCCUUAUUUGGAAAAAGUGAUCUACGAAAAAUCGGAUCGGGUUCGGGGAUCAGGUUACUUAUCAGGAAGGUACAGUAAAGACCGUAGCACCCCUCUAAGUCCCUAAAAUGGGUCUCUACUAAUAAAAUGAAGCUGACGUGGCAUCAAUAGGAAAAUCAAUGAAUAUCCGGAACUAUCAUGCACAUAUGAGAAUCAAAGCAUGCAUAUAGAAAUACCAGAAUGUGAAUAGAUAUGUACCUGGGCGACGAGCCACAAUAAGCUUAUCAAAAAGUGAGGUUAAUGCACAAUUAAGAAAUAAUUUCGAGCAUGGAUACCAAAUGAAUAUUACUCAAAACAAAAAUAAUUGAAUGAACAGGAGAGGCAAAUAACGUACCUGAGUGAUGAACUGGUUUACUUCAGUGAAAACAAAUGUUAGCAAUUAAACACAAAAUAAUCGUGUGUGUAUCAUAGAAUAGUGUAAAUCAAUCACAUAUAGCAAUCAAAUCAAUCAAUCCAUUAGUCAUGAAUUCACAUAUGUGGGGCCUCCCACCAAAGCCCAUUUUAUCUUGCCUGAAUCAAUUCCGAUAACUCCAUUGUUCGGAAUUACGGAAUUUGAUUCCUUACUUAUUUCAAAACAUUUUAAAAACUAAGGAAGUAUGAAAAUUGCUUGCCAGAAAUAAAAGUGACAGCAAAACUUUAUUAAAAAUGUGAUUUUGGAACUUAAAGAAACUCUAAGGAUGAAGUAUGAGACAAUUGGGACUAUUUGAAUACCAGCCUAGCUAAAAAAUCGUGGGUUUAGGGUUUGCGAAAUUUAAUUUUAAUGGCCCCUAGAACAGAUCCAUAAAAUAGGGGGAGGGAAAAAACACAACUUUCCCUAUAUAUUAGAUGGGUGUCUCCCAAGUCCUAUCCCACUCCCAACCACUCAGAUUCUGCAGGCUUGACGGAGCUCUGCUUUUUGUUGUUUUUUGCAAACAUAUCAAUCAUUCGGAACUUGAACAAACCUUGAUGCCUAUCUUUUUACCAAUCCCCAUUUAUGUUCCUCUUAAUUUCUCUCCACCUCCAUACAGAUUACAUAAUUACAUUACUUCUAGCUAUGUGCCCAUACAAUCAAUUUAACCUUAGUCUAACUCUCCUUCCUUCAUGGUUCUCUAAACCUCACUUACAUUUAGUGUUUUAUUAUUGUAAUUUCUUGUCCUUCAUGAUUUCUCAUGACAUUGCACUUAGAGCAUAUAGAAAACUCCCUGCCCUUCAAAAUUUUCCCCAUUUACUUUUCUUAGUAGCGCUUCUUGAUUUCAUACUUGUUUGCAGGGUAAAAGGAUUGUAACAUGCACCCAUCCUAGACCACUUUUGUGAAUAGAAACUAUUCUGAAUUCACUAUCUCUUGUUUUUAUUGUCUAACCCACUAACACCAUGAUAUUUUUUGAAUUAUAUAGGAUAACUGUAGUCUGUAGCCUAUAACCAUAAUAUCAAUUGCUUUUCAUCAUACUUCAAAUUAUUUUAGGGAAAAUUCUAAGACGUAUGAUUAAAUCUAGAUCAAUGUAGUAUGUGGCCUAACUUUUUGGCCACGUGGUUGUUCUUGAUUGGACAUCACUAGCACCAUAGCAAGAUCCUUAUCCUAACUUUUGAGUUUAUGCAUGUUACUGAGAUAUGGAAAAACGUUUAUGCCAACACCCGACUGAGGAAGAAUGGACCCUGUUUGUACCAACACCCAACUAAGGAACACCAAGCCUAAAGUUAGGUUUGAAAAAGCACUACUUUUGGACCUUAUUUGUAAAGAAGAAUCUUCAAUGAUUGUACAGAGGCUGCUUGCUUAAAGAACAACAUCUUUAGGAACCAAAGGCUUUAUGAUUCGGAUGACACAUUCAAAUCUAAACCCACACCUUCAACCAACUUGAUGAAAAUUUUUGUGGAAGAAAAUUAGGUAUUAUGCUUGAAUUUGGUCUUGAUUUCACUUUUAAUGGACUAAAACCAAUGUUGUUCCUUGAAGACAUAGUCAAUAUUUGAUGUUGCUCUGGUGGCUCCUACAAUAAUUGAGAGAGGCACAGUAGAGGCUGAAGGGCUAUAGGAGUAGAGAAUUUUAGUAUGAUGAGGAGUUCAACAAAGUACAUACAUAACACCUAUGGAAAGAAAAAUAAGAACCAAGUACAAAUCUAUCAUGGAUAUAAAAGAGUUUGAUGCUAUGCUCUUUAUGGAUGAGUUCAACUGAUAUAUCCAUCCUAAGCUUCAGAGCUCUGAUAUGGACUUAAAUUAAAUUAAUUGAGUUCAAGAUGCAUAAUGCUUCAGAGGAUAGAACGAUUUAUACCUUAAGAUACUAUUUGAUUGCUAUUUGUACCUUAUUACUAAGAAGGACAAUAUGCUGAUUAGCUUUUCUAGACUUAAACAGCAAAAUAAAAUACAACAAGAUUGCUUGAAUUCCAAUUGAUUAAAUUAACUCAAGAUUAUUCAUGCUAAGUGGGAGCUUUUUGGAAUUGAUAUUGAGAUAGUUGUGCUACAGAAUUGUGAUAAAAAAAUGGCGUUGUGGUACAGAAACACAAUACAUUUACACGUACACACAAACAACUCAUGCUUACUUUUUAUCACCUUGUGUGACAGCUAAUAACUCUGUCUCUCGUAGUCUAUGGGCCUCAUUUCUUUAAGUAGUUCACUGGUACCUCUUUUAGUUUGAUCCCUUCAGAUUGGGGACCCUUAGCUCUAUGGGGUCUUUUUGGUUAGUAACCUAUGGUACUAGGUGAGCUUUGCCAGAGUUGCUCUGUGGGGUCUUGAUGUUGUAUGCGUUGUGUAUGUUUUUUUUGAAAUUUAAUACAAUCUUCAUUUACGUAUAAAAAAAAAUAGGGGUAGAUGUUUAGUCUUCUUGAAAAAACAGAAGUGCAUUCAGUUCUAAGGUUUUUGUCUAAUGCAUAUUUUUUAUCGGAAACAACAAAGUUAAUUUAAAUGAACUGAUAAGUACAAAGAAGGAUGCAUAUCCUUCCAAAACAAACAAGAUAAGAUGCAAUUUUAUUAUCAUUUCAGGGUUAUUUAAUUUAAAGUUGUUUUUGAUUCCUUCUAUCUUCUUCGCUAACAUGGUAGAACUGCUCUGGACUCUAAACAUGCGACUUCCUUUUAGGCUUGUUUUGUUGUUUGGGAAAUAAUUUCUGGAAAUGGUAAAACAAGAUAGCUACUGUACUUGCAAGAUAAGAUUGUAGGUAUUUUGCUAAUGGCUAUACGUAUUCCGAAUUGAGAUAAUCGACUUCAGUUUUGGAUUCCACUUUCUUGGAAAUGGGCUAGACAGACCAGCCACUCACCCACUUAAAACAACCUUUUUGAUGAAAUAGCUAGCAGCAUCACAAUCAUUGUGAUAUUAUAUAUCAUUUGAUAUGGGGAAGUUUCUUUCUGAUUUUGUUUUCCUUCAAAAAAAAAAGAGCUCGGGAGAAGCAUGAACUCUAACAUAGGUUGAAUGUAAAGGGUAGAUAGCUUGAUUAAUUAAAAACUGAUUUUCAGUUAUUGCUAAUGUUGUUGCUGCUACUAUUAUUGUUGUUAUUGUUAUCGUGUUUAUGCUUAAAAAUAGGAUGAAGACAUUAAGAACCUCAAUCAAUAUAAGUUCGUCCCGCAACUCCCGUGACUCUCGCUGAAACUUGAAGUGUUGGCUCAAACUUGUACUACCAACAUUCCAAACCAAAAUUUGAUUCCUCCAACAUGAAAAUUGAUUCCAUUCCUCAAACAUGCUAGAAUUUCUUCAUGCUAGAAUUUAUUCUGCUUCAAUUUGUCAUCUGAUCAACUCUGUGCAGAAUGAAUUUAUCUCAUAUGCUGAUAGUCUCUUUUCAUUCCUCCAUUCCCUAUAUUAAGUCAUAACUUUCUACAUUUUCCUUAUUUCUACAGGAAAAAGAGGCGAAGAAGGAAGCUUUUAGGAAGUAUUUAGAAUCUAGUGGAGUUUUUGAUGCUCUGACCAAAGGUUCUGUUGUAUUUAACUUUCUAGAUUAUGAAUUACUAAAAUGCAGUUGGCAACCUAUUUAUGAAUUUCCUGUCUCAUAAUGUGGGCUUUUUUUGGGUGUGCUUGUUGUGCAGUCCUUGUUGUACUAUAUGAGCAGAAUGACAAAGCCUCUUCUGAUGUUGAGUAAGUUCAUCACUGUGGUCUAGGCAUUGUGUUCUUGAAAAACUGAAACAAUUUCAAAUUAUUUAUUGCCAGCUUUUGGAUUUCCAUUAAGGAUUAAAAUCUAUACUAUCAUAUUUACCAUACUAAUAAGAAAAGGAAUCGGCAACUGGUGAAAGGUAAAUAAUCCAGUUUAGCAAAGACCAUUGAAAAACAAGCUUGGAAAAUCCAUACCACGUCUCAGCUGAGUAGGGGAUUGUAAUGGCUUGGAGAUAUGAUCUGUAGUAAUAUAUGUACAUACAUUUAAACAAUCAUACUCACACAUGUAAAUAUGUAAUAUUGAUCAAAUGUCAUAACCUAACUUCUUAUAUAUAUUGUUUUGCAGGUUUGUCCAACAGAAGUUAGGUGGUCCAAUUGUGUCUGAAUAUGAAAAGCUACAAGCUGACAUGUUAGAUCUGCAAAUAAAGUAUAAUGAGUUCUUGCUAGCGCACCAAGAGACCUGCAGACAGGCAUGACUUCAAUCACUUAUUAUGGCAGCAUUUUGGAUAACAUAUAUUGCAAUUAAUGACUGCCACAGUCUAACUACUAAUUUAUGCAUUCUGAUUCUUUUAACAAGUUCCAUCACACUUGGAUGAUGUGUCUAAUGAAAAGUUUGAAAUGUUCUAAAAACUAGUAGUCACAAUAAGCCCACAAACAUAAAAAUGGAGGAGAGAGAGAGAGAGAGGGCUGUAGAGAGAGUGAGUGUGAGUAAGGGAGGAGAUCCAGCGGAUCUGUGCGCGAGCGAUGGUGAGAAAGAUUUCAGUGGCCUGGAAGCUCGUACCAGCCGGUGGAAGAGAAGCUUCGAGGUGGAGUCAAAGACUUUCGAGAUCGAGGUUGAGAGACAAAAAGGCAAUACGCAAGUCUUCAUUGAGGAAAGGAAAAGAGGGGUUUCCUCGUGGAUUAAGAUGGGGCCGGAGAGCCUAGGGUUUGUUGUGGAAGAGUUGGCUUUGUGUAUUAAGGAUACACGAACAGGCAGAUGGGUCAGAAAUUGGAGGGAGAGAGGGAGAGAGGGAGGAUCUUUUCACUGUUGCGGGAUGAGAAUAAGGGAGGAAGUUUCAUCCGUCUGGGUGUAGAGGAUUUGGAGAAGAAGAGGUUUAAUAUUUUUAUCCCCAAAGGAAAUUCAGGGAAAGGGGGUUGGAUUGCGAUGUUGGAAACACUUAAGGCGCUGGUCGUUACUACGGAGAGGAAGGAGUGUCAGAAGGAGGAGAAGAUGUCGGUGGCGCUAUGUGCGGGGAGUAGCUACGCGGAAGUGGUGAAGGGACAGGAACGUAAUGGCAGGUCAGUGGCUAGGGUAGAAGUAAGCCACAAGGACCUAUGCCAAAACCUAAAAAGGCUGGAUCAAUGCAUUGUUGGAUUGAGGGAUCCGAAGUCAGUCAAGGGGGAGGAUUUGAGGAGUUGGGGGAACCAAAUGGCUCGAUUGUGGGGGCUGAGGGUAAUUUAGGUUUGGCUAAGUUAGAAAAGGGUAAGGUGUUGUAAGAGUUUGAGAUGAGUGCUGAAGCCGAAAAAGCCUUAAAUAUGAGAGGGAUUUUGGUAGGGAAGACACUACUGCGACUGGAGAAGUGGAACCCUAGGACGGGGUGUCUGUUAGAAGGAGAGGAGAAGAGUGAGGCCUAGGUGAGAAUUGUGGGGCUUCCCAUCUCGUUGUGGGAUCGGGACAUCUUUAGAAAGGUUGGGGAGAAAUGCGGGGGGUUCUUAGCGAUUGAUUCUCAAACAGAGAGGCUGGAAGAGUUGCAGUGGGCAAGAAUCCUGGUGAAACUAUCCGGCGAGGAGCUCCCUAGCAUGCUAGAAAUUGGGGUCGAGGGGGUGUGUUACUUGCUUGUCCUAUGGUGGGAAGUAAGGCCGGUAAUGAGAGUGUUGCCGGCAGAAAGGAGGGGAAAGAACAGUGGUGAUGCUGCAGGAGGGGUUGAGGGUGAUGUCACUACACGCGCGGGUAAGCGCGUGGUGGAAGUGGUGGAAGGCACGAGGCUCGAGACCCACCUGCAGUCUGUUGAUGGGACGAGGGAGCAGACAGGUGGGUCGGGGUCCCUUUGGGCUCGGUCCCGAGGCCCAAAAGGGCCGGGUCUGGGGGACCAAGAAGGCUUGCUUGGGAGGCUUGGCCCUACUGGGCCUCCUCGAGGCCUUGACUUGGGUGUUAGGCCCGAUGGGCUCGAUUCGCCUAAGGCUGGGCCACUUUCCAAUGGGUCUUCGUCAUUUGAAGGGCCUUCGUCCUUAGAGGGCCUUAGGCCAAUGGAGUCCAUUAAGUCGGGUGGGCUAUCUGGGAAGGAAGAUUGUCAUGAUCCAUCUGGAGUGGCUCUGCCUCUUGUGUGGGCUGGCCCAAGUCAAUUGAAGGAGUCAGAUGCUAAAGGCUUCCCUUUCUGGGAUUAUGAUGGUAAGCGGAGGCAAGCUGAAAUGGAGCCUUGUCUUGCGGAGAAGUCAAGGACCGACUGUGCCUUAAUUGAAGAAGCGUCGAGGUACGGGUGUGUUCCUAUCCCUUGUGGCUUAAUGGCAUCUGGACUCUCUCCUUCUUCUCUCUUCUUUUUUGGUUGGACCCCGUUGGGGGAUUUUUGCGACAUUUCUAGGGAUGAUAGGGUAACCCAUCUGAGAGAAACUCCCUUACGUAUGCUUCUCCCCUUAGGACCCCCAAAAGAGGAAAAUGCUUGCCGCUGGGAUUUGAGGGAGGGCCCAAGCGCCUGCAAGGAGAGCAGUGGUAAGGAGCUGAGGCUAGCCCAAUCGAUGCCACGUGAUGGAAAGGAAUGGGAGGAGGAAAGUUAGGAGGAAAGUGAGUUGGCCAAAUUUAGUAAGUUCUUGGGAUUUUCUACAGAAGGUCUGGAGAAAGAAAUUUUGGAGUUUUUGAUUAAAAUCCGAAAGAGAAGGGAAAAGGUCCACAACAAAAACCUUCUAGAAAAAUCCAAGUUUGAAAGGGAAUUGAAAAGGCUGGAAUGCUCUAUUAACUACGAGGGGGGGAAGAAACAGAAGAGUGGAAUGAUAGUAGGAGGGUGUCAGAUUAUGGUGGUCAAAUGAAGCUUAGAAUCUUGAGCUGGAAUGUCCGGGGAGCUAACGACAGCUCGAAAAGAAAGGUGAUUAAGGCCAUGAUCAGGAGUCAAAGAGUGGAUCUGUUCUGUCUCUAGAAGACCAAGAUUCAGGCAAUGACAGAGGGGCUGGUGAGAAGCUUAGGCACUGACAGGUUUCUUAAUUGGGGUACUCUGGAUGCCCAGGGGUCCGCGGGAGGGAUUCUGAUCUGCUGGGAUAAGAGAACCUUGGAAAUAAUGGAAAUGGAAGUGGAGAGCUUCUCAAUUUCAUGUAGGAUGAGAAAUGUGGAAGACGGACUAGUCUGGAUGUUUACUGGGGUUUAUGGGCCAUUUUCUGAAGAGGACAGGGAGUAGAUGUGGAGGAAAUAGGAGCAAUCCGAGGCAUUUGGGAGGAUCCAUGGUGUAUAGGGGGUGACUUCAAUGUCACCCUGUCACUGAGGGAAAAAAGUAAUCAGGGGAGACUAACGAGUGCAAUGAGAAGGUUUGCUCAAGUUAUUGAUGAGCUAGAACUCAUUGAUCUUCCAUUACAAGGAGGGAUGCUUACUUGGAGUGGGGGGAGGAAUAAUCAGGCGUGGGCCAGAUUGGAUAGGUUCCUGGUGACCUAAAGUUGGCUUGACCACUUCAGUGAGGUUGUGCAAUGUAGGCUGCCCAGACCGACCUCAGAUCAUUUUCCUAUUGUGCUGAUGGGUGGAGGGUUAAGGAGAGGUCCGUCCCCGUUUAGGUUUGAACAUAUGUGGCUUAAAGAUGACGGCUUCAAGGAUCUUCUUAGGGGCUGGUGGCAGGGAGUUGAGGCUAGAGGGAGGGUCAGUGUCAGACUAGCCGCUAAAAUGAAGGUGCUGAAGCAUAAGAUUAAAGUGUGGAACAGAGAGGUGUUUGGUAGGCUGGAAGCUAACAAAAACUCAGCCCUGCAACAAGUGGAGUUUUGGGACGGGGUGGAAAGGGAAAGGAGCUUGUCUGAAGGUGAAACUAAACUGAAAAAAGAAGCCAAGGAUUUCUUUAAAAAAGGGUCUUAUUGGAGGAGACCCACUGGAGACAAUUGUCAAGGGAAUUGUGGCUUAAGGAGGGAGAUAGAAACACUGGAUUCUUCCAUAGAAUGGCUAAUGCUCACCGAAGGAAUAACUCUCUGGAUAGAAUAAAAAUUAAUGGAGUUUGGAUGACUAAGGAGCAGGAGAUAAGGGAGGGAAUAGUGAGUGCUUUUCAGCAGGUGCUUUCUGAAGAACCAGGCUGGAGGACAGAUAUUGAGGGGCUGCACUUUAAAUGUCUAAGUUCCAGUGAAGCUGAAACUCUGGAGGUGCAAUUUACUGCAGAGGAAAUUUACGCAGCCUUAAUGGGUAUGAAUGGGGAUAAAGCUUCGGGCCCGGAUGGGUUCACAAUUGCUUUUUGGCAAUCAAGCUGGGAGUUAGUGAAGGAGGAGAUUAUGGAAUUGUUUAGAGAAUUCUAUGACCAGUGUUCUUUUGCCAACAGUCUUAACUCCACCUUUAUAGUCCUCAUUCCUAAGAAAGGAGGGGCUGAAGAUUUGGGUGAUUUCCGAGGACCAAAACGCCUUUGUGAGGGGCAAACAGAUCUUGGAUGUGUCUCUUAUUGCCAAUGAGGUGAUCGACUUCUGGCACAAGAGAAACGAGAAAGGGCUGAUCUGUAAAUUGGACACUGAGAAAGCCUAUGACAGUAUUAAUUGGAACUUUCUCAUGAAAGUUCUGGUCAAAAUGGGUUUUGGGUCGCGGUGGUUGGAGUGGAUUUGGUGGUGCAUCUCUACCGCCAAAUUUUCAGUCAUGAUCAAUGGGGUGUCGGCUGGUUUCUUCUCGAAUUCUAAGGGGCUAAGACAAGGAGAUCCCCUCUCCCCGUAUCUUUUUGUGUUGGGGAUGGAAGUUCUUAGUAAUCUAAUUAGAAGGGCGGUUGAUGGAGGUGUCUUAUCAGGUUGCAGAAUUCGGGGGAGAGGGGAAGAGGAGAUGAUAGUUUCCCACCUGCUCUUUGCUGAUGACACGAUCAUCUUUUGUGAAGCUAGCAAAGAGCAAUUGUCCGCUCUAAGCUGGAUUUUGGCUUGGUUUGAGGCGGCCUCUGGUCUUAGAAUUAAUCUUGAUAAAAGUGUCCUAAUUCCAGUUGGUGAGGUGGAAGAUAUUGAGGAGCUGGCUGUGGAACUUGGUUGUAAAGUGGGUUUGUUGCCCACUGUUUACUUAGGGCUGCCCCUUGGAGCUCAUCACAAAGCUGUCUCCAUUUGGGAUGGGGUGAAAAAGAGAAUGAGAAAGAGAUUAGCCCAGUGGAAAAGACAUUAUAUUUCAAAGGGAGGGCGUAUCACCUUAAUCAAGUGUACUAUGGCCAGCCUUCCUAUUUACAAUAUGCCCCUUUUUCGAAUGUCGAAGAGUAUUGUAAGGAGACUCGAAAAAUUACAAAGAGACUUUCUUUGGGGAGGGGGCAGCUUGGAGAGGAAGGCCCAUUUAAUUAAUUGGGAGGUGGUGUGCACUCGAAGGGAGAAGGGUGGCCUUGGCAUUCGGAAGAUUGACUCCCUGAACAAAGCUUUGUUGGGUAAAUGGGUUUGGAGAUUUGCCAUGGAAAAGGAUAAUCUCUAGAGGUUAAUGAUUGGGGUGAAAUAUGGUCAGGAAGAGUUUGGGUGGAGAACUAAAGAAGCCCGUGGUACUUAUGGAGUGGGGGUUUGGAAGAAGAUUAUGAAGGAAGCUAAGUGGUGUUGGGAGAAUACAAAGUUUAAGGUAGGGAAAGGGACUAGAGUAAAAUUCUGGUCUGACCAGUGGUGUGGGAAUGAGAGGCUGUCCCAUUCUUUUCCCCAGCUUUAUGAGAUGGCGGUCAACAGGAAUGCAACGGUUAAUGAGAUGUGGGAUCAUAGCAGUGGUCCAGGAGAUUGAAAUCUUAGAUUUCAUAGAGACUUUAAUGAUUAGGAGCUGGACUUGAUUAGAGGAUUGCUUAUUGUGGUCAGGGACUUCAAGCUAUCUUCAGAGGAGGACGUGGUGCUUUGGAAAGGNNNNNNNNNNNNNNNNNNNNNNNNNNNNNNNNNNNNNNNNNNNNNNNNNNNNNNNNNNNNNNNNNNNNNNNNNNNNNNNNNNNNNNNNNNNNNNNNNNNNAGAGGCGUUUGGGUGGACUAGGUCCCAACCAAAGUGGCUUUUUUUGCUUGGGAAGCCGUGUGGGGGAAGAUUCUCACCCUGGAUAGGCUUCAAAAACGGGGCUGGCAGUUUCCUAACCGAUGUUGUUGUGUGGUUGUGAAGAGGAGAGUGUAAAUCACAUUCUUUUACAUUGUAUAGUGGUAAGGGCCUUAUGGGAAAUCGUUUUUGCCCUUGUGGGGGUUCAGUGGGUGUUCCCAGAGUUGGUGAAGGAGGCGUUAUUCAGUUGGAGGGGCCCCUUUGUGGGGAAAAAGAGGAAAAAAAUUUGGAAUUCUAUCCCGUUGUGUAUAUUUUGGACGGUAUGGAAGGAAAGGAAUAGGUUAGCUUUCAAGGGAGGGGUGUUAAAUAUUCAAAAACUCAAAAAUUCAUUUGUUUGUACCUUGUGGAGUUGGGCUAGGGUGUAUAUUGGAAAGGAGUCCUCUUCACUAUUAGGUUUUUUGGAGUGGCUAGCGGCCACUUAAGGGAGGGUAAGGGUGCUUGUUUUUUUGUGAUAUUUAUCAAAAAAAAAAAAAAGCCCACAAACAUAAUUGAUAGUAACAAAAUAAUAAUUUCUUGUUGUGAGCCUAUUGGUUCUUUCUUCUCAUCUGAGAGAGCGAGUGCGUGUGUAAGGAAGGGAGAGAGACACUGCUCUGAGGUACCACAAAAAGAAAAGGAAAAACAAGGUACCAACAGACAGCACACAUGCAUCUUACUUAUUUCCUUGUUCUCACCCGAGUGAAAGAGUGACUCCAUCUCAUAUUUUAGUUGGUUCUUUUUUCUCAUUUGCCUUUAUGGAUAAGGGAGUUCUCAACCUCGAAAACCAUAAGUACCUCCAUGGAAGAAUACAAAUUUGUCUUACCUUAUCUCAAAUUUUGGAUUGAUGUCAUUGUCUGAUGAAUGCUCUCGUUACUGCUUUGGAAAAAUUUUCCCUUUAACCUAGACAAUGCAUUGAUUGUGAUUGCUCUCUGGUCCUGAAAAGUGAAUACUUAGCCAGCUCGCUUGUUUUGGUUGACUGCGACCAUAUAUUGGCCAGAUGCUCUUUUCCAUCAAUCAAGUCUUUUUACCACUCUUUGAAUGUUUUGGAUCGAUGCCGAGUACCAUCAAUAAGCAGCAUCCUAGAUUUGUCUUUCUUCAAUAAAUGCAUUUUGGCUGUGGGAUAUCAACUUUUCUAAUGCAUCCUUAAAUCUUUCUUUUAACACUUCAAAAAUGCUUUUAUGAACAAUUCCCAUAGGGCUAGUAUUAAAAAAAAAAAAAAAAAGUCUUCAACUGCCUCUCCAUUUUAGGAAUGAGACAAAUAAAUGCAGUAGUCAAAAUUUUCUUAAAAUGACAUCUAUCAUAGGAUCCCUCAAACACUUUUAUGAUGUCUUCUUUGAUCAUGUUCCAACUCAUGGGAAAAGCAAUGAUUAUACUUUUCUUUUAAUCAGACACAUACAUUUUAAAGCCAAGAAUCAUUAGGUAUUCUCCACACUGAACAUUCAUACCCAUUAAAUACUUUCAAAAUGUUUUUUUCCUUUUUUCUUUUUCUUUUUGAGGCAAAAGUGAGGUAUAACGGUAUAAAAAAUGUCUAACAUAAAGUGAUUGUUAUGAAACAUGAAAAUGUCCUUCAAAGUUACCACUAUUUCAUCAAAAUAUUGUGUGUUGGUGGACCCCAACAUGAAACAUGAAUCAGAAAUAUCAAAUCACUUACUUUUUUUUCCCAUUUUUUCAGGUUUUAUCAGAUAUUUUUUGUUUCUUUUCUAGUUUGAUUGGGAUUUUCAGCAAUUAUUCCUUCUCAAUCCUACCUCUUUAGAAUAUAUAUGAAUAUAAUCAUAUACAUGCCUCAUUUGGCUUUACUUAAAUUAAUUUAAAUUAUUUUAUUUUUCAAAUUUCAUUCAACAAAUUAUUUAAAAUCUGGAAAAAAAAAAUCAUAAUAAGACCAUUGAUGAGUUUUUCUUUAUAUAUUUUAUAGAAUUGUUAAAUACAAAAGAAAUGUGAACAUGUAAAUAAAAUUAUUAACAUUUUUUUAGACAUAAACAUAUCAUCAUUAUAUAUAUAUUUUCUUCAACAAAACAAUUUUAAUAUAUGUAUUAUUGUUCGUUUUAUCAUUUAUUAGAGCAUUUCCUAACAUUUAUACAAGGUUUUAUCAACUUCAUUCCACUUAUAUAUUUUAUCCAAAUUUUCAUCCAAUAUUCCAUAAAAUCCAAUUGUCAAUAUUUCCAUAAUUUUUUAUAUUUUAAUCAUUGGUUGUCAUUCCAGUAUACAAUAAUUAUACAAAGAGCCCUAGCAAAUUUAAUGUUUUUGUCACCUUCUUCAUUACAAAAUAUUGGACUUUUGGCACCAACUAGUUUCCUUAUCUUGCCAAAAUGGAAAAUUGCACAUCGACGUCCAACCUCCUCACAAAGGAUAAGCUCCCAAUGUCCCAAUCCCCUUAGCCUUAGAGACUACAACGUUCCAAAUAAUUCCUUGUCACACCUCUUGAACUUCCUACUUUAGAGUCUUAAGCUUCUCAUUAAACAUGAAGUCAAGUGCACUAUAGGGAGUCGCAUUUAUAACUCUAAUAGAACCACUUUUUUUUAGCCAAGCCAAUAUUGUCAAGAUAAAAGUGAACAUGUGUGAUAUCCCACAUUGAAUAAGGAAAAUAGUUUUUAGUACUAUAUAUGUAUGGACUUCUCCUAACUAUAUAUGUAUUGUUAGUUUUGAAAUUCCUGUCCUGUCCCUUCUUCUCUUCCCAUUCUCAACUUCUCCUUGUUGGAUUACAGAUAUAUAUGGACUGUUUCCUGAAGGCCAGAUUCCAGCACUCAUAGAUUACUUGGGAAUUGUUGUUGAGGUAUUCGCUUUUUCCUAUGUUGCUUCUUAUUUGUUCUCUGUAUGUGUGUCUCUGUCUCUGUCUUUCUCUUUCUUGGUCGAACAUCAAGUACAUCUACGGGAAAACAAUAAUUAUUGUGAUGUUUCUGCAAUCAUCUUUUCUUUAUUAUAUUAUCAUCUGUUAUGUACAUGCUAUGUUCCCUAAGACACUGACUUCACUUUCCGAGAACAUGUAAUCAUCACUCUGUAUGUGGCAUUGUUGUUAAGAAUAUAUUUAUGUUGGAGAUUUUUUUUACUAAUUGGCAUACGAUAACAAUUAUGAUUUUGUUUCUACUCCACACUCUUUCCAUGUUUUAUUAGGGACAUCAUGUAUUUGUAGCAACUGGAUGUUCACACAUAUCAACAGACGAAUACCUAUAUUACAUUGAGACUGACAUGAGAGACAAUGGCUAUGAUAAUUUUCAUAGUAUCCUUAUUCCAUAGUACUUACAAUCAUAUGUUUCCCAUCGAAAGAAAAUUGUGUUUUGAUGUGCCCAUACCAACACAACAAUAUGAACCUACUUCUCUUUUUCCAAUUAGCAGGACAGCGAACUUGGUAUCGUUUAUUUAGAUUAAUUGACAUCAAGAAAAAAUCAACCUAAAUUCUUGGCUGACUGCUACCAUAAACUGAUUCCUAGUUUGUAUAAAAAAUAACCCAGAUUUUAGCAGUUUUUCUGGCAUAACAAUCUGUCCACAUUUACACCGUUAUUUGAGUAUUUAUGACAUAUCCCACAUUGACUAACGCUUGAUUUUUAACACCACUCAGCGAAUUUGGUUGAGUUGUUGGAUAGCUUAGUGAUAAUUAACAUACAUUUUCCAGCCUAGGCAAGUCUACCAUGAAAUCUACAGAAAGGUUACACCCAUCAAAAAUAGUGGAAAUGAAUCCUAUUCCAUAUUCCAUGAAUAUAAAAGGAAAAUACGACUCUUCAAAGGGAUUUAUGCACUACCCUAAUUUAAAUAUCACAUGGCCCGAGGAUGCGCCCUUUAUGACAUUUCUCACGAUUCCCUCUUCUCCUCUUUCCAACAUCAUUAUAUUCAUACAUAAUCCCUAUUUACUUUUGUUGUCUUUUUGUUUGUAACAAGCUUCUAUUUAAUUAAGGAAAUGGAAGAGGACAUGUUCUGCUACAUUCAUGAAGGUGGUCAGCUAAUUAAAUGUGCUGGAGGGUCUGUAGAAUAUCAGGGAGGUCGUACUAAAUCCAUGGUUGUUAGCCGACAUAUGUCACAUAGUGAUUUCGUUUCAAAACUAUGUGAUAACCCGACUCAUGGUAGCUUGGCAUGUAAGGGUAUCAACAAAAUUUAUACCUAAGGUCCUUACACUAAAGUAGCAAAGCUACUAUAGCAUAGUGGCUCUAGGAUCGAACACUGGGAAGGGUUUUUACUUUAACUGGUGAAGUUCGGAGGAUGGAGUGAACUUUUCUUAAUAAAAAUUAGGUUAAGAUGAAAACAUAAAAAGAUGAAGGUGUUGUAAACUAAACUAACAUGAAAAUAGGUUAAAAGAUGGAAAAAGAAGUUUCUCAAAGCUUUGGAUAGCCAUGCUUAACUCACUGUGUAAAAAUGGAGAUUUUGGAACUUUUCACCUCGAGUUGGGGAAGCAACUAAGGUGAUGCUUACUUCCCGAACCGGUAUGUGUUUAACAACUGAGUUUUAGUCCUUCAAAACUUACAAAAAGGGUAGCUGAACCUCAUAAAUGCUCUUUUAAUGAUAUAGGUCAUCUCCUCGACUUGCAAUACAAUGGCUCGUAGGAGAUAACUAAUGAAUGUCAGUGGAUCUAACAAUAAGAAUCCACUGAGACUAAAAGGUUAUCAAGUAUUGGCCAUUCAAAGCAAGUCAGAGGGAUUAAAAGCUUUACUUUGAAUGAAAACAUUUAUGAUGCUCAGCUACUUACAUUCAUGGCUUGGAAAUCUCCAUCCUGACACGGGAGCUUCACAUAGCAUCCAUUACUUCAAGAAACUAAAAGGUUUUAGCCUCUCAUCCUUGGGGAUUUCAUCCUCCAAGGAUGUUUGGCUACUAAGAAAAUAGAAAAUAGUAGAGAGAAAAAGAAAGCAAAAGAUACUCUAUAUUUCACUAAGUGUAAAAUUUACAUAAGUUGGUCCCCUGGAGAAAGUUCCCCGACCGUCCAAAAAAUGAAAAUUACAAAACAAUAUAUAACAGGUUGUUUACCCCUGUAUCCUUGCUUAACAACUAAGGAAUCAUCUAAUUGGUGGAUUACAAGGAGAGAAUUGGGAUUUAGACAACAAAUAUCUGAGGCAAAAUAACAAAAAACGUUGGUCGCAAAUAUCUGGAAGCACUCAGGAGAAUUUCGCAGGCGCACAAAAUGGCUGCGAAAUCAUUUCGCAGCCGAAGACUGAUUUCGCAGCCAAAGGCUGAUUUCGCAGCCCUGCGAAAUUGGCCUUCAGCUUGGAGUGAUCUGCUUCCAUUGGCUCUAACUUCUUCAUUUCAACUCUGAUUUGUGAACCGUUUGAAGCAUUGGAUUGUUGACUUCCCGAUCUUCGAAAUGACAUAAAGUAUGCAUAAAUUAGACUUUAGGAAGUACUCCAAAAGUGGCUGAAAUGACUGUCAUCAAGAAUGCUUCAAGGUAGAUUCUCUCUUUACUUCUCCUCCUUGCAUUCCGGAUUGGUUAUGGCAAAGGACUUUAAGGCUUCAAAGCUCUGAUUCUUCAUGUUUCUGAGCUUUCCAUUGCUUUGCCAUGGAUUCCAAAUAACUCUCCUCCAUCUUGGAUUGCUUUGGUGAUCAAAUUACUAACAAAAACACCAAAACUUACACAAAGUGAUUAGAAGUGAUUGCAAAGGUCCUUAAUAUGUUAAUUGGGUUAAAAGGCAAUAAAUACUACUCAAAAGUGUUUAAAAGAGUUAAUUACAAGCUAUCAAAUAGCCCUUUUUGAGUAGUAAUCACUAUGUGAUGAACUGCACUUUGACCGGAAUUCUAUCAAAUUGGAAUUCACGGUGAAGUUUGACCCAUCAUGUCUACUACCUUUGCAUGAUGACGCAGCCCUACUUAAGAUGUUUCAAUUCAAUGAAAUGUUUUGUCGUGUCUAUGUCUCAUCAUCAAGUGAAGUUGUUGAAGGUUGUAUAGCACCGAAUAGGUACUUAAAGCCUUACAAACAUCACAUUCACUAUGUCUAGUAACUUUUCUUCAAAUAUAUGUAGAUGGAUUUUUUUUUCUUUAUUUGUAGUGCCCCUACUCCUAUUGUUGGUUCGAAUUCGACACACCUACUUUCCUUCGGUGGUGAUCCGCCAAUUGAUAUCUGUAAUGACUCUCUUACAAUUGAGUCAUAUGAGUUUUCCCAAAGAUGUGCAGAAUCAAAUAUACUCGAGCAUGACUCGAGGCUUUUUGAAAAUUCCAUUAUGGGUAGUGGACAUACCUUCCCCAAUGCUUCUAAGUUCCGUGAUGCCAUUUAUUUGAUGUCAAUUGUUGGUAGAUUCCGUUAUUGCUUCAAGAGGAAUAGUAUGAAACACAUGACAGUUAUUUGCACAGUUAGUGGAUGUCCUUGGUCAUAGCUCGUGCUGUUGGGGAAUCGAACAUCGUUCAGGUUCACACUUUUCAUAACCGCCAUAAUCAUAGUUUGGAAUAUGUUGCUGCAUGCCAACCUUUAGUGAGAUCCAACCAUGCUUCCUUGCUUAUCGAUGAUGUCAUACGGUCCACUCCCGAUUACCAACCCUGUCAAAUAUGUAAGGACUUUCAAAGGCAACAUGGGAUGCAAUUGACGUAUGUUCAAGCAUGGAAUAUCAAGGAGAAGGCAAAUGAGUGCAUUUAUGGAGAACCCAAAUAUUAUUACAAAUUGUUGCCUUGGAUGUGUGAGAAAAUGGUUGCAACAAAUCCGGGAAGCAUUAUUGAGUUGAGUCAUUCAAGUGAUGGGCAUUUUGAGCAACUCAUUGUUUCUCAUUCAGUAUCUAUCCAAGGGUUUGCAUUGGGGUUUCGGCCAAUCAUUGCUAUUGACUCUGCCCAUAUGAGUGGGCCAUAUAGGGGUGCGUUAUUUUCAGCCACCACAUACGAUGCUAAUGACUCCAUGUUCCCCUUAGCCUUUGGCAUCAUGAGCUCAGAAAAUUAUGACGAUUGGUCUUGAUUUUUGCAAAAUUUGAAGAAGGUUGUUGGAGAUAAGGAAGUCGUUAUUAUCUCGGAUAGACAUCCUGCUCUCCUUCGUAGUGUUCCUGAAGUGUUUGGGCUUGAAAACCACGCCUACUGUUACCGUCACUUGAAGGAAAAUUUCCUCUCUUUUUUGAGCAAACAUAACACAAGAGGGAACAAAGAUAAAGAAAAUGCACUCCAAUUCCUUGAUAGUAUUGCCUAUGCAAGGUUAGAGCACGAUUACAAUAUUUCCAUGUUUGAACUACGGAAAUACAAUGACACUUUGGCCAAAUGGGUUAAAGAAAAUGCACCCGAACAUUGGGCUAUGUCAAAAUUUCCAAAACAAAGAUGGGAUAAAAUAACCACAAACCUUGCCGAGUCGUUUAAUGCUUGGUUAAGGAAUGAAAGACAUCACUCGAUUUGUAACUUUCUAAUGGAGCAUAUGGCUAAGUUAGGUUCUAUGCUUGUCAAACAUAAAGAUGAAUCAAAUAAUUGGUAUAGGGCUAAAAAUUGAAGACAAGGUGCAGUAGAAAAUUGCCAAGGGUGAGGUCUAUCCGGUCACUCCUUUCAUGAAUGGAAUAUUUGGGGUUUCUAUUGGAAGCACCUUAUUGAAUGUCGACAUUAUGAAGCGUACUUGCAUAUGUAGGGGUUGGGAAAUGUUGGGAAUCCCUUGUGAACGUGCGACGACUGUUAUUCUUUCCAUCGGUCAGAAUGUUGUUGAUUUUGUUCAAGAUUGGUACAAAUUCCCAAUGCAAGAGUUGAUUUACUCGGGCUCCUUCUCCGGUAUAGAGACCCAUGACAUGCCAAGCGUCGAUAAUGAUGGUUUGGUUCGAUCUAUCACCGGUGAAGUUUUCCUCUCUCUUGACCCUCCCCAUACCAAACGCCCUCCCGGAAGACCAAGGAAGAAGCGCAUUGAGUCCCAAUUUCAAGAUAAACGGACUGUCUAUUGCUCAAGAUGUCAUACUUCCGGGCACAACAGGAAAACGUGCAAAAAUCCUUUGUCUUAAGUGCAAUGCUGUCACAUUCUUCCCUUGUUGAAACUAUGUUCCAUUGUAUAUCCAUUACAUGUUUUGAAUACUCUUUCUAAAGGUUGUUGCCAACCAAGUUCACAUUUGUAACACUGAUCAUUGGUGUGUUGUAAUGGGUAAUAUUACGUGGAAAUUGUUUUCAUAAUUCCUUUUCUUAAUUUCUUAGUAGGGAAAUUUUUGACAAAACCAUUAAGUCGACCACUUUAAAAUUCUAAUUUAAGUUAUAUGGUAAAUAUGAUGCUCCCAUCUAUUAAUAACUGUGUCGUACAAUAUUUGACUAUAGCUGUACUCAACAAAGCUUCUACAGAUUGUAAAACAAAAUCCAUCAUUUAUAAACAUAGGGACACCAAACCUACAUAUUGGAAAACUUUCAUUCAAAUGACAUAUGUUGCUACUAUCCCAAUAUAUGGCUAGAUAUCAAUAUGCUUCUGCUCAUUCUGAUCAGCCUCUUCCCCUACACCUUUGGUGUUUCCUAGCUAGAUUGUUCAUUUUUAUUGUCUAGUCAUGCUGCAUCAACUAUGACCUUGUGUUGGCUAGUAUGUUUCCUAACCUCAAUAUGAUUCUAUUGUUUUUUCAGUUUUAUUGAGGAAAUUGCUGGUGUAAAUUAGCAAGUUCUUUUUUCAGAAAAGUGUGGACAACAAAAGAAAUGGGAGGAAAAGACUCUCUAUUCUACAAUCUUGUUUGUUUUUUAUUUCACAAAAAAUUAGUGUGAAGAUUCAAAUUGAGUGUCUAAAUUAAUUGAUAUGGGAUCUGGGAAUUGUUUUAUUUGUUUGUUUUUCUUGUUGUUUGCUCUCAGUGGAAAAGAAAAGAAAAGAUGCUUACGAUUAUCAUAUAUUCCCUUAAGUUUUAUUUUGUUGUUUUCUUUAAAGAAAACCGAAUGUUUCAAUUCCAGUAGGCUAAAUUGGAUGCUUAUGCUUUUGUUCUUUUGCCCACUGUUUCUUUGCUGAGAUAUCCAAAGAAAUGAACAACCAAACAAAAUUUGGAAUUUUCUGAUUUGGCGUGUUUGGAUUUUUUUUGGUUUAUUUAUUUAAUUUGAGGUUUUUGAUUUCGCAGAAUAUGAAAAGCUCAGCUCGAGUAAGUGAAACAAUGGAGGGAAAGUAUUUGAUUUUUGAAGUUCCAAACAGUGCAAAACUAUUUAAUAUUUGGUAUUUUUUCUAUGCAAACAAAUGAAAGCGUGGAACCUUGAAAUGUGUGGUCUCAAAUUAUUCUUAAUUAAUUGGUAAAUUAGUUUCAAAAAUGCUAUUUUUAUUGCCUUUUAGGUAGAUUUGAAUCUCUCUAUGUACUUUCCUUUUUCCCAACUUGGUACUAACUGUGUGUUCAUAUUGCUCUUCAUAUCAGUUUUCAAAGUAAGCCUGAUAUAGGUAUUUCAUUCUUCUGAUUGCAUUUUUGUUCUUUUUAACAAUAAGAUUGCUUGUUGAUCAUAUCCAUUUUCCAGACAGAUAAUUGGAUUUCAGUUUUUAUAAACAUAGGACAAAAGUGUUUGCUUAAUGAUUCCAUUAUUUGAGGUUUUGAUAGCCCAAGUGCCUGUCUUUGCUUUAUUUCAUCAAUCUUUUCAUUACACGUUCUCUCAUUUUGAUGUUUCUGCAAUGUUUCUGACUCAGAAUUUUCAGUAUAUUAAGGAUGAGCAGCAAUGUGAAUGUGCUUUCAGAUGUUUUCUGCAAUGUACCAUAAUGAAACUUAAUUGAUUUUCCUCAGUUUUCUAAUGAUCUAUCAUGGCAACUGCUACAGUUUUAAUGUCAUUCUUUUGCAUUACUGAAUUUCCAAUAUUCUUUCUAGAUAUGACAUGCCUUUCUCUCCAAAGGUUUUGCAUAUCUAUAGUGCAAACUUGUUAUUGCAAACCCAUCAAAGGCCAAUCCUGAGAAUAUCCAUCUUCACUGUCAUGAGAUGGUUUCAAAUGCUUUUGAAAACCAUGUAUAUUGAGUAAAAUUUUAUGUCUUUCCAACCUAGAUAUGUGUGUAUAACCUAGUAUAAUUUUUGUUAUAUUAUAGGCAUUGAUAUAUAUAUAUAUUUUCCAUAAGGUUCUGCAUUUCUCUAAUUUUUACAACUUUGAAUUUGAACUUAGUGUGUAGCUGAUAAACUAGAUGAGAUCUGAGAUCUUUUUGCGUAUUAUUAGUGUUCAGAAAUGUACCUCAGCUGACAUGCCAUUCUGCAAUUGUAGUCCUUUUUUGUUCUACCUAGUGGCUUGCUUCUGUAUAAUUUUUUUUUAUUUUAUAUUAUAGGCAUUGAUAUCUUGUUUUUUGAGAAGGUUCUGCAGUUCUCUGAUUUUUACAGUUUUUGAAUUUGAACUUAGUGCCUAAGCUGGUAAACUAGAUGGGAUCUUUUUGUGUAUUAUUAGUGUUCACAAAUGUACCUCAGCUGACAUGCCAUUCUGCAAUUAUAGUCUUUUUGUUUUCUACCCAGUCAUCUGCUUCUCUUGAACUUAUUAUGGUAUUUUUGCUCUUAGUCUUGUUCCUGAUCUUUGUUUCUCUCCAUGCUAUGCAUGGUAAUGUAUUUACCAUUGACAUAAAUCAUCUAGUUACUCAAUACUUUCUUUUAUUGAACUUUAAGUUUGUUAUCUAACUAACUUCGAUAUUUUUCCUUUGCAGAGUAGCAUAUGUUAUGGAUAUCCAUUUUGAAGCCAUCAUGUUAGGCAUUACUUAUUUUGAUCAUUAAUAUCAGAAGUAGUUCUGCCUCUUCUGUCAGUAAGUGUACGUUAUUGUUCGCAGUACCAUUAGAAGAUCCUUUUAUUUUUUGGUAUCAUCAUUUUUUAACAUGCAAGAUGUUCUUUGCCCAACAAUUUGUGACCAUUCAUUUUUGUGUACUGCACUAGUCAGUUUUGUAAGAUUUUAUUUUCAUUGUACAAUUAUUGCUCAUAAGCAUAGCACCAAACAUCUUGUAUGAUAAAUGUGUUCAUUUGUUGACUAGUAAUCCUUUUCUGCAAUCUUAUCCAUUUAUCUUUCAAUCUUGUUUCUAAAUUUCUACCCUUAUUUUCCUUCAUAUUUUUCAUGAAACAUACAAUAUCAUUAGCUUGGAUUUCAUUUUCCAUUUCUCUCUCAUUUUCUUUUUCAUGCUUUUAGGUUGUUAUCUAACCUAAAAGUUUUGCUUCUUCCAGAGUAUCAUAUGAUAUGAUAUCCAUUUCAAACACGUUGCUUUAAAAGUUUCAGUAUUUGAAUAUCAAUAUAAGAUUUAAAUCUGCCACUUUUAUCAAUAAAUGUAUGUUAAAACUUUCCUUUAAAUCGAAUUGAUGUUUUGAUUUCCUGGUACUGCCUUUCUUUUACCUGGCUUUUAUUCCUUGCAUGUCGCUAACUAUUUUUCAUUCACCUAAUUUUUCCUUGGUGCUACAGCCUUCCCUACAAAUAGGGUUUUUUUUGCUCCCCCCUUACAGAACAUGAUUGAUCUAAUAGCCCCAAACGCAACACACACACAUGCAUUCACACCCUUCCAUUUAUUAAUUGUGCAAAUACAACAGCUGUUAGUGCAUUGGUUUCCCCACCUCCUACUGUACACCGGUGUUGAAAAUACGGGAAAAAAACAACCAGUCCAUUUCAGAAACAGAUGGACAGCAGACAAAGGAAGUGGAGAAGCCAUGUUCCAACAAGAUCUGGACCGGUAAAAUAUUCUAAACUCCUUUAACGUACUUAUACAUCUAUUGCCCUUUAGCCUAAAAUCAUAAAUUGUGAGAUAUUUUUAAUAUAUUUUCCUUAUUUCAUGUUAUAGGCUAAGUUACCGAAAUCCCGCUGCUGGGGGAAAAAUUCCUAUCAAUCAUAGAUACACUUCCUCUGGAGAAGAAAAAUGUCAUCAGCGGUAUGGGAUUUGGAGGAUUGUUGCAGCUUACCUGCAAAGAGUUGCGGUAUGACCUAAUAACGUGGAUAGUCGCCAAUUAUGACAUUGGCUACCACCGCGUUUGUAUGCAAACUAAUGUUGCUGUCCCAAUCACACCCCAAGAUGUUAGAGAGGUCCUUGGUAUCCCGGACCAGGGCAUUGACAUUCUCUUUUACAAUAGGCACAGCACACCCAACUGCACUUAUGACAUUAAAAUAUUGGAAGAUAGAUUACGUGAUCUACUGGUUGGCGAAGAAUUCAUGAAGUCUUUCCUCAUUUUCGCCUGUGCCACUAUCCUUGCCCCUAACUCAAAACAAGAAGGCAUGCAUGACUUGUGGGACACGAUUUGGGAUAGUGAUGUGGGUGUCCGCAAAAAUUGGGCCAAGUUUGUUCUCCAAUAUCUGGAGGAUGGGAUAAGGGACUAUCGGAAUAGUCAUUCGACAUACAUUAGAGGUUGUGUGUUGUUUCUUCAGGUAUUGUGUUCUCACUCUCUCCACAUUACUGACAUAUGUCUGUCAAAUUAAUUUCUUAUGUUGUUGAUAUUCUAAUAGCUUUUCUAACCGACUUAUAUUUGCUUCCCACUGCACAACUUUUCUAUAUGACGAAGUUCUACAUCACUUCUUUUAAAGUUGAAGUGCGCAGUUCACUAUGUGCUGCAUGGACCGAUAAGCAAAUCAAGGGUCGCUUGGCAGCCAAAAUACACACUUAUGGCAAUUAUGGUCAUGUCCAGGUAUGGUCCAAUUUAGCUAAUUCAUAAAUGUAGAUUCGUGUGAUCAUUAAUUUUGUUUUUUAUCUAUGGGUAGGUUAUAGAGCGAAGCAACUCAGAUGUACAUAAUGAUGCAUGGCCAUGCGAGGUAGGAAGCUCACAUUCUGAUGACCCAACCGAGGUACGCCAUCACACUACGACUUUAUUACUUCACAAACAAACUUGAUCACUAUCCUCCUUAUAGAUGACCAUGGUAAUUGAGACUCCUUGUUGCUAUCAAUAGACAAUUCAAGCACGGUUGAUUUGCAAUUCAGAGCAUCUCAUGAGCCUCGCUUCAUCUAUGGUAUAAGACAUUGCCACACUACGGGCAAGGUCUAGUGGAGGACAAAGUGGCUGUGCACUAACCCCACCAGAUGAAGCAGUGAAUGCGUAAAAAAACAAAGAAGAGGGUAGCACCGAUGUGCAUCCAUUUAGUGAUCAAAUAAUGGGAAAAGCAACCGGUUCAGCAACCACACAUUCUGGCCAGCAAAGGGCCACCAAUGCAGCAGUAGAUGAUGGCCUAUUUACUGAACAAGAGCCAUGCCCACCUUCAACAAAGGGUGCUGAAUUUCAUUCACCUAAAGGGGUGCAAAUGGGUGUUGAAGAAGGGUAUGGCAGCAAACCGGUUACAUCUAUCCCUAGGCGGAGAUUUAAACACAUAGCGAAAAGGCUUGUGAAGCCAACCGCCAUUUGCAAAUCCCCAUUCGUCUCUCAAUGUGUUAGCCAAUUUCCUAAAAUCAGCCAUGAAGAAAGGGUGGUUGCUGAUUAUGCAUUGUCGGAAGCCGGUGACCCAAGGUACGUCACAUGAAUUAACCAUCUAAUGUUAAUGCGAGCAUUAUUGUUAAAGUUUAUGGCUAUUGACUUAACACAUUUUUUACAUUGCAGUGAGAUCUUGUGCCAUAUGCAUGGCACAUACAUCACAUGGGAUGAGCUUUCUUCGCUCAAUGGAGGCCGUUGGGUGAAUAGUGUGGUAUGUGUCAAAUGUUCUGUCUAGCCCCAUAGUGGUUAAAUAUGAAUCACAUUUUUUUUUUCCUAAUUAACAUGUGUACAAUUUCAGAUUGUAGGAGUGGUGUGCCGAAUGCUGAAUGUAGCACAAGAAAUACCAUCGUGGGCACACUAUUUCGACCCAUCCUUCUCCGUGAGUCCUUAAUCAUAAUUGUUUAAUGCGUUUCUCUAUUAUUUUAAAUCGGAGACAAUGUGGUUAGUUGUAACAACAAAUUGAUAGGUGGUGCUGGCCAACCUGUCGACAAAGGCAAAAAGCAUGAAAUAAGGGACCGGUGUCGGAUGUUCCUAGAUGCUGAAUAUGUGGGUCAUGAUUUCUCAAGUUGCGAGCUGGUACUUCAAACCUAGUACAAUGGAUUCACAGCCAAAUCCUCUUUUUCAUUUAUUUACCAAAUUAUUUUGCCCUACUGACCUAUUAAUGGAAAUGUAAACAAUCCCCUUGUAGCUUUUCUUUCUCGUCUGCGACAACAACCACUGGCACGUGCACGUGUUGAAUAUUCCAUCCUCGAGAGUCAAAAUCUUAUCUUUGUUGCCUUUAAGAAGGGGUAAUGGGAUAAGUGCCAUAUCGAGACGAUUGUCUAAGACAAUUGGAAAAGCAUUCCAUGCUCAUGGCAUCCUACGGCGAUUGGAUGUCUCAAAAUUCGAGCAUGUGCAACCCCAAAUUGUGUAACAAAAAAAUGGGUAGAUCACUUUCGCCCUUAAAAUUUUAUGUAUCUUGAACUAUGUGGUAGUGAUGUAUUUAUCUUUUAUGCUUGAUGUAUGCAUAUGAUUGGUGUAAUGAUAUUGGUGGUGUAGAUUUGAUUGUGGCAUGUUUGCAAUAAAGUACAUGCAACAUUGGAAUGGGGCCACGAUAGCACAUUCAAUCGCGGAGGUAAGCACAACCAAAACUAUUCAACUUGGUUCUUUUGCAGUCUUUACAUUUAAUGCCCAUGAUUCUGAUUUCUGUUGUGCAGGACAAGAUGCAUUUAUAUCGAUUGAGGCUGGUCGUUAUGUUGGUUACGAAUGCUGCAAACAAUGCUAGAGAUAAGGUCAUGAAGGCAUGUCGAGUGUGACAUAUGAGGGUAGUCCCACUUCAAUUACUUGCAAUUUAGUAAAUACUACAUGUCACCUAUAAAAGACAAUGUCACUUUCUAUUAAAAGUUUUUAUUCUCAUGAUUAGUGUCAUUAUUAUUAAUAUUUUUUUUUUUUUUUUGUUAAUUGCAGCCGACAUUCGGAAAACAUAAUUCCUCACAACCAUGAAGCCACCAUGAGAAAGAGGGGAGAAAUUUGACAAUGCGGAAUCGUGGAUGCUGGAGAAAGGGAUGUGAUCAUAAGACAUUCUCAUCAUCAAUCAAACUUUAUAAUAUAACUGUUCAUAUUUUGUUUUUUUUUUUGUAAAUUUAGGCAUGCCCAAUACCAGAGCUCUUUAAAAACUCUAUACAUACAUCAAAAUGGUUUUUUUGGUUGACCAUUUUUACUUUGGGCACCUAUUGCAUACUUUUGAUACACAUACAUCAAAAUGCUUUUAGAUUAAUUUAUCCGUUUCUACGAAACAUACAUUGGUAUAUGAAAUUUUGGUUGACCUAAAAAGGUUACUCCAUCACCUCUUUGCAGGUGUGUAGUUCUAUGAGAUCCAUGCAAUAUGAGAAACUAUUGCCUAUGUUGAAGAACUUGCUUUCUAUUCUGCAUACUAUUUGGCCUAGGUAAAUCUCUCCCUUUUAUUUAUAAAAAAAAAAUGAAUUGUCGUUCUCUCCCUUUUAUUUAUAAAAAAAAAAAUGAAUUGUCGUUCUCUCCCUUUUAUUUCAUCUGUACUUACUGGUUCGGGGAUUUUUAUUAUUCAAUACUCUUCUUCCAUUGUUCUCUUUGGUUUGUUCUCUACACAGGAAAUUGAUUUGAAUGUGUAAUUAGUGAUUUAUUUGGGAAGAAUAUUCUAACUAGUACUUUGGUCGACCACCUAGUGGCUAGGUUCUUUAUGGGGAAACCAAAAUGUUGCCAACACUCAAAAAAGGAAUUUGACAAUUCUAGAGCAAAAACUCUCCCUUUGUCUUUCUUUCUUUUUCCUUUUUACAAUUAUGAAGUACUGCACAAAGCCACAACUGUGCAUGCUUAGUGUUUCCAUUGAUAUUGAAGGUUUAGUUCAAUUUUGAUAGAAUUUUAAAAGAUAAAAACCUGCUUGCCUUUAGAUAGGUUUACUGGAACUUAAUUGUGUUUUGCUGCUCAUACAAACAUUUUCCAUUUCUGUGUAUGAUUCAGCUGCAUCAUUGUUUUUAAUCUGGACAUAGUUCUUCAUCAUCAUGUGUUAACAUUUUUACCAAUCUUCAGGAACAAGGAAGAGGGAUAUUUCCUUGCUUCUGAGCUUCUGAAGAAGAUAUGUUCAAAUCAGAAAGGUGUUGAAGCUUUAAGAAACUUGCCUACUCUUUUGAAGAGGCUACACAACCUAACUGAGGAUCUUAGUAGGAAGGCAAACAAUGAGAAGAUGUUUGGCUUUGGCCAUACUACAGUUUUCUUCCAUUAUACUAGCUGUACGGGCAGUAAUUUAACUUCUUGCAGAUGUUAAAACUUUCUGAUGUUCAUUCUUGUUAGACGAUCACUUACACUAAAUUGAUGGUGGAUAUAUUAUUAGGAAAUUCUCCCAAUUGGAGCAACUAGAUUCGAGGAGGCACUGCAAAUGGGCUCUGAGACCUAUCAUCACUUAAAGGUUAGUUUGUUCAAACGAGUUGUUUUGUUUUAAUGUACAAGUUUCUUAUCUCUAUUGUGUGACAAGUUUUGCAACAAUUUCAGUUGGCUAUCCAAAAAAAGGAAAAAAAAAAUUGAUACAACAAUUUGUGAAUUUAAAUUUUACUGUUUUAAGGAGUAAUGAACCUCUAUGGAAAAUACAUCUCUAUGAUACACUAAAGAGUUUCUUUGCCUAUUAAAAAUUAUAAAACUCAAGAGUUUCUUUUUCUUUUCUUUACUUUUGUUUCCAUGGUUUAGUAAUUCUGUUCCAAAUCCAAAUUGUGUGUAUAAAAAACUUGUCUUCAAGAUUGAAUAAUAUUAAUGCUCAUGACAUAAUAUCACUUUGUGUAACUUUAACUUUGAUAAUUCUGAAAGUAUUCUGGGUUUUCAGUGUUUCUGUGUCUAAAUGCUACAUACACUUGAAGGAUUGAAAUUUUAAUGAAGUACGAUGUAGUGUGGGAACUUUAAAUUUGGAAAUUUGUGUUAUGAUUACAUGCUAUUGUAGCUUGAAGCUCCUCCUAGGAGUUCAUACUUUCUAGGAAGGUAAAAUGGCUAUGUAUCUGUUGCUCCCUAGCCAUGCUUCUACUCAUUUAUUGCUUGUAAUUUCUGUUAACAAAAAGAGAAGGCUGUUAUUACAGAAAAAUAUGGUGCCCAUGGGUGUGAUGUUGGUGAGGAUGGUGGGCUUGCUCCAAACAUUUCCAGGCAAGUUUUUUUUCUUCUUCACCGGAUUUUGCUCAUGUGCACAUUUUAGUAACAAACCCACCAUAGUGUUUGAGGAUAUAUAUUUUAGAUAGAAGUUGUAUUCUGCAUAACUCAUAAAUCCAUUAUUAUAUGUUAGUUAAAUAUGGUUGAGCUCUGGCUGCAUUUCUACCCAGCCCUGUGGAAACAUGAUAAAAUUUCUGUAAGAGUGGUUGGUAUUAAUAUGAUUUAUUUGAAGCUUAAUGUUUUCUAAGUUCUUUCUCCUUUUUUGUUUAUGUUAAACAAGCUUGUUUGAAUGUUGACCAUCCUUGAUAAAUAGCUGUGGCAUAUUGGUUCAUGUUUGUUAACCCUGAUGGUGCUUAUUUUAGUUGGUAUAUUCUAUUGGGAAAAACUAUCCUCAUUGUUAAUAAAGUUUCUUGUGUUUUUGAUUCACCAUAUGCAGUGUACAGACAGAGGACUUCAUUAUACCAACUUAUGAUUGUGUAUCUCCUUGCAUAGUUGAGUUGAAGAGAAUUCCAAAGUGUGCUCCUUUGGUUGUUGGUCAUCAUGGUUUUGGGGAAUUUAGUUUAUGGUAUGCUGCCUUCUCUGCUUGCAUAUUAGUUUCUUCCAUCCAUUGAAAGGCUACUGAUAUGGGAAUUAAUUGGCUAGCAUAAUUCAGGUUUAUUAAGAUACAUCAUUAGUAUUAUCUGGAUAAAAAGGUUCUAUCUCAUUUUCUGCACUGGUUUUGACUUAUUUGCACUUGAUACUUAAUAUCAAGUCUCGGCAAAAUACUUAAGAUUGUCCUUAGGAAAAUGCGUGAAUAAAGUUUUGAAAUGGUUUGAAUUGAAACAAAUAUCAAAUUAUCAUAAUUUCUUUUUGGUUUGGAAUUUUGAUUGCUAACUGAACUGUCUCUACAUUUUUUGAGUGGUAACCAGCUUCUUGUACUUCUUAGUUUCCCUGUCUUACCUUAAUGGAUCCAAUUAUUUCUGUUUCCUGCAUUUCAAAUUAGGCAUAGGUGUAGCCCAGUGUGCUUAAAUCACAUGGUGAGCAGUGAUAUUUGUUUUUUUUUCCUUCAUGUGCAAUUGAAAAUUUUUUGAAUUUCCAAUCCGCUACCAAGUUAUAGGACUCUAAUUGAUAUCUGUCAAUUCAUUGAAAUUGAAAAGUUAAGGAACUCUGUUGUCUAGAUCAAUUUCUUAAUGUUAUAACUUCUAUUAUCAUAUUCAUAUCAUCUGCAGAUUCUUCUGUAUUAUAAAUUAUAAAGAUCAGGCUUCUAUGUCUUAAUUUUGUUUCUAGUGGAAACUGAAACGUAUUACUAGGUCAUGAAAAAUCAUCAAGAUACUCUUAAUUGUGUGAAGGAAAAUUCCUGUAAUGAUCAGUCAUUUAAAAAUGAUUUAACUUGAUCCAAAUGUGAACUUAUAAUAAGCUUGAUAAAAAGUCAGCCACUGUGACUAGUGAAUUGUUUUUUUUCCUCUUCUAAAGUGAGGAAGUCCUGGACCAUAAGCCUUGGAAACAAAGAUGGAACACACACAAACACGGAAUAACCAUCAACCAGCAGCAUUCAACUAUUCUAAGGGUCAACAAGUCCUUCUCAUGAUAAUUUUUUAUAAAAAAAAAUUUAGUCAAAAUAUGGCCUUUUACGUCUGGCACUCCAGGAUUUUAUUUUCUGUUCUUUGGUUAUAUUUUGCUAGUAUUUUUUGUUUCAUCCAAUUUGUUAUGUUGUGGUGCUUCAUUGUAAUUACUACCUCUACAAUUUCAGGAAUGUGGAAUCAGUUUGUAUCUUAUUACAACGUUUCCCCAGGUGAGUUUAAUGUGAUUGACUGUUUAGUUUUUAUUGCCACUUAUGGUUCUUAUAAAUUCCAUUUUUUUUAAAAGUUUUUUUGUACUUUCAUUAAAUUCUCUUAUUACAAAGUUUAUCAACAUUUAAGCUGCAUCAACCUGUCUUGUAAUUCUUGUUAUUCUUGUUAUUUGAUGAUGCACACCUGUUUUUACUUCUUUCAGGGACAUUUCCCAACGCAUCCUCAUAUCAAGGUUCACAAUGCCAAGCAUUUCAAUUUUUGAGUUCAUUCCAAUCAGCUUGUUUAGUUUCCAAAGUGAGGUUCCUCUUUCCAGCAAUCCUGAUGUGGAUUUGCACAUAAACAAAAUAAUGGCUGCAACAAAAAUGUGGUUCUCAAAGCACAAUGAAAAUUACACCUUUCUUCCAUUAGGGGGGGAAAGCAUUGUUGUGUGGCUUCUUGUUGCAACUCUUUCUGACUCUGACACUCAGCAUGACAAUCAAAUGAAUGAUUGCCAAACAAAUCCAGUUGGAUGGUGGAGACUAGCUCUCCUGGUGAAAAAUAUGGUCAUCCUGGGAAGUGCAUUAGAUCCAAGGUGCUUUAUAGUGUUUUAAAACAGUAUCUAAAUACAACAUAUACUGUAUCUCAUGUAAUGCUUCUGCUUUAUGUCUUUUUAAAGCAUUGGGAUGAAGGCUUCCCAGUUCUAAACAUUGAGGGGCACUUAAAUGUUCCAUAGAAAAGAAGUGGUUCCAUUGUGUUUUUGCAUGACCUUCUGAAUGUUUUAAUAGCAUUUGUAAUAAAAUUGUUUCAUGGCAUGCAUAGGAUGAUAUUUAAGAUUUCAGGAAUGAUGUGAGUCCAGGUCUUUGGAAACAUAAAUCAUUAUUGUGCCACUUUGGUCUUGUUAUGGAUUUCACCUUAAAGGUGGAUUUGAUCCAGAAAGCUAUGGUAACUGCAAAGUGAUGUUUUAAUUUCCAAGGAACAUUUAAGUGGCCCCCACUUAAUAGAUUAUUAUUCAUUACUUUAAAUCCUUUUAGUACAAGGAGAUGGGUUAAUAAGACCAAGUACUAGUGAAUGUUCUUUUCUGGGAAACUAGUAUGAGGAAUAUACUUCUGGAACAUUAAGCAUGAACCUAAAACGUAUCAUGCACUUGAAGCUCUGAUGGACAAUAACUAGUGUUGAAACUAUUAUUUCAACUGAAGCCUGGCCAGGAAUCGACAACUUAUUUUCUUAUUUUAAAAGACUGAUUGACUGAUGUAGUAAGUUUUUAAAUCAUCUCACUGUGUAGGGCAGCUGCUAUUGGUGCUUCAGCUGGUCAUGGGAUCAUUGGUACACAUGAUGGACUUGUGUACAUGUGGGAAUUGUCUACCGGUACUAAGCUUGGCAGUUUACACUAUUUCAAAGGUAUGUUACACCCUAUAACAAUUUGACUUUUCUCUGAUUUGCUCUUCCUUGGCAUGAAAUUGAUGAUGAUUUAAACUAAGAAGUACUGGUUUUGCAUAAUUAGUCAUGUACCUUCAUCUGUUUCAUUUUCAACUGGAAAAUAAUAUGCAUCUUCCUCCUUUCUAACCCUUGUAUUUUUUACUAAUUUAAUUUGUAGUUUUGUAUAUUGCACUACUAAAUAAUUCUUCAGGUUAUGUUAACUGUCAAGGUUAUUUGUAGGAUAAAGAACUGAACUAUCACUGAACAACAUCCCAGGGCACCACCAUAUUAUGAGUCUAUGACAAGUGUUCCAAGUUUUAACUCUCAAAUAAGUUGUGACAGCCUGACAGGCACAACAACUGAUCAUACUCCAUUUUAUGCACUACUGCCAAAUUGGGGAUUUAGAUUAUCUAACCUCCUUGAAAUGGGUGAGUUUGAAAUAUUUCUUCCCAAUAUCAGUCCACCUUAGUCGAUCAAAGCCUUUAGCAUCUGUCUCCACAAAUCUAAAAGAAAACAGACACAAAUAAUCAUGUAUCAAACACCAACCCAAGCAUAACCUUUACAUAUGAAGAACCAAGUCCAAAGCAAAAGCAGACCUGAAAUAUGACAGUUUGUACAUGAGGCAAUUUAGCAUGGUAGGAGUGGCUUGAGAAUCAAUCUGGUACUGUCCAUCUCUCUUUUAGACAGCAGGAUAAGAGACAAGUAGUUAAAAUUUAAUAUAAUUGAUCAAACACAAUAAAAAAUAGUAGAAAACAUUAUCAUCUAUGAUUUUCUUAGCCACAUUGAAGCAACAUCCAACAUUAAUGGAACAAAGCUUGAAACUAGUGUAGCAACAAUACACUAGCAAUAAGAACCCAAAGGAGACAUACUUAGAAUCCAUAUUACAAGCAACCAACAACUCACCAGAUAAUCAGGUUCCUUGAUGUGAGGGAAUACCCCCACUCCUAUGUGAACCAUCCACAGGAACUUAUUAAUGUCAUCACUCGGAUAUCCAACAAGACCUGAAAAGUAGGCAGCACAUCAGAGUGUAGUGAUUAUAUUUUUUUAUCAAGAUGAUCUCAAAAAACAACUAAGAAACCAACCUCCGAAGACAACAAGAACAUAUUUAACAUCCAAGGAGUUAAAGUUUACCUUAAGGUAGUACCUAGGGUUCCUUAAGGUAGUACCCGAAGGCCACUAAGGUAGUACCUAAGGGCCCUUAAGGUAGUACCUAAGCUACAAUCCCAAGAAACCAUUGGUGGACCACUUGAGCAAUGAAGAGAACCACAUAAUGGGAUGGUCCAAGGGUCACAAAGGAAGACCCGAGGCUUGGGAGAGGUUGAGUUCAAGUUUACCUUAAGGUAGUACUUAGAGUCCCUUAAGGUAGUACCUAAGGGCCCUUAAGGUAGUACCUAAGCUACAAUCCCAAGAAACCAUUGGUGGACCACUUAAGGAAUGAAGAGAACCACAUAAUGGGAUGGUCCAAGGGUCACAAAGGAAGACCUGAGGCUUGGGAGAGGUUGAGUUCAAGUUUACCUUAAGGUAGUACCUAGGGUCCCUUAAGGUAGUACCUAAAGGCCACUAAGGUAGUACCUAAGGGCCCUUAAGGUAGUACCUAAGCUACAAUCCCAAAAAACUCUUGGUGGACCACUUGAGGAAUGAAGAGAACCACAUAAUCGGAUGCUCUAAGGGUCACAAAGGAAGACCCGAGGUUUGGGAGAGGUUGAGUUCAAGUUUACCUUAAGGUAGUACCUAAGGGCCCUUAAGGUAGUACCUAAGCUAUAGUCCCAAGAAACCAUUGGUGUACCACUUGAGGAAUGAAGAGAACCACAUAAUUGGAUACUCUAAGGGUCACAAAGGAAGACCCGAGGCUUUGAAGAGGUUGAGUUCAAGUUUACCUUAAGGUAGUACCUAGGGUCCCUUAAGGUAGUACCUAAGGGCCCUUAAGGUAGUACCUAAGCUACAAUCCCAAGAAACCAUUGGUGGACCACUUGAGGAAUGAAGAGAACCGCAUAAUAUGAUGGUCCAAGGGUCACAAAGGCAGACCCGAGGCUUGGGAGAGGUUGAGUUCAAGUUUACCUUAAGGUAGUACCUAGGGUCCCUUAAGGUAGUACCUAAGCUACAGUCUCAAAAAACCCUUAGUGGACCACUUGAGGAAUGAAGAGAACCACAUAAUGAGAUGGUCUAAGGGUCACAAAGGAAGACCCGAGGCUUUGGAGAGGUUGAGUUCAAGUUUACCUUAAGGUAGUACCUGAAGGCCACUAAGGUAGUACCUAAGGGCCCUUAAGGUAGUACCUAAGCUACANNNNNNNNNNNNNNNNNNNNNNNNNNNNNNNNNNNNNNNNNNNNNNNNNNNNNNNNNNNNNNNNNNNNNNNNNNNNNNNNNNNNNNNNNNNNNNNNNNNNGGUCACAAAGGAAGACCCGGGGCUUGGUAGAGGUUGAGUUCAAGUUUACCUUAAGGUAGUACCUAGGGUCCCUUAAGGUAGUACCUAAGUUACAGUCCCAAGAAACCAUUGGUAGACCACUUGAGGAAUAAAGAGAACCACAUAAUAGGAUGGUCCAAGGGUCACAAAGGAAGACCCGAGGCUUGGGAGAGGUUGAGUUCAAGUUUACCUUAAGGUAGUACUUAAGGUCCCUUAAGGUAGUACCUGAAGGCCACUAAGGUAGUACCUAAGGGCCCUUAAGGUAGUACCUAAGCUACAGUCCCAAGAAACCAUUGGUGGACCACUUGAGCAGUGAAGAGAACCACAUAAUGGGAUGGUCCAAGGGUCACAAAGGAAGACCCAAGGCUUUGGAGAGGUUGAGUUCAAGUUUACCUUAAGGUAGUACCUAGGGUCCCUUAAGGUAGUACCUAAGCUACAGUCCCAAAAAACCCUUAGUGGACCACUUGAGGAAUGAAGAGAACCACAUAAUGGGAUAGUCCAAGGGUCACAAAGGAAGACCCGAGGUUUGGGAGUGGUUGAGUUCAAGUUUACCUUAAAGUAGUACCUAGGGUCCCUUAAGGUAAUCAAGUCAAAUCAUUGUUUUGUCUAGACAAUGUUUUGCUCUUUGGUAUUUAUGAUAUCCAUCUUGAAAGUUUAGAUUUUGCUUAUGGAAUACCUAGAGGGAGGGUGAAUAGAUAGUGCUUACUUUGUAGCCAAAAUUUUUAUUUUUAAAACUUCCCUUAAAAAAAAUUAGUGUUGAAGUAGAGAAAUUUAAUGGCACAAGGAGAUAAAAGUUUACAUGGAAAAUUACCAAUAAAGCCUCCCAGAGACUUUGUAGAUGUAAAAACCAUGGGGUUAAAAACUGUAGAACACAAAUCCACUAUCAAAAGAAAAGUACAUAGAUUUACCUGGCGGAUGUUAUCCAUAAGAUUUACUCCCCAGCACCUACACUUGUCUUCACAUCCAUGAUACAACACGACACAUGGUCCUAGUGGACUACCUCAACACCUGAGAGGGCGCAAAUCCUCUCAUGAACCUAAGAAUGAAAAUCACACAAAUUUGAGAGUAUUAGGAUGUUGGAAAGGUUAAUAAUAUUCUUUUGAAUUUUGCAUCAACAUUCAAAAAGAGUUUUAGGCAUAGCAUUGAUAGAGAUGAAGCCCUAGCAGACAAGAUCCUAAAGUUUUCAAAGACCAAUUUUUAGAAGAUGAAAAGAAUUAAAACAUAUCACAAUUCUGAAUUAGGAAAAAUUUACUUUGAAUGCUUGAGCGCUAGGUUUGAGUGCUUGAGCACUUGACCAGUUUUUUAAUUAAUUAAUUAAAAAACCAUUUUAGCUCAAUUAAAAAUCUAAAGUCCACUUUAUGCCUAUUUUAGUCAAAUUAGCCUUUCGCGAAUAUUUCUAUACUUGUGGCAUUGGGGUUGAUCAUGCAACAACCUUGAGUCUUCAAUGGAGAGUAAGACAUAAUAUCCUGAAGCAGUUGAUGAAGGAAGAUCCACUCGCUCUAGCCCGAGCUUCAGCCACUUGCUUUGAUGAGACUCCACUCCACAUAGCCGCCAUGCUUGGUCACCUAGACUUUGCAAAAGCACUUGCUUCUCACAAACCAGACAUGGCCAUGAUCAUGACCACGGCGAUAGACUUGCAGGGGCGUUCACCUUUGCACUUGGCCUCUGCCAAUGGCCAUAUUGAGAUAGUCAACAUGUUGCUGUCAUUGAAUUCCAAUAUAUGCCUCAUCUGUGAUGAGGAUGGAAGAACACCCCUUCAUCUGGCGGUGAUGAAGGGCCACGUUGAGGUCACAAGGGAGUUGGUUAGGGCCCGACCAGAAGUCACUGGGCACAAAUUGGAUCACGGGGAGACCAUUCUGCAUUCUAGUGUGAGACAUAAUCGUUUAGGAGCUCUGAAGAUGUUAGUUGAAUCAGUAAGGGAGGCCGAGUUCAUCAAUGCCAGAGAUGAUUAUGGCAACACUGUCUUGCAUACUACUACAACCUUGAAGCAGUUGGAGGUAAAAUUUUCGUCAAUUCUUUAGGCUCUUAUAUAUACCAAUUUGUGUAGUGAAGGUAACAUCACCAAAUUCAUUCUCAAUCUAAUUAACUAGACUACUAUAUAUUGAUCAAUCUGUGCAGACUGUUAGGUAUCUGCUCAAUGGAAAUAUGGUGGAAGUCAAUGCAGUGAAUGAAGGCGGUUUGACAGCUUUAGAUGUCAUUGAACAUAUGCCAAGAGACUUGAAAUCCAUGGAAAUCCGAGAAUCACUAUCAAAAGUUGGAGCUUUAAGAGCCAGAAAUGUACCUGCCAAUGGAGAACGUGAGAUAGCUAUGGUGAUCGAGGAGUCUCGAUUAGAUUCCGUAGCACAACCUCUGGAUGUUUCUCCAAGAGUAUCAAGUCCACGAGCAAUCUCACGAGGCAUCAGUAUUAAGAAACGUUUGGAAAAUCAAGAAAAAUGAUUGAAAAACAAACAUGAAGCUUUGAUGAUAACAGCAGGUGUGAUUGCAGCCAUGGCAUAUCAAGCUGGGCUUAAUCCUCCCGGCGGCAAUUGGCAGGAUGAUAAGUCUGGUUACGUUGCCGGAACAUCAAUAAUGGGUGAUUAUUAUCCAAGUAGUUACCAUUUAUUCUGGAUAUACAACACCGUAGCCCUUGUUACUUCUCUAAGCACAAUUUUUUUGCUUAUAAGUGGAAUACCUGGGUUUUCAUGUCGAUUCUAAUGGUGACUAUGUCGGUCACAAUAAUAUGCAUGGCGCUCUCCUACUUGAUUUCACUGUAGGUCGUUUCACCGUUUCAUCAGAUGGAUGUCAUUGCUAAGGUAAUUUCCAUUUCAGUUUGGAUAUGGUUGGGUCUGAUUGGGAUUGUUUUCUUGGUGCACUUUGUCCGCUUCCUCAAAUGGUGUGUGAGGAAGGUUCGAAAAUUUAAGAACAAGAGGGCUAUAAAGUCAUGAAUGAAGAUUAAUGAUUGACACUCAAAAUGUAUUCUUUUCAUAUUUCAAACCCAAGUUUUAUCCCUACAUUUAUGUGCUAUUGAUAAUAUUCUUUUUAACUUGAAUUCAUGCUAAGUUUGAUGUUUGAGUUAACAACUGAAAACAUGAUAAAAAGAGAUAAGAAAAAAAAUAGAAAUUUUAAGGCUACCUUCUGUUCUCAACAAUAUUAAAAAAAAUAAAAAUAAUAAUAAUUUUUUUCAAGUGAAACUUACAUACCCAUAAGUUUCGGAUAUCAAAUCAAAUAGAUGUACCAGGAGGAUCACGUGUAUAAUUAUAAAAUUAACAAAAAAAAAAAAUUGAGAAUAGUUAGGUCUUGGUCUUUAUUAAUUGAAUCAUACUCAAGCUAUUCCUCAUGGCAUGCAGACAUUUCUGAUCCAAAGUUUUCGCUUAUAAAAAUUAUAUUCAAACACCAAUAAUAAACUAAUCUUCACUUCUACAAGUUGUAUCCAGAUAACCUCACAUGGUCUUAUUAGAAUAAGAACCCUAAUCCAUAUGGAUAUAUAGUACCUCCAACAUGUCAUUUUAUUGACGUCUCAUUCAUGUGCCGUCAGCAUGAUUUUGAAAAAAAUAUAAUAAUUAUAUUUAAAAAAAACAUUUAGUAAAAUAUGAUAUUUUAAAACUAUUCCUAAGCCUAUGGUACUUUUAAGAAAUUCUAUUAAAAGUUGUUUUGAGGAAACAACACCAAUUGCCUGUUGAGGGGCAACUUCAAUGUUAUUUAAAUUUUGAAGUGGUCCCGACAACACCCCCUUUUUGGUCAUGAUUUUCAUUGUACUCAACCCUUAGAAAAAAAAACUUGACUCUAUAUUUGAUUUUUAGAAAAUAUAAAAAAAAUGCAAAAGAAAAAGAAAAUAAAAAUAAUUUAAAGAUCAAAAAAAUUAAAAAUAUAUAAAAUUUUAACUAAUUUAAUUAUAUUUAUUUUUUUUAAUAAAAUCAAAUAUGAGUAAAUCAUUAUUUUUUUUCACAUGUAUCCAAACUUGAUUCCCUCUAAGAUUUUUAAUUCACCAUCAAAAUGUAACAAAAUGAACACAUUUUUGAAGCAACAAAACCGUAUUUUCCCACUAACUAAACAAGGUUCAUAAAACUACCCAUUUCUCAUAUUUAUAUUUUAUACCCAUAUUACAAACAAGACAUUUAUCCAAAAAAUAUUUAUACGUAUUUUUAUCCUGCACUUCACUUUUAAAUGUAGAGAUAAAUUUAUUAUUAAUUUAAGAAAAAAAGAAAAAUGAAAAAAAAGGACACUCUUCAAUAAUAUUCCUAAACCCACUCUGCUAUAUGAAUAACGCUACAACACCUCUCUUUUUUUUUUUUUUUCUUUUCAAUGAACUUAUCAUGUGAAUAUCGAAGAGUUUAACUCUCUUUUUUAAAAAUAAAAUAAACCACCUAUAUUUUCUUUAUCAUAAUUUUCCCAUAGUGGUUCCUCCGGAAGUAGCAAGAGGCUUUGGUUUUACAAUGGCAAGCAACCAUGAUCAGAUCAUGACUAGUUGAGCUAAGUCACUUGUUCAUCACUUGGUCAAUCAAUAAUAAUCAAUUUGCAAAACCUAGAAAUGUCUUUCUGAUGGAUGGAUUCACAGAUAUGAUAUUGGUACACCAUUAAACCAAUAAUUUAAGAUUUUCAACCCGAUAUAUAUUUGCCCCCUCAAAUAUUUUUUCAUCAAUCAAGAGGGGAUCAACAAACUUUUUAUUGACUUCUGUUAGCCCCAACCCAAGUCAAUCACACCCUCUGGUCAGGAAAAUCUGAGGAAGCCCUGGAGUAAGAAUUCAUAUCCUACCUUGAUAGCGGAACGCGUUCGCCCCUUCAUCUAAACUGAAGCCAUCAAGGCCAGAAUCAAAGACCUUCCAAGAGAGAGCGGAACAUUGAUCAUGGCUUAUUACAACCCAUAUCAGUACCUCGAGUACAAUCCACCAGAUGGGUGCCCUCAAUUCUGGACAUACAAGAAGGUGUCCUUUGUCGCAUCUCUGAGCUUAAUCUUUCUGCUUAUGACUGUAUCACUUAGACCGUGGACUUUCGUGUUCAUAUCUAUGGUGGCAGCCUCACUAACCAUGUCAUUCGACUAUGAAGGUGCCUUCAUGGACUACUUUUGGAGGCUAAUUACGAUUGUUGCAUUGGUGUUCUUGUUCUGGCUCCUCAUAAGGUGUGCCCAGAAGGUGAAAAGGCCUAGAAGCAGGAGCAAUGAGGCAGAGGAUGACGAUGAGGAUGAUGAGAGCAUUUCAGUGUAUGUAUCCAUGGGUCUGAUUGCCAUUUUGGCCUUGGUCCUCACAUGGUGUGUCUAGAAGUUGCAGAGGCCUAGGAGGAGGAGGGGUGGUAUUUGAUUAACUCCACAUCCUCUCUCUGCUGCCCAGCAGCUUCUGCUUCUGCCAUGACCCCUUGAAAACCCAUCUUAUUUGCUGUUUAAUAUCAAUUGUAGGGACACUUCUACUAUUCAGAAGAAACUGCCUCCACUGCCUGCUUGCUGUUUCUUUCUUACUUAUUUGGGUGUUUCCAUUCAAAAUUUGGAGUUUGCUUAAUGGUUUGAUAAGAAGUCUUUGUAAUAUCCUACUGAAUUUGUGAAAGUGGAACUUUGUAAAAUAUCUUUUAUUAUUAUUUCCCACCUUUAGUGCUACUAAGUAUGAAGUUACGGUUGUAGAAGGAAUAGAAAUUUAGAAGGGACAGCCAAUAAUAAAGCAAGAGAAAAAGUAAGAGGGUAAUUAAAAGAAAGGGAAAGAACCGCAAUUCAUGGUUGCGAUUCUAUUUAAAAUAAUUUUUUUUAAAAAAAAAUACCGCCACCCAUGUGGAUAUCUAUAUGCCUUUUUCUUGGAUUCAAAGUCAGAGUGAUAAUUUUUUUAAGAAAAAAAAAUGAUCUAUACUAGGCCAAAACUCAAAAAAUCCAUAUGGUGUAGAAAAAUGACCCAAUUCUAAUUUCAUCUGAUUCCACCAACUCUACUAAUAGCAAAGAUAUUGUUGAAGCCUCCUUUGGAUAAUAACUUUUCUUGUUGACUCAACCUUUUUCUUCAACUUUGAAUCCUCUAUCAUUGAAGCUUGAUCUAAACAACUACAAUCUCUAAUGUCCACAAGCUUUUCCUCUAAUUAAUGUUCAUGAAUUGGAAGGUUUCAUUAUUGACACAAAGCCUUGUCAUGAGCAAUAUGUUUUAACUCAUAUUAGUGCUUUUCGAACAAAGGUUACUUAUCAUAUCAAUCUUGAUUAUAUAAAUUGAACUUGACUCUAUCGUUUUCUAGUUAGUUGAUCACUUUCCUUGAUUCUUGAAUCUAUCUAGAAUCAUAUUAUUGAUGCACUUCUUCAUAUGAGAUUUAGAGAACACUUGAACGAUUAUUCACUAUUGAAUCUAAAUUUAGAAUACUGCUACUUUAUUAUUUGUUGCAGUCCACUUGCAAAGGCUCCAUGUCAAUUGCUAACUACAUAUCGAAUUUAGGAGGAAUUGCACACUUUCUACUAUUGGUCAAGUCAUAAAUCGAUGAGAAGCUUGUCAUGUAUAUCCUUAAAGUUUUGAAUGGUGAAUACGAUCCAAUUCUCAUUAAUUUGACAUCUCAUAAUGAAGUUGUUUCACUAGAUGUAGUAUAAUUUUUGUUGCAAAGUUGAAGAUAUGUAUUGAGCAACAAAGUUAUGUUGUUUCUAAUGCACAAGAACAUUUAGCAAUGGUGGCAGAAGUGGUAGAGGUAAUGGUAGGACAACUUGCUAGCUCUGUGGUAAGGCUUGACAUGUGGUAGCAAAAUACUAUCACAAGUUCGGCAUUAACUUUACUAGAAAUACAGUUUGAAUUGUCACAGUAGGAAAGUUCACAUACCUCCCUAUAGUCAAUGAUCCAAAUUGGUAAAUAAACAGUGGUGAUACUAAUCACAUCACUACAUGCCUCAACAAUCUUACUAUCAAGGAGAACUUUAAAGGCAAUGAGAAGCCCAUUAUAAGUAAGGAACAAAAUAUUAACAUUGAACAUGUUGGUUCUACUUCUUUUGCCUCGCAUAACAGUUCCUAAUCUUUAUAUCACAAAAAUAGUUGUCAUGCACCUACCAUAAUCAAGAACUUGUUGAGUAUUUCUAAGUUUACUAAUGAUAAUAAUGUUGUUGAAUUUUACAUCGAAUAUAUCUAUAUGAAGGAAUCGGAGACAGCCACUCUUGCAAGUCACUCUUGGCCAUGGUAAAUGGGUUGUAUAAGGCAAAUGCAUCAAGUCUUCACUCAAGAUUGAAGUCUCCCUUUGCUUCUCAAAAAAAUGUUGAUUUGCCAUCGAUCUUUGAACUUAAUUGAAUCAACUAAUUCAAACUUUUCAACUUCUAUGUUCACAAAUAAAUGUCGUGGUAUUGGUUUGAAACCUUGUCUUCAUGACUUCAGGAUCACUGAACACUACUUUAUAAUAAUACUUUGAAAUUGUGUUUUGAAGACACAACUUUAAGACAAUAUACUAGAAUUGUCAUAUACACUUGCUUGAAGCUUAUUUGGCACAAAUGUCAUAAUUCUGUCAAUAGUUUUGAAGUUACCUUAAAGUUAUCAAAAAUCCUUCGAGCUCUUCCCAAUAGGUUCAUUACACCUUCUAAUCCUAAUCUAUUUUCCAAAAGUUAUAUAUUCAGAACAGUCCUUUGAACAAAAAAAAAUAAAAAAUAAAAAAUAAAAUAACCCAUCUGCAGAACAACUCUAGCGUUGCGUUUACGGCUGUUAUACGUUUCCCUAGAGGGCAUAGCUUUUCUUGACUCAUUAUCACACUAACCUGCUUCCAAUUGAUCAUAUUCAUCUUCUUUCAACACAUUGUGCCCUUGUGGCAUAAGCUUUGCUUGUGGUUAGACAAAGAACAACAAUUAUUUGAAAGUGAAACAAUGAAGAAAUGCCAAUGCAACUUUAACAAGCAGAAGUUACCCAAUUCAACAAAGAAAAGUUGAAUUAAUUCAUGCCAGGAAAGUAGAAACUCGAUGAUUCGAUGGAUGGGAAAUUCUUCCAACAAGAAAAUAUAUGUAGCUAUGGUCAGAAUCAGAGUAACAUUCCCACAGGCACUACAGUUGAAUAAAGUGCAGGUGAGUAACAGAAGGAAAGAAUGAAAGCACAUUAUGGUGGUAGAAAGUUUCCUUCAUUUUCAUCACUCAAAAACAAGCCAAUGAGCAGAAGCAGAAAUGUUUCUUUUUAAAUGAGAACCUAAAAAGACAUGAAAUGCCUUGCUGCUCGUUCAAAGGACACAAAUUAUACUCCAUAUAAGCAUGCUUACAAAACAGAUACAUUUACAAAGGAGGAAAGAAAUAUGGUGAAUGAAACCAUCAUCUUUACCUUUUAUCUCAUGGAAUGCAUAAUUGUAAACCAUCGCGGCAUUCAUCAACCUCAUAUAAUCUCAUGGAAAAUCUCCACUGACAGCAGUCACCAACCUCUUGUGGUUUCAAGGACCAGGGGUCUGAUGUCACCAUUCCCAUAGAAAAGUAACCAAUUUGGGUUAAUAUCCCUGUUCAAAUGGAUUAAAAUUGGACAAUCCACUCAGCACAGCCUCAUAGUUUCGUUUGGGAAGAUAACAUUGGGGUUCCUUAUGUGGAUCCAAAGCUGCCAAUUCCUUCCACUUAGCCCCCGUACCAUGAACACGAGAUGAGAUGCUCCAUAAGGUGUCACCAGGCUGCACUGUAGUUGUUUAUGGGGAAGUGGAUUUACUCGCCGCCUUUGACUUCAUAAAGGGAUGCUUAUUGUUCUUCCCCAUUCCAUUUUCAAGCAACCAACGAGAACCAGACUGUUGCUGAGUCGAGGUACCCCAAAGUUUCUUCUUACCAGGCUCAGUCUUUCAGGCCAGCAACAUGGACUUCAGCAAUUUUGAACUGAGGAAUGGCUUCCUCAGAAAUUUGUUCUUAUUUCUUCUCAUCCUUCAGAUCCUCCUUUGCCACUGACACAGACUCAUCAUCCUCUUCUUUACUGUUCCCCACCAGUGAAACUGUACUGUAUAUUUUUGGCUUUGGUGGAACACUCUUUCCACCUGAAUAAGAGCAAGCAUUGGCGUACCAACUGGCUCAUAGUUCCGAAGAGGAUCACGAAGCUGCACCAUUAAGGCCACUGUGAAGUUGUUCCCCAACAAACCACACUUUCUUCCGGAACCUCUGCCCCGCCUUCUCUCUCCCUUGGACCCUCCACGGAUAAAUUCUAAGGAAUUCGUAUGAUGGGCUGCAAGAAUUUUUGAAGUUCGCUCACUGAUUUGAUCUUUAUCACCAAUUUCACCAGACUCCAGCCUCAUCCAUUCAUCAAGUGUUAGUGAAAGACCCAUUAAUCCAUCUAAAUCAUCAUCAAUAUCUUUGAUGACCAACAGUUGUAAACCAGCAGCUCCCUCCAAACCAAGGGAGCCAGUGAUGUUCACCCCCUGUCCCUUCAGGGCUGAAAUUUCCCCAAUAGACUGUGCACUGACGUUCGAAGGUGCAUCCUCCUCCACCAUGCCAGUUUGGAUUCUGAGCCCUUCAAUUGAUAGAGCUUCAAUCUUAUCCAUUGCCAAAGGAGCAAGAUCUUCUAGAGAUACGUACUCUGAGCCCACAUCACUGUCUAAGGAGCUUGAAUUUAACUUAUUAGAUCUGGAAGCAGAUGAUUUUCCUUUAACUGUCUUUUGUCCACCAGUUACAUCUUGCCCAGCCUCUGAUCCAAGCUGUAAUAAAGAUUGUCUGCAUCAAUCUAAUGAGUUUUCAAGUUGUUUCCUAAUUGUUUGCAGCUAUCUCAACAGAGUUAACAUGCAUCAGUCCUCAAAGGAUGUUAGUGAUGGUAAAGAGGAUGAGGACACCCAUGAUAUUUCAAAGGAUGACAUCAUUGAUGAUGCUACAAUUAUAGACAUCUCCAAGUUCAAUGAGCAGGUAGAGGGGGGAUCAAAAUGCGCAUUACAUACUUAUACCCUCCAUUAUAUAUAUACUAGCAUUGGAUAUGGUUGUUUACUAUGAGGGGUAAGUGGCCUAUUAAAGUCCUCAAUACCUGGUACCUUGGGUGAAAACUCGGGAGUUGUCUGUGGAUUCUUAUUGAGUCAUAUAGAAGGGGAUUUCCUAAAUUAAGAAAAAAAAAAUCAAAAUAAAUUUUCUUCUCUCUUUAACUUAAAGAAAUAUGAAAUCUGAGUUUAAGAAAAAGUCUUAAGAAAAAUACUAUAAGGGGACACCAAAAUUAAGCACAUGAGGUUUAGGUGGAAAGAACCAAUCAAAGGAAAAUCAAGAGACACUAAGAGGAAUGCUAAACAUGGAUGCACGUUUAUGUAUAAAAAAGAUAAGGUGAGAAAAAUAAGAGAUUGCAUAUUUUGUGUCAUCUUGCUCAAUUCUAAGAAAUUUGACUAUUUGAGUAUCUUGUGUGUGAAACAUGUUAUGUUGAGUCAUUGUAGUUUCAUGAAUUCCAUUACAUAUUUUUCAUUCUUUUUACUCUUUCUAUUUGCUAGGGACUAGCAAAGUUCAGGUUGAAGGGGAUAAUUGGAGCCAAAAUAUAUGCUCCAAUGACGCAUAUUCAACAUGUAACCAUAAGACAUUUAAAUCAUCCAACUUGAUCAAAAUUGUUGUUAAGGUCUUAGCCAUGAGUUUAACCUACAUUUUAGAAAUUUAUCUCAGGUUUAAGGAAAUAAAAAGGUGCAAAUUGAAGCUCUUUAGAUUUUGAAAUAUCAAGAAAGGGUUUAAAUGAGGAAAUUAGCUAGUCAAGACUCAUGAACUAUGAGGAAAGGCAAGCGAACAUGGAUAAUGAGGCAUGAAGCAAAUUAAUCAAGUUGAAUAGAAAUUUAGAAAACAAAAUCUGGUGGUAACAUGUAUUGUGACUUUGAAGUGAAAUUUGGAAUGCUUCUUGAAGUCCAUUUUAGGCUAGCUAUAUAUCAUUUCAAAGCUUUGGAAGUUAGAAAUCCAACACUUCAAAUGGUGUGCAAAUUGAAGCUAAAACGAAGAAAUUAUGAUCGUUUGAAAAUAACUAUAUAGAGCUAAAUGACACAUUGCCACAUUGAUAUUUCGCCUUCUCUACUUCGGGAAUUGUAUCUUAGGCACUUUUUCCUCCCUGAGUGGGCCCCACACUACUAGAAAUCACGAUUUUAAUUUUUUUUUUUUAUAGUCAUUUUAGGUAAUUAUUUGUAAAAUAAGUGGUCAAUAGGAACAUGUCACAUGUUAUGUUUUUUGGUGGAAACCAUAAAAACUUUAUAUUUAGGUUUUCUAGGGAGUACUUGAUUUUUUCUUUUUAGGAAUAAAGAUGACUUGACGAUUCUUGGGGGGAGAGAAUGAGAUAUUGAAGGUUUUUCUUGAUUUGUUUUCUUUUUUCUUUUUAUUAUUGAAUAAAUUAUUAUUUUUAAUUUAUUUGAAAUCGAGAAUGGUUCUUUCUUAUGUUUUUAUGGCCUAUGUAUAUGAGGACAUGCCCAUAAGAGGUUAAAAAGUCAUCUUGGGGUGAAACAUGAAAACCUAGGGUUAAAUCCAAAGGGAAACAAUGGGUGAAAUCAGAUUAAUAAUGAAAUGAAUGAAAGGUUAGACCUAGGAGAUGAUACAAUCACAUAUUCCUUGAUAUUAGGGAUUCUUAGUAAUUUUUAAUCUCUAGUUAUAAGAGGUUUUGUCAUUAUUAUUUACCUUAAAAGGCAAAUCUACAUAGAGUGGUAAAAGCCUAAAAACCUUAGACCUAAACCUAGAUUUCAUAUUCAUUCAUCUAUUAGGUAAUUCAAUGGAAUAAAAUAUUAAAAGUUAGGAUACAGAUCAAUUCUGAGGUAUGACUCAGGUUGAUCUCGUUUGUCCAUGCAUUUUGAUUACCCUAAGACUAUUAAAUUAUAUGUUUUUGUUUCGAUUAAAGGUUUAUCUCAAAGUUGGAUUGUGAACCCCAAGCUUGAUUAAUUGAAUUAAAAAUCAAUAAUCAUUCUAUAAUUUUAAAUAGGUUUAUUUAGGAAAUUUUCAUCAAUAUUUUAUUUUGAUUUAUUUGAAUUAAAUAUUUUUUUACCUUUAGCAUGUAAAUAAUUAAUCCUUUGAAUUUGAGAAAAAAUAAACAUAUUAAAGUUGAUAUGAGAGGAAGACAACCUGGAAUACUACAAAGUCAUGGUAACUCUAUUUUUUAUUUUUCUUUACCAAAGUUAUCAUGUAUUUAUAUUUUAAUAUUUUAUUUACAAUAGAGAUUUACGAUCACUACUUCACCAUAUUCAUUCAAAAAAGUAGAUUUCAAAUCCAUUUGAAAAAUCUUCUUAUUAUUUUGAGUGACCAAAGAAAUGAUUAAUCUUAUAAUUUCUAAAUGAGCUUCAAUAGAGGUGUCAAAUGGGUUGGGUUGCCCAAUUUGGCCCAUUUGGCAUUUCGGGCAACACAACUGAAUUAUUGUAGCGAGUUGUGUCGGUACAACCUGAUCCUUUGGGUCAUGCUAGACCUAAGGAGAUAGCCUAUGGUAUUAUAUAUGUAUUAAGAUUUUCUAUCCUUCUGUAUCCAAAAAUGCAAGUGGUGGAAUUCAAAUAUUCAAAUUGGAAGAGCACCCAUCAAUGAACAUAUUGUGAAAGUCUGUGACUAAUCUUCUUCCCCAGGUAACUCCAUGCCUCCAAAUAGUUAACAAAAAUGUUAAUAGGAGACCAUUCUUUCUGGGUUUUUUCUUUCCAUGAAUUAAGGUUUAGCCUUAUUCAUAGUUUAGAAGUAUAUUCCAAGAGGAUAUGGAAUUUUCUCUUUUUUCCCUUCCCUUCCAUUUAAUUAACAAUGGAAAUUUUCAAAUAACUAAGUUGGAAUUAGUUCACAUUCUAACAAAUAAGAUGGUUUGAAAUUUAUUUAGCAUUUACAAAUUGAGAGGCAGCCUAUCCUUUUAUGGAAAAGGAGCGGGUGGUCCUUGUCAUAAGACAUUAGAGAAUAAGAAGAAUUCAAAACUUGUGGUCAAAUUCAAAAUUUGUGGUUGUGGAUGUUUAUUCAAUGUGAAUUAAAAGAUGAGUUUGUUCUUUUAGAAGACAGCUCUUUCACUCACUCUCUUAAAAAAGAGCUCUCUCGCACUCACAGCCUGUGCACAUAAUUUGCUUCUUUUAUAGGUUGAAAAAGCAGUUUAUAUUCUUUAUAUUUUCACAUAUAGGUGAAUUUGAAUCUCUCCCUCUCUGGGAAAAAAUUAUAGGACUGUUGCAUAACACGGUAUCCCAGCCGUUGGAUCUUACAUAUCACUACAAGGAAAGCGGGUUAUAGUUGGGGCCACAAACCCCUGCUAUAGACAAAAAUCCUGCAACUAAUCCCAUUGUUGCGGAAAAAGCUGGUCGUGACAAGAUGUGACUAGGUGGUGUAACCAAAGGCCAUAGUCACGGCCAAUAGCAUUUCCCCCACCAAAGGUGCAAAGAUAUAUAUAAGGCAGCGGCCAUGAGUAGAGUGUGAUUAAAAUUUUCACAUAUAGCUGUGGUUGUGUACCUUCCCCUACUAAAAGUUGUAUAUAGCAGCCAUUUAGUGGUGGUUAAAUUUUGACUGCCACCACAAGUUUUCUUUUCAUAUAUUUAAAAUAAUGCAUUAAAAGAAAUUUUAUGAGAUGAAAUUACUAUCCCACUUUAUAAUAAUAAAACAUUCACAUAUCCCAUUAAAGCUCUAUUGAUAUUUCUAACAUGUUUCAACAUCCCGUUGAAACUCUACUGAUAUUUCAGAUGUGUUUCAACUGUAACUACAUGAGCUUAUUGGAGAAAAAAGAAAAAGAUGAAGGAAAAAAAGGACUGAGUAUAUGAUACCCUUAGAUUGACAGUAGGGCUUGAUAUGUGCCUUUGACACAAAACAGCUCCCAGAUGAGUAUCAAAUUAAAGGCAAAAUCUCUGCUUCAUUAAUGUGGGAGCCCAUUUUUACAAAGAACUCCAUUUUCAAGCUGCAAUGUUCUAGGAUCAAGUGGAAUGGUCCCAGAGGUGAACAAACAAGAGACUCGGCAAAACCAUUAACUUUGAUCGGCAUUGAAACCACUGACAACAUCAACUGAUUCAGUUCCCACUCUUGUACCAGUAGGAGUGGGAGGAGCAGCAACCAUCGUUGGUUUUGAUUCCGCUUGCUUUAGAUUGAUGGUGAGCAAACUGAUUUUUAAGGUAGAUACGGUAUCAUCCUUUGUUUCAGCUGCAUCGCACUUCUCAUUCAUACUACUUCGAUUUAUGUCCUCGGACUUUAGGGAUACCUAAUCAAUGGCAGUGGAAGUAGGCACGGGCUUCUCUAAACUUUGCACAUCAGUCGGCUUGUUUAUCUUCUCUUCACUUGGGGGCUUCUCUAAACUUUUCACAUCAGUCUGCUUGGUUAUCUUCUCUUCACUUCGGGGCAGGUCAAUCACAAAAUCUAGCUUGAAUGCAGGUACAAAGAAUGGGCUUUCAUAGCUUUUAAGAAGCAGCUAGUUUUCUCAUCUUACAUGAUCCUCUAUCGGUUUUCAUAAUACAUAAAGUCAUCAAGUAAAGAUGUCUUUGUUGUGUGAUUUUUGAAUAUUUUCAACAUUUCCAGGCCUUGCUUAAAUCCUGUCUGCAGAAAAUUAGGAUUUAAGAAACAAAAAGCCACAUGUAAGGUCAUAUUUCAAGAAAGCUGGUAUAACUGCAACAAUACAAACCAAAACCAGUGUCCCUAAAACAAUUUUUUAUCACCUAGGCAAGACUAACCUCAUCCAAAUUUACAUUCUUGUUCGCAAAUGUGAAGCAAUAGAAGUUGUAGAUGUGAUGAGGAAAGCUAAAUGGCAGUAGGCAUGCCAUAAAGUUGAUAUGAAAUAAGAUACUGUAGGUGUAAGAUAUACUACAAUAUUCAACUUUUGAAAAGAAAUGCAAGCAACAAUUUAAGUAGAAAGACUAAAUGUACCUCUUGAGUGUCUCUACAAUUAGUCAUUGGCUUAAUGUCAUGGUUCUCUAGUAUGAUGUGCCUAAAGGUGGUAUUUGGUACGUCCUUUAUAAUGUGCCACUUGACAAGGAAGCUUCCACUCCACUUAUUUUGCUGCUAGAAGUCCAUAUCCUUAUGGAAAUCAACAGGGCCAAUCAUCUCUGCAACACCACAGAAUUGGCCACUUGCAUUGACCUGUAUGACAAAAUUGUCCCAUAAGCAGGGCCGGUGCUGAAAUCAUAUAAUCAAAAAGCAGAAAAUAUAGAGAUGCAAAAUCAAAUUAGGAGAGGAGAAAGGGUAAAACCCAAUAGUCUUGCAAAAACCCAAUAGAUUAUCAUUGCUUAUAUGUGUAUUUAUCCUUCAAUGCUCAAGGCAAAAAACAGUUGAACCUAGUGUUAUGCAUACCUAAAUAAAAACAAUUAUUAGGUUUCCUUCCCUUUUUAUAUUUCCUUCAUUUUUCCAUUCCCUUGGUAAUCCAUUUCCUUGCCAUUUGGAGAUUACAGUCAUAUAGAAAAAUCCUUCCAAUCACUAAUCAUGUGUCAACUUCUAUAUUUAUCAUUGCUAAUUUAAUUCAUUUAGGAAUAACCACUAACCAAGUACUCAUUUUGGUGUAAAAGAAGACUUGAGAAACCCUAGUGAAGCGAUUACUAUUUUUUAUAUUCAAAAGGCGAAAACAAUCAAUAAAAUAAUAACCUAAGGAAGCCAUAAUAGGUGACAUGAGCACCAUUGUAGAAAGCCACACAGUCCUUAGUGAACAUGUCGUUUAUGCACGAUACCUUGGCGUACACAGACUCUCCUAGUCCUCUGUUCCCUCUAUAGUCACAAAGUUAUUGCUCUCAUUUAAUCAUGUUUUGAGGUCAGAUAAGGUGGCAAUACAUAGUAAUGCAGUUAUGUAAAAAUGAGAUUAAGAUAGAAAUAAGUAGCUCUAAAUUCUAGUGCAGCUAGGAUGAACUCAAACCCCUCAGUUGACAUGUAGUAGGGGAAGCUAUUUCUCGUCCAUCCGAGAUUGAUUCCGAAAUAAACCUGGAAAUAUAGGUGACUAGCAUCAAACCAUACAUUCUAAGUGCACCACAGUUUUGAGUACCAUAGGGGGAAAUGGGAUAUUUACCUUUUGGAUGGCAGAUCUGAAUGCAAGGAUCGAGUCUCAUGCCCCUUGAGCAAGCUGUGACUGUAGGAACCAGCAUAAGCACCCCCACCUCGAGCUUGGAUGCCAAACAGGUCGUUCAGGAGCUUUGCAACAAAAGAUCCAUGAAGAGGCUUACCUCUUUUAUUCCCCACCUCUCUCCACAUGUAAAUUUUCCCUUUAUUUCCUUUCUACUACUAUUAGUUCUAUAUUCAUUUUCCAUGCCAUCUGAGUCAGAAUUGGCGACCGAGUAAACAAAGAACUGGCAUAUGACUACAAAAAAAAUUGAUUUUAUGACAAAUUCUACUUCACACUUUAUCCUAUGACAAUAUCACAGAAAAAUUUUGGUAUUCUAUCAACAAUAAAUUGUUUACUUCAUGUUUCAUUAACAAAACCUAAAAAGUUAUUAACUAUUCAAUGUAUGGCCCUUCAAAAUUUUCAAACAAAAGAGUUAGCCUGAAGAAAACCUUCAUAAUUUGAAAUAAUAUCCAUCCAACAUAAUAACAAAAAUAUCAUGAAUUUUAGAUAGUUAGUAAUAUGAGCUCCCAAAGUUACAGAAACUCAAAGAAUGAUACAAAGCAAAAUCAAAUUCCAUAAGAAACAAAGAAAGAGCAACACGUACAAAUAGACAAAAAGAUGAAUGAAGCUAACUUUGUUGAAAUUGGACACCUAACAAUUGAAGAGAAUUAUAGAAAUAUGCAACACACACAAAAUAAAAUAGAAUGAGAUACUCUGUCAUGCAAAGAAAAAUCAAACGAAAAUCCUCAGGAAAAAAUGUAGGAAAAGAAAUCCUACUUUCCAGAGAAAAAUUCUUUCAUUACGCAAUAGGAACUUAGAGAGAAAUUGUGGUUUUCAGAAGUGAGAAAUAAGAGAGAAAUCUGGUGUGCACUUGCAAUGGAAAUCAGAGUUAAAUCAUAGAAAAAUUAGAGAGAAACUAGAAAGAAAUUGUACCUUGGGAAGAUAUUAGGUGUGGUUUUUGUAGUGAGAAAUCAGAGAGAAAUUGCCUUGGGACAUCACACCAUAGAGAAAUCGGAGACAAAUAUGCUCUGCUGGCUAGGUUCUUGAAGUCUCAAAGUUAGAGAAGAUGUCUUGAACGAGAUGCUUUGUAGUUGGGUACUGGGACAUCUAUAAGAGUGGGGGAGCCCUAACAUCCCAAUAUCCGCAGGCAAGCCAUCAAACUAUAUAGAUGAUGACAUACUUUGGCUGCAACUAUAUAUUAAUUUUCAUUGCAAUUUUUUAAAACCUCUACUAAAACUUUGUGACUAUAAGAUAUAUUUCUUGUAGUGUAUAUACACACAUUUCCAUCACUAUAUUUAGUUGAAAAAAUAUUUAAGAAUGUAUGAAUAUUUUAAAAUAGUAAAAUAAAAAAAAAUAUUGUAAUAUUAGAGAAAAAUAUAUUUAUUUCAUGUAGAAGAUGAUAUGCUAUAACUUGAAAAAAUAAAAUUUAUUUAUUAAAAGGUGAUUAGGUCUUGGAUGGUGAUUAGUUAACAAUUAAUAAUGCAUAUUAUUUACUUAAUUACAAUAUACAAUCAUAUUCUAGUCAUAUUCUAAAGCACAACAAAUUGGGUAAGAAGAGAAUGCAACAUUUGCAGAGUUCCCCGACUCAUGUGUACACACACGAAAAUUAUAUCAGAUUGGGUAGCAUUAAUCUUUCAUACAAACUCUUUUUUGGGUCCUCUCUCAGUUUAUAAAAUUUAUAUAUCCUUCAAACAAUAAUUAAGAGGGUUAUUACCAUAAACAAUGGUGUAUGAUUUUAUUUAUUUUUAUUUACAAAGACAUCACACAGUGCAUAGGGGACAGGACAGACACGAAACACAACACACAAACUAGUAAAUAAUGGGCCCCUUAUUCACAACAAUUGCUUGCCGCUUACCUGAUCCUGAAGCAAUAUAUGAUAGCUUUUCCCACUUUACACACACACCAUAUGAGGAAGCGGAUAAUGUGAACCAACGCAACAAAGGCAAGCAGAGAGAACCACACCAACAAUGAAACCCCAACCACGUAAGUGAUAUCAGGCACCUUGUGUCCCAGUAACAUGGCUUCGGUGUCAUUAUUUGUGGGUGACAUGGCUUCGGUGUCAUCAUUUGUGGGUGCAAUGGCCAGUAUAGAAAACAUGUAGGUGAGAGCCAUGAAUGUUAAUGUUAUCGACAUGAUAAUCAUUAGAAGCCACAUCAAGAUCCUUCUCUUCACGAAAGUACCCCACUCACAACCAGAAAGACUAUGCUUAGCGAAGCAACGAAGUACACCGCGUUGCAUGCCAUGAACAGUCGGUACCCUUCAGGAUAGUUGUGGGCCAUUAUGGAGGUUCCAGCUAACAUCUUCUUACCAUUACUGCCGUCUUUUUCUUCACCCCAAACACCACCGGGAGGAUUAACUGCAGCUUGGAAAGCCAUUCCUGCGAUCAACGUUGCAGCUACCAUCAAGGCGUUACGUUUCUUCAUCGUCCAUUCUUUCUUAUUUUCACGUAUUUUCAUCUCACGGCCUUGCAAGGGUCUCGGUGCUUUUGCUUCUGUGAGAACUGCAGCUGGUAGUGGUGGUGGUGGAGAUAAUUGGGGGUUCUCAAUCACCAUGGUUAUGCCACUUUCUCCCAUGAAUUCGUGACCUAUGCCUGGUAACGCAGGCAAGUUUCUGGAACUUAAAGCUCCAGCUUUAGCUAGAGAUUCUCGGAUCUCCAUACCUUUCAAGUCUCUCGGCAUAUGUUGUAUGAUAUCUAAGGCUGUGAAGCCAUUUCCAUUCACUGCAUUUACUUCCAUUUCAGGUCUCUUCACCAGAUAUUUUGCUGUCUGCAUAGAUUUAUUUGAAAAGCAUUUAUGAACCAAAUUUCUGCUUAAUUAGUUGUCUUAGCACAAUUAGUAUUUUAAAGCUAAAUUUUAUUUUAGAUAUUUUGUCUUAAUACAAAAAUGGAAAAAAGUAAUUUAACUUUUAUCAUAAAUUUGAAAUCUAAUGACGAAUGUGCGAUCAUUCUUAUUUAGAUUUCUAAUUGACUUAUGAUUAAAGAAACGUAUCCUAUCCCAUUCUGAACGGUAGAAAAUUUAAAAGAAAGUAUUAAAGAAAGAAAAAAAAGAUAAUAAAAAUGAGAAAAAAAUAAAUAAAAUUUGAAUUCUAUGUCAGAAAAUGGAGAGUAAAAAGGAACAAAAAAAAUUUGAAGUAUGAUAAAUAAAUAAAUAAAUAAAACCAUUGAAAAAGUUCGACAAAUAGAUCGGUGAGUCAACCAGUUUAAUGCCCACUAGACCAAACCAAAAAGUUAAGUCUAUCCACUCCAUGUCUCGUGAUGGCUCAAAUAUUUGUCUUGAUAUUUGUAGAAUUAUUUUUGAAAAUAAUUUCAAAUAAUUAAAAUAUGUUAUUAGCAAAUAUAUGUUUUAUUAACAAGUUUUGAAAAAACUCUUAUAUGAAAAACUGCUUUUAAAAACAAUCCCCAAACUUUAAAUUUGUUAUCAAUCUUCUUUUGUGUUAUCUUCGCUGCGAAUCUAAGAAUGGAAAUUUUUUACCUCAUACUGUUUCAAGGCUGUAGCGGUAUGUAAAACGGUGUUGCCAUAAUCAUCUUUGGAAUUCACAAACUCCAUCUCUUGCCAAUUCAACUAACAGCUUCAGCGCUCCUAAACGGUUUUGUUUCACAGCGGAAUGCAGAAUGGUCUCGCCUUGAUCCAAUUUGUACCGAGUCACUUGUGGUCGGGCCCCAACCAGCAUCCUUGUGACCUCAACUUCGCCUUUCAUUACCGCCAGAUGGAGGGGCGUUCUUCCAUCCUCAUCACGCAUGAGACAAGCGUCAGGAUUGGAGGACAGCAGUAUGUUAACCCUCUCAACAUAGCCAUUGGCAGAAGCCAAGUGUAGAGGCGAACGCCCCCGCAAAUCCAGCGCCAUGGUCAUGUCUGGUUUGUGAGUAAGAAGAUAGCUUGCGAAGUCGAGGUGACCGAGCAUGGCGGCUACGUGGAGUGGAGUCUCAUUAAAGCAUGUGACUGCAGCUCGAGCAAGAGUGAGUGGGUCUUUUGCCAUCAACCGCUUCAAGGAAUUCACACUUCCGGUUACUAAUGCUUCAUACAGCCUUCUCUCUCUUCCCUCUACGCUAUCCUCCUCUUUUGCUAUUUUCUCAUAUUUCCUUUCCAUUUUUCCUCUCCCAGUCUCCCUUCCUUGAUUGCCAGAUUUUAGCAUUAAUCAUAGAGGCAACUAAGUGUUGGGUCUCUGGCAAACAUGUGUGAUGUUGUUGAUGCUGUGAUUGGCCUGAAAGCUUCACGUCAAUUACGCAAUGGAAAAAAGUCGCCGCCAAUCAAAUCACUUAUUUAUUUCUAUUAAAAUAACCGCCGUCCACCAAGCCACUCGAUUAUGCCUGUGGAAGCAUGUCACUUUCCAUAGCAUCAGCCAACAAGUCAUCAAACCGCUGACUAAAUGUGGUUGGUGAAAAUGUUGAAAAUUCUUAAAUUGAACGUUUUUUUUAAAAACUAUUUUUAAAUUAAAGAAAAAAAAAUAGUUUUUUAAUAUUUUAUAAAAUAAGGAUGUUUAAUAAGUUGUUUUUAAAAAUAAAAAACAAAAAACUUGUUUUGAUAAAUGGUUUUUAAUUUUUUUUUCUUUUGGUUUUAUAAAAAUACUGCUGUUCAAUUGAUAUAAUAUAUAUUGAAUUUAAUCCAAGUCUUAUUAAAAAUGGAAUAGUUUUUUAAUUACAAAUAAAUUAAAAAUAAAUAUUUUUAGUUAAAAAUGAAUAAUAAUAUUAUAAUAAAAUCAUAAAUUAUAUUUUUGUUAAAAAAAAUAUAUUAUUUUAAUAGAUGUUAGAAAUAUAAAGAUAUUAAUAUUUUCUUAAAUUUCUUUGGUUAAAAAUGAAUAAUAAUAAUAAUAAUUUUUAAUAUUAUUUUAUUUUAACUGAAUAAUUAAUAAAGUUUACCUUUAUUAACAUCUGAAUGAGUCAAGUUCUUCAUUUUAUGUAUACAUUAAGUAUUGAGUUAGGAACAUAAUAUUGUAAUAAUUUAUUACAUCGUUUUUUUGAAUUCAAAAUUAUUUUUAAAAUUUUAAAAUUAAUUAUAGAAUUUAAAUUAUUAAUUAUGUCUUACUUAAUUUCUAAUUUAUUUAUCUAAAUUCAAAAAAUAUAUUUGUAUAUAUAUAUAUGAGAAAUAUUAAAGUCAUGACUCAUAAUAUAUCAGUUUUAAUUUAUUGUUUUUUUAAUGAUUAGAUCUAUUUUUUGAGUUCCAAAUUAUUUUUAAAAAUUUGAAUUUUUUGAGUUCCAAAUUAUUUUUAAAAAUUUUAAACUUAUUAAUAAAUUUAAUACAAAGUGUCACUUGAUUUAAAAUUCAUUUUUUUAAUAAAAAAAUUUAUAAAAAUAUAAUUAUGUGUAAAAAUAUAAUAGUUAUUAUGAACCAAAUUUUAUCCAUAAAUUUUUUGUAUUGAUUUUAUUAUUAUUUGAAUUUUAAAUUAUUUUAAAAAAUUAUUAAACUCAUUAAUGAAUUCAAUGCAUAGUCUUAUUUAAUUUAGAAAUUAUUUGCCUAAUAAAAAAAAUCAGAAAAUAAGUAUUUGAAGGGGUUGUUCACGAAUUACCAUAAGCAACGGUAUAAGAUUGGGUAUGUUCUGUGGUGGAUUUGUUAUUGGAUUUUUUUUUUAAAAAAAAUAUUUUGAACAUACGUAAUAUGCCUUUAUAGUAAAUAUGAAUUGAAAAAUUAAUAAUUGAUAAAAUAAGGAUAAAUUAUAUUAUUAUGAUUAUUAUUAUUAUUAUAUUUAUAUUAAUAAUGUCAUAUGAAGGUUUUUUCCUAUCAAAUGUGUAUCCAAUACAUGAAAAGGUGUCCAUAAAGAAGGUACAAGGAAUUAGGAGUUGGCGGCUAUUUGAUCAAUGCACAUCCUCCGAGCUGCCCAGCAACUUUUAUUUCUGCCUUGACUUUAUGUAGCAGAAAUGCAGUGUCUCAGCUGGCAAGCCCUAAAUCCACUAUUGUGACAAAUUCUUUGCUCUACGCUUUGUACAUGGUAUGUGUUUUCUGGAGACACCCAAUAAAAAAGGAAUGAACAAAGACAGAUUGUAAACUAUAUUUUCUUGAAACCUCCACCAAUGGAAGAUAUGUUGGUAUUUUUAUCAAGAUUUUCUAUCUUUUAUAUCCAGAAAUGCAGCUGGCGGAGUGUAAAGAUUCAAAUUGGAAGAACGCCCAUCAAUGGACAUACUGUACAACUAAUUUUCUUAUCCAAGCAAUUCUAUGUGUCCUGAUGAUUAACAUAAAUGUCAACGAGAGAUAAUUAUUUUUGGAUUUUUCCUUUCCGUAUUAAGUUUUAUGUUGAUUCUAAGUCAAUUGGAGUCAGAUCCAUCCAAUUUUAUGGAGAUUAGACAACUUUCCUUCCUUUCUUGUGCCUCUCAUAGAAUCCGCCCAGCAGUGGUGAAACUGGGUGAACUCCUUUCCUACAUAAAAGGAUGUACGGACGGAUGGUCCGGACACACCUCUCCGAAACUUAAGUCAAGCAAAGAUAAUUCAAACUACUUAGUGAGAGAGAAAGUCAAUGUACAUAUGUGUGUGUACUUUGUUUGUGCUUCCUUGAGGGUUUAUAUAAUGUUGAUGAAAAUGUCAAUGUAGUGUUAUCUAGGCACUUUGACUUUUUUCUGUAAUGAUGAUUGUCCUGCAGGCAGGUGGGCAAUCAUCAUAAUUUUGGGUGGCUGGCAAGUGCCAUCAGCUGACGUGCUAGGGUCUUGGACCGUGCAACCGUCUGUCCUCUCAACCUAUUGAUGGUCUAGAGUUAUGUGAAACAAUUAAUUAGCAUGGACUUGAGGGCUAAAAGAGGUCUCAUCGGCCGUUCAUAUGUCCUUACGCAUGUUAGUGGGUCUUGAAGACUUGAUUGGACAGUCCUACGGGUUUGGGGAGUCUGACCUCCCCUUGUCGUCUGGCCCUGUAAAGAGAAAAGGGUCUUCUAAUGCAUGAUGUCAGAUAGAACUGGUUGUGAUCCAGAUAGAAUGGUCCGGACGGGUUGUGUACCCCAUGCUGAACAGUUAAGGAAUCUGGAUUGGAAAAGAGACACGUGGAGGGGAGCCCUCCACAUUUUAACAGCACAUGGACUUUUCUCCCUUUUUUUUCUCUUCCAUUCCCUUUCAUUUGAUCAGCAAUGAGAAUUGUCAAACAACAUAGUUGGCAUUAGUCCACACGCAUUCUAGCAAAUAAUAUGAUUUGAAAUUUAUUCCAUCAUUGUCUAAAGACAUUAAAGAAGAAUAAGAAUUUAAACCGUGUGGAAAAUUCAUAAUUUAAAAACACCAUCUAUGAUUUGGACUAAAGUAGAAUUAUCAUAGGAAAUUAAAUUUGGGUUGGUAAGAUGUCUAAUUUCGUUCAAAGGCACUGAGAUUUUAAGUUUCAUCUGGAUAUUGUAGCAAAAUUUCAUUCAAAUAUCAUCUCUUGGUAUAAAAACUAACAAACUGAUUUAUGACAAAUGUGCUUCAUAGACAAUAUCUAUAUACACUGCUUUGGUCUUGCAAUGAAUUGGUAAGGAUUUGGAAUUUUGUUGGAGUCAAAAGUCCACCAAUUUUUAAGUUGUUAAAGAGAUAAUUUUUUUAUUUCUUUGCUACAAAGUAGCCCAUAAUAUUAUUAUUUAUAUGGAAAAUUAAAUGAGUUUUGAGAUAGUAAUUAACAUAUUAGGUAUUACUAACUGGAUUUGUUUUAAUGGAAUCAAACUAAUCUUAAUCUGCAUGGGAGAAAUAUUAUCGGGUAAACUGUAGGAAGACUUUUUCUAAGGGUCCUUUUUAUUAAAUAAGUCAAAAAGAAAUUUAAAUAUUUUAUAACAACAUCAAAUAAUAGAUUAACUUCGAUUUUGUAAGAGAAUAUUUUAAAUAAUUGUGGAGGAUAAUUUUGUAGAUGAAAGUUUUUUAAUUAUUUAUAUAUAUAAAAAAAAGAAUAAUUUUAAUCCACUUAAUGAAAAAAAUAAAAAUGAAAGGAAAAUUAUUAUUUGAGUGUGUAAAUUUAUUUAAAUAAAAAAUAGAAAAGAAAUUAAUUUUUCUAAUGAAUCACUUAUUAAGAAAAUGCACUAUUAGUCGGUUAAAGUAGUAGUGGUUAAUAUGUGAAGUUGUAAAUUGGGGUCACUGUGGAAAUCUUUUAAGUCAAUCACGCUGUGGAAAAAUGCGUCGUCUAUCAAAUCACUUACUUAUUUCUGUGGAUUUGCUUGUACAGAAGUCUACGUGAAAAGAAUGUUGAAAAUUCCCAAGUACUUCCCCGAACUUCACCUGUUUCUCUUACGAAUGAUUGCCUGUAUGAUUGAUGCUAGAUUGAGAGGGAGGAUGGAAAGGUGAGAGGGAGAAUGGACAGGAAAUUUGAGGAACAACAUCUAAUGAGAAAAAAUGAGGAAGUUUAUAAUCAGAGUGCACGGGGAAGAGAGAAAAGGUUGUACGAAGCAUCUGUGGAUGGAAGCGUGAAUUCCUUGAAGCAGUUGAUGGCGGAAGAUCCACUCUCUCUGGCCCGAGCUUCAGUCACUUGCUUUGAUGAGACUCCACUCCACAUAACCGCCAUGCUUGGUCACCUUGACUUGGCAAAAGCACUUGCUUCUCACAAACCAGACAUGGCCAUGGCGAUAGACUUGCAGGGGCCUUCACCUUUGCACUUGGCCUCUGCCAAUGGCCAUAUUGAGAUUGUUAACAUGUUGCUGUCAUUGAAUUCCAAUAAAUGCCUCAUCUACGAUGAGGAUGGAAGAACACCCCUUCAUCUGGCGGUGAUGAAGGGCCACGUUGAGGUCACAAGGGAGUUGGUUAGGGCCCGACCAGAAGUCACUGGGCACAAAUUGGAUCACGGGGAGACCAUUCUGCAUUCUAGUGUGAGACAUAAUCGUUUAGGAGCCCUGAAGAUGUUAGUUGAAUCAGUAAGGAAGGCUGAGUUCAUCAAUGCCAGUGAUGAUUAUGGCAACACUGUUUUGCUUACUGCUACAACCUUGAAGCAGUUGGAGGUAAAAUUUUCGUCAAUUCUUUAGGCUCUUAUAUAUACCAAUUUGUGUAGUGAAGAUAACAUCACCAUAUUCAUUCUCAAUCUAAUUAACUAGACUACUAUAUAUUGAUCAAUCUGUGCAGACUCUAAGGUAUCUGCUCAAUGGAAAUAUGGUGGAAGUCGAUGCAGUGAAUGGAAGUGGUUUGACAGCUUUAGAUGUCAUUGAACAUAUACCAAGAGACUUGAAAUCCAUGGAAAUCCGAGAGUCACUUUCAAAAGCUGGAGCUUUAAGUGCCAGAAAUAUCGUACCUGUCAGAUAGCCCUGGUGAUCAAGAAGUCUCAAUUAGAUUCUGUAGCACAACCUCUACAUUUUCUUCCAACAGUAUUAAUUUAGGAAACGCCUUUUCAAUAUGAUUAAUGAUCUUCCAACAAUAUUUGAGGUUGUGACCGGAGCUGCAAAGAAACAAGUGAAGGAGAAGUCAUCAGUUUCAAACCAUAGCAGCAACAAAUCCAAGUCAAAAUCAAAAGUGGUAAGUUUUUUUGGGAGAAUUGUGCUUUGAGGUCAGUUUGGGACUGAUAAAUGAUAAAUGAAUGAGGAGUAUUAGUUAUCUAGUGUCAAAUAUUGUCUUGACAUGUUCACAGCUGGGGAUAAUUGAACUAGUAAGGUGUCCACUUAUGGUAACUCACUUUUAUGACUAAUUCAUAUAUGAGCUUCAAUUUAGAUAUUUGAAUGUCAAUUUUUAGCUCGACUAUCAUAGCCUGACAUGACUAUGAUAUCGAUGAUAUCUUUCCUUAUUAAUGUAUGUAGCAAAAACACAAAUAAUAUUUUUACUUUGCCCUGUCUGGAUUAUGCCUGCCCUCACUUUGUUUACAUGUUGCUGUCACAUUACUGUAUCCAUUCUGGAAACAAAACAGAGAGGAUCUGAAUCAGCUAAAUAUUCAAAGGUUGGGCAGCCAAAGGAUGAGGAAGAAGGUUUGGAUGAGGUAGAUGAGGAGGAGCAUGGAGAUACCUUGUGUGGUGCUUGUGGAGAGAACUAUGCUUCAGAUGAGUUCUGGAUAUGCUGCGACAUAUGUGAGAAAUGGUUCCACGGAAGUGUGUGAAGAUCACCCCUGCGAGGGCUGAGCACAUCAAACAGUACAAGUGCCCCUCAUGCAGCAACAAGAGAGCAAUGCCUUGAUAUAUCCCAUUUGAGGUGGGCAAAUUCUCGCCUUCUGUAAUUCCUGUGUUGAACUCAACUAACUGUUUAGUUGGUCAGAUUUUCUCUUUCUUGCUCUUUUGUCACGGUAGAUGUAUUGAAUACUAUGGUCUUAGGAAUGUUGUUAUUUGGAUGUACUCUAGUCUGCGGGUCGUGAAACAUGUUCUUUUCUAUUCUGAAUUGGAAUAUAUAUUAGUUUCUUCUCUACAGAAAAACAUCUGUACCUUAGGUGUGGUAGGCAUUGUUUAUCGUCCUCCGUUCUGUUCACAGAUAUGAAGUCUUCCGCAUUUUUACUUUCGUUUUAUUGGAUUUGAUGGCAAAAUACCCUAGAGUGCCUGCAUUUAGAAUGAUCUUAUGAUCUAGAAAUGGUAAACUGAGGCCAUUGCAUUAACAAAAUCAAUAGGAAGCACAAUGGAAAUAGGUGUAUGAAUACCACUUUUGCAGAAAAUCUAUAGUUCCCUUUCCAGUUCCCACCCAACAACCAAACUUCUGAUCCCUCUCUAGGUCUCUUGACACGUUUUUUCAGCUGGAUGCUUCUUGGUGAAUGCAUUCACACUACCCUUUCUUCGAAAGGGUCAUGGGUGUUUACCAAAUUGUCUCUUUUUUUAUUUUUUAUUUAAUACAUAGACCUUGAGACUCUCGAAUCCAAAUCUUUGGAUGCUGAUUGCAUCCAUCAUAACCAACAUCGGAUAAUCCACGGAAUUCAAUCAGUUGCAGGAAUUAAACACUGGAUCCAAUCCACAUUCAGCAGGGUGUUCACCUAACAUUUGACCCAAAACCCAACUCCAUAAUCUCACAGAUUGAGAACAAAUUCUAUUGUUAUCACAUGUAUACGCAUCAUUGUUGUUAUGGUGUUCUGGAUAGCCCUCAUAUUGGGGUUUUGAUUAUAAUUAGAUGGUUUAGUAGGGUAUUAUACAUGCGGUGAAGGACUUAUUACUUUCUUUGGUCAGCUGGAAAAAAGCAGAGAGUGGGGUUGAUGGUGGCUACUUUUUCUGAUGUCUGGUAGAUGGUGAUGGUCGAGUCAAUGCACUAAGAAAAAGGAGGUCCAAGUCAUGUAAAGCAUUCAUGUAUAUAAAUCCUCUGGAAGCUUAGAAUUAAAAAAUCCGAUUCAGUGGUUGUUACGAGUCUUAUGACCAUUAAAAAAUAAAAAAUAAGGUGUCAUGGAGACACAUCUCUGGCAUGCUACAAACAUGUUCUUCAUGCCAUGCUCUACCUUUGGAAUAUCAAUUGGGAAAAAACAUGUCUCAUACCACGUUUUACAAAUAUUUUUAUUUUUCAGUAGUUUACCAUUGAUGAAAUACUGCUUCAUAAUUGAGGGAAUUUUUUUUAAAGUGAUUUAUUUUAAUAUCGAUUCUAUAGAUGCAUUUAGGUUUUUUUUUUUUUUUUUUUUUAUUUUUUCAAAGUGAUUCUUCAUCACAGCAAUUUGCCCAAUUUUUCAGUAAACUUUUAUGAAUGCUAUGCUUUGUUAAUAGUUUGAAAGAAAGAAAAGACUGAGGAAAAAAAAAAAAAAGUAAAAAACUUUAAAAUAUUUUUUUUUUUUUUCAGAAAGUUAAUUGUCAAUGAAUAUAUUUUCAUCAAACUUUUUUCAUAAUUUUUUAAAGAAAAAUAGAGAAAGUUUUUAAUAUUUCUUUUUCUUUUUUUAGAAUUUUUUAUUUAUAGUAUUUAAAUACCAAAAAAAAAAAUCUUAAUAUUUUCAUUCAUUUUUUUAGUAUUUUUCAAGAAUCAAAACUAACUUAAAGAUUCUAUAUGAAUUCCAUAAAUAGAAUUCCUUAUUGUUUUCCCAAUUUAAUAAGCUUGACAAAUGGAUGCAAGUAUAAUCACUAGGAUUUCUUUAUAAUAAUUGUUCUUAAAUAUGUUACUUUUCUCUGUAAAUAAGGUAUGGUAGAGAUUUUUUAAGGGAAAAAUAAAUGCAUAAAUGAAUAUAUAUUUAUGAAUUCUUUUCACAUAUUAUACCCACCAAUGCCCUAAAAUCCUCAGGGUUUCUUUUUAAGGUUUGUAACAUGAAGCCCAUCAUUUUAGUCUUAAUGUCUGCUAGUUGUUUACAAACAUAAAAUUUGACACAAGAAAUCUUAAAAUUGACAGUUUUAUAAAAAUAGCUAACCCAAAAUACCAUUUUUAUAUCCAAUAAUAUCUAAUGGGAUUCUACAUAGAUUUCAUCAACUCUCCUACAUUCAAUAAUACAUGUCCUUUUUGUAAGCUAAAAUAGCAAAAGUAGCUUCCGACCUUCUUCCAUUCAAUGAAGCUAAUCUUUUCUAUCCACAACCCCUGCUUUUCUCCUUUUCCACAAAGACUAGACCAUGGAAGUUGUCUCGCAGCCUGCAUUGACCCUGGCCUAUAAAUAGAUGCCACUCAUCCCAUCCAACCCAUUAACCCAUCUGCAAUCCACACACACCUUGCUCUCCAGCUCUCCUCUCUCUUCUAGAGUUGUUUUUGGACACAAUGUCUAUGUCUAUCAAUGGUGUUUCUCCUUCAUUUCAGAGCUUUCGGCCUCCCACUCUCCCUCUACCUGUAGAGGAAGAGAACCCCUUCUGCAUAUUGGGGGAAUCUCGUCAUGUACUGGCUCCACCGCACUGGAAGAAGGCUGCUGAGGCCCUACAGUGUGGUCAUUUUGAUGAGGUGUGCGCCAUGGUGUCGCAGUUUGCACAUGCGCAAACUGUGGAUAUUCAGGGCACGGCUCUCACAGUGGCCCAGGUCACUGCUCUUGCACGUGGGGAUCAUGUUAGGGUCGCUCUCGAUGAGGCGGCGGCCCGAGGCCGCGUGACGAGGAGUGCUGAUUGGGUGGCUGAGAACAUCUCUCGGGGCACGGAUACGUACGGGGUGACUACUGGCUUCGGUGCCACUUCCCAUCGGCGGACCAACAAGACCGCUGAUCUUCAGACCGAGCUGAUUCGGUUUCUCAACGCUGGAGUGAUCGGGAAGGAGACUCUUCCGGCGAGUUUCUCCAAGGCUGCUAUGCUUGUUCGAGCGAAUACUUUGAUGCAAGGGUAUUCGGGCAUUCGGUGGGAGAUACUUGAGGCCAUGGCCAAGCUGAUAAACCUCAAUUUGAUCCCUAAACUGCCUUUGAGGGGGACCAUCACUGCUUCUGGGGACCUUGUGCCAUUGUCUUAUAUUGCUGGAGUAUUAACUGGGAGGCAUAAUUCCAAGGUUGUGACGCCUGAGGGGGAAGAAAUCACGGCCAUGGAAGCUCUGAAGAGAGCUGGAAUUGAAGCUCCUUUUCAGCUGCAGGCGAAGGAAGGUCU
rnacentral:lncRNA from 1 species